UUGGAAUAUCUUUACUACAGUCUACAAGUGUCUUUCUUUGAUGACCAAUGUCAAUGCUAGAAGAGCAAUAUGACAAUACACUAAGAGACAAAGUAGAGAAAAAACAAAUCUGACCAUAAAUCAUUUUAAGAGGCGAUUCCUUGCAUUACUUAAUAGAAAUUCAAGCAAUAUAUACCAAUAAGAAAUUUAGAGCAGGACGAAUAUUGCUUGAAUUUUAUACUAAUACUUGAUCAUGUUUUACUUGCGCAGGAGAUAAGUGAGCAAUGGAAAAAUUGGAGAGCAAAGGAUUGUUUCAAAGUAAUUGUUCCUAGCAAAGAAACCAUUAUUCCUAACAUAACACAAUCCUAUUGGUUUAACACACAGCUCAUUGCACUGGCCGCUCAACCAAACUGAAAAAAAAAAAUCUCAGCGUUUCGGCAACAAAAUUAAGCUACAAUAUUCUGGGAGGACGGCAUAAUCGUAUGAAAUGGAUCCGAAAAAGAACCUAAGGUUUAUAGAACUUGAGGGAAAACUCGACGAUUCCCUUAUUUCUUCUGGCUAUCGUCCACCAACUCCGGCUCAAUCACCUCGGCUUCAAUCGGCUCAGAGCUGACAGGUGAGUCUCGCUGCAGGUUCAUCUCAGCGGGUUGAGCGUGCGAGGCCCACUUGCUGGCCAUAGCUGUGCUCAUCAUCUCAUAUAUCUUCCCACUUAGCUCGGCAGGGUUGUCAGGCUGCAAUAUGAUACCACAAAUGAGAUGACACAAAUUGAUGAAAUUUAAACAGAUUACGACAUUCAGUAUAGAAAACAUGCACAACGGUAAGGCGGAAUAUCCUAUCAUAUCAAAUGGACCAGGGUUAUUUGAUGGAAAAGAAGGCAAUCAGGUGUACUUACUGUAAAGCCACUAGAGAUCAUAGAAGUUUCAAACAGGAUAUCUACAGCCUUUAGAGCUUCUGGGUCAUCAGGGUUGGCUCUGCAGGCAGCCUGCAUUGAGGAGGAAAAAGGAACCCAUAAGGACUAUCAGGAAAUUACAAGCGCGAAGUGCAAACAGCAGACCGAACACUUACAUUCAAGCCCUUGAUGAUCUCAUGCUCUGGGUUGAUUUCAAAAACUUUCCUAGAACGCAUGAAAUCCAGAGAUGACAUGUCACCCAUAGAUUGCGCUCUCAUCAACCUGUUAACACAACAAUACUAUUAAGAACUUUAAGUUACAAGAAUUAUGUGCUAGAAAGGUCAACAUGAUAGAGACUAACCUUUCCAUGUUCGCAGACCAACCAAACUUAGCUGCAACUAGAACACAUGGUGAUGAGCUGAGACGGUUUGAUAUAUCAACUCGAGCAACCUUUUCACCCAAGCGUUUCUUGAUCCAGUCACAUGUUUGGCUGUAUUCCUGCUUGAUCUCCUUCUCUUUUUCCUCAUUCUUAUCACCUAAGUUACAUUAUAGAUGAAAAUCAGAAAUCAGGAAAAAAGAUUUACACGACUGAAAUGAGGUAAUUGUCCCAAUUCUGCAAGGUUAAGACAUUGCCUACAUUUAUUAUAUAAACAAGACAUACAGGGCUCUAUUCAUUAUAUUAAAAGGGUGAAAUAUAAACAAGUCUUGCCAUAAUGAAGGACAAUAAUAAUUCUCAUGUGGCAAAACAACUAUUUUCAAACUCAUCUCAUUCAGCAGUAGAAGGAGGUUUCAAAGAUUGUGUAUGCAUACCUAAGUCCAAGUCUUCCUUGCUAAUAUCAACGAAACGCUUAUCCUUGUAGGAGUUCAGAUUUGUGACAGACACUUCAUCCAUUGGGUCAACUAAAAAUAGAACCUACAAAAUAUACACAAGUUAGAACCGUCACAAAAAGGAAACAAGUGAUGAAGUGAAUCAACUCAUUUCUGGGUAAAAGCAUUAAUCAGUAAGACAUGUAAACAAAUACAGAAACUUUGUUUUUGCCAUUCAGCAGUACUGCAACACUGUUUUUGCCAUUGGGUUCUCCGGCUUAAGCCUUCUAGAUGGCUAGAUGUCAGUGAGAUAGUAGCAAAAACAAGCAUGUUUGUUCCAAUAUUUGGGAAAAUAUAAGGCAUCUCAACUAUGAAAUUCAACAGGCCCUGAAGGCCAGUAAACUAUAUUUGCCUUUCAGGGCAAAGUUUGCAUGGGCAAUGAAUGCAUUCAAUAAAGCCCAGAAUCCAAUAGCAAAAUAUAAUUAAGAAAUAUGAUCAUGUGUCUGCAAACAUGGUAAGCUAUUCACAGUACAUACCUCGUACUCUUUUUCAUUGAGCUUCUCCAGGAAAGGAGCAUGUUUUGCACUACUCAAACUGUCCGCAGCAAUGUAGUAAAUGUCCUUUUGCUCAGGUUUCAUAUUUUCCACGUAUUCAUCCAAGCUAAUUAAUUCUUCAUUGCUUUGAGAAGAAAAGAAUCGGAGCAAAGGAGCAAUUCUCUUGUGAUUUUCCUUGUCUUCCAUGCAACCCAGCUUUAAGAACUUGCCAUAGUUUUCCCAGAACCUUUCAUAGUCCUACAGUAAAUUUCAGGUGAGAACUGAACUACUGAAGGAUAAGGGAGAGAACAGAGGCAUCAUGCACAAAAGGAAAGUAAACAACUUACAUCUCUGUUUUCGCUACAAGAGAUGCCAAGUAUCAUAUCAAAGGCCUUUCGCACCAACCUCUUUCUCAUUAUACGCACCUGUAACAAACAAGAAGGAAAAAAAAAGGAAAGAUAAAUCAAUGUUAGAAGAUCAUGAUAGAAAUGUACAAGACAUAGACAGAAAACCAUUCAUUAACACUUACAAUUCGGCUUUCUUGCAGGAUCUCACGAGAAACAUUUAAUGGAAGGUCAUUUGAGUCAACAACACCCCUCACAAAGCUCAGGUAUCUUGGGAACUGAUCAAUAACAUUUUUUUAUUGUCAGAUUUCCAUGGUUAUCUAAAACUUGACAAAGAAUCAUGAAGAGCUGCUGUGUAUUAAGCAUACCAGUUCCCCAUCAAAGUCGUCUGAUAUAAACACGCGCUUAACAUAAAGCCUGAUAUUUUUGGUCUUCCUAUCAGUUAUAUCCUCCUUCUUUGUAGCAGGCACAUAGAGAAUAGAUCUGAAUUCUACUUCCCCCUGCAUGAAUAAAAUCAAACACAGCCAAGUGAGCCUGUGAAGUGCAAUCAGGCACAGUUUUACCGUGAGAUAGACAGAUGUGCUAUAUUGGUGCCAAUCCAUGAAGAUAAAUGAACUAUCACAUGGAGAUCGGUGCAAUUCUAACCAAAAAGAUGAACCAGUUUGGCAUCUUUGCCGCACUGAUCACAAUAUCAUUUUCACUGAAUAAUGCAAUACAAUGUUACAAAACCAAACAUUCGCAUGCUUGUGGAUAUCCAAAAAAAUAUUUGAAUAGAACCACCAUAAUUGAAAUGAAGAGUCGCAUAUGCAGCAAUAGACAUGUAUUACAUAACUUUACCAGCUGAGUUAGUGUUAACGAAGGAUGAACUAUUAUCUGUUCCUGUAUAUAAAUAUGUUUGCCUGAUGAAUAGCACUCGUGUGUCUUUGACUCUUUGUGAAAGAAUAGUAUGAAGAUAUUAAUUUGGUCACAGCAGUUACAGAAUACUGUGAUAUCGCAAGUUUGGUUAAAUUUGUCAAAUGUAUAAGCAUGAAAAAAAACUUGUCUUCAUAGAAUAGUCAUGCACAAUGAACAUAUCAUCAAAAUAACUGCACUGCUACCUAUAUCAACCUUGAUUCUGGUUCAAUUGACAAAAAGAAAGAAUCAACUGAUAACUAAUCAAAUGCAAUCAGACAUACCUCUGUAGUAAAGUGUGAGGAUGCUAAGGGAUCCAUGUACUCAUUGAAUGUCUUCUUGUAAAACUCAUUGUACUCCUCAGUUGAUACCUCUCUAGGGUUCCGAAGCUACCAUAAACAGAGAAUGAAAAAAAAAGCUUCAGUUUUUUUUUGGAACCUUCAUAUUUUCAAUAAGUGAUGGGUGCAUUCAUUAAUAAAAACAUAUUAGCACACUGAACAGAUCAAAUCUCACCCAUAUAGGUUGUGUUUCAUUUGUAAGCUCCCAAUCCCAGUACUUCUCAACAACUGUUUUUGUCUUUUUCUUAACCUGUUAAUAUCAUGGUAAUACAAUUAUGCACAAGUAUUAAGUAUAACAGAUUUAUCUUGGCAGAAAAGCAUAUCACAGUUACCUCUGUUUUAGUCUCAUCGUCGCCUUCUUUAGCUUCAACAGGUUCAUCGACCUCAACCUAAAAGAGCAAAAUAUGCCACAAUUAAAUUGAUGCAUUGGUCCAAUAAAAAAUAAUUAACAAAGGAAGAGCAUUCACCUCUUUUGUGUAACCUUUCUCUUGCCAAGUAUAAAUAGGGAAGGAAACAAACUGUGAGUAAUUCUUCACAAGUUUCUGAAUCUUCUCAGGGUGUGCGAAACCCUUGUCCUCACGCUGAAACAAUACCAAGAAUUGUAGUUAGAAACAGGUCAUGUAUAAAAUGAGUUGGAUGAUAUCAAAAUAAGCAAAUAGACCUUAAGGUACAGAGUAAGGCGAGUUCCCCUAGGAAGGAGCUUCUCUGGGUCUGUCUCCUCUCUAAUGGUGUAAGAACUAGAUUCUGCCUCGCCUUCCCAAACAUAUUGCUUGUCAGAUUUUGGGCUCUUAGUUGACACUGCAACCUAUUAGACAAAAUAAAUAAUAUUCAUGAAAUAUUAACAUGUCAGCCAAGGACAAUGGGAAAUAAACACUAGGUCAUUAACAGCCAGCUAUUAACCUUCUAAUUAAAGACAAUCACGAUAGCAUCUUACCUUAUCAGAAACAAGAAACGCAGAAUAGAAUCCAACACCAAAUUGACCAAUCAAGUUGCUGUCAACACCAGCCUCUUGGCUCUCCUAUUAUAUAAUAAUACUUAAGAUUAGUAAUAUGACAGGAUAAGAAACAAAGAAAAAUAAGGACAUGAAGGUAACAUCAGCAAAGUGCAAAUGGAACACACCUUUAGUGCCUUAAGGAAUUUGGCAGUUCCACUGCUCGCUAUAGUUCCAAGAGAAUCAACAAGUUCUUGCCUCGUCAUACCAAUCCCAGUAUCACUAAAGAUAAAAAGGAGCAAAUGCAGGCAUGAGUUUGCAAGAAAGGAGCCACAUAAUUGAUCAAGUAACUAAUACUUACGUGAUUGUUAUUAUUCCAUUCUCCUUAUCUGUUUGGAUGCGAAUGUCAAGACCAGCACCAUCCUUUAUAAGAUCAGGAUCAGUGACACUAAGAUACCGCAACUUAUCAAGUGCAUCACUUGCAUUGCUGCAAACAGAUACACGAUGAAGAAAUUAAAAAAAAUUAAACCAUAGAGAUCAAACUAAACGCACAAGAGUAAACCAAGAUGAUGAUUAGUACAAACUUCAAUUAGUGAACAACUUAUGUUCUUGAAUGACACCCACCUGACAAGCUCUCGAAGAAACACCUCCUUGUUGCUAUACAAGCUGUGAACAAUCAAGUCCAUGAGCCUAUUGACCUGCCAUGCACAUUGGACAAUAUCAUGACACCGUUGGUAACACGAGAUUGAUUAAGAAAAAUAAAACAUUAGCCAUUGCUCCAGUAGUUACCUCUGCCUGGUACUCAUGCUUCUCCACAGGUGGCGUAUCAGAAGAAUCAACUGCUGCAGCACUCGAUUCAUAUCGCCUGCCAACAAGGGAACCCUCCCUCAGCUUGAGGGAGGCAGCAUUGUCGGUCCCGGUAAGCUUGGGCGCAGCAAGCACAGAGAGCAACCUCUUCUGAAGCUGAGGGACACCAGGCUCCCCAUUAAUCACCUGAGAAUCGGACGAUACAUGUGGGUUGUGAGUAUCACAUACAGAAGCUCAAAGGCUCGACUCAAUUCAAACAAUCAAUCAGACAGUAAAAAUCUAAUGAUUCCCCCAAUCGACUAUUAAAUAUCACAAUCAACAAGAUGAACUUAAACCAACGAAUUAGCUUGAAUUAACACACACCGCAAAAUUAACUCAAAUUGAUACCACGUAAUGGGCGAACAAGAGUACUAUACAGAUUAAGCACCACUCAAUUUCCGCUAAUUUGCGAUCACGACCAGCCCCCACAUUUUCCCUCUGAACCCGCAACCAGCCCGAAACAGCCGCAGCCGUAGAGAAAGUCAAGGCCGGAGAUGGCACGUACCGAGCGUGGGGGCGCCGAGGAAGACGAGACGGAGGAAUCCCCGGAAACGGCGGAGGCGACGCCGGCGGCGGCGCGGCGGCGUGACCCGGCCGCCGCCGCCGCCGCGGCGGUGCAGACGGAACGCCUCGAGGCCCCGAGCAUCUCCUCCGCUACUCCUACCACCGAGGAGGGGGAGCGGGAGAGCUACCGUGGAUUCGCCGAGGGGAGACAGCAACGGCGGCGGCGGCGGCGACGGCGAGGCGAGGGUUUUGGGGGCGGCGGUAGGGUUUUUGUGGGGGCGGCGCGACGGAGGACGGAGGCGUAUAAAUGGCGUGCGCCUUGCGGAGCAAGAAGAUGGGGGGUUACUACGGGUCACUGACCUUGUGGCCCCACCGCGUGGGCCCCACUGUCAGUGAGAGGGCGGACGAGUGGCCGAGGGUUUUUGGGGGGAGAAGGUUCUGGAUUGGCUCGUCGCGGAGAUGCUAGGUGCACCUGCGGUAAAGUCCAGCGUAACUGUUUUGAGACGAUGACAUGUGGGGUCCACCCCGUGGGAGAAGGUUCCAGAAUCCAGAAGGCUAGCAAGAGGAGGAUUACGGCUGACAAGUGGGCCUGCUUUUAAUGCGGCCCACCUGUCAGUCACUGCACACCUCUUGCUUGGAUACGGCAGAAGGUUCUGGAUACACGUGUACUCCUGCUACAUUGUACAGAUACAAUGUACACGCCCAAGGGCCAGGUCUAGAUACAUAUAACCACCAGGGAUAUCUUUUUCAUAACAAAGACAUCAGUAAAAUUUAUACAAAUGAUAAAUUUUACAGAAGUAUUCCUAAUGGAAGUUUUAGUGAUGCGGUUCUCCCUUGUUCAUGUAAAUUGAAAAGUAUCAAUGAUGCAAAGUUUUUGAGUGAUUGACCAGACAGAUUCUAAUUCUACAAUGUCAUCAAAUAAAAGAAAUGUUGGAAGUAGUAGUGUUUUUUUUUUUACCAACACCAAAUAAAACAUCUGCAUUUUCUGCAGAUUGAUCAAGAUCUCUAGGGGGAUCAAUCUUUCACAAGAUAAAAAUACCUACUAGAACAAGCUCAGACUGACUUGCAAGCAGCAGAAACUUUUAAGGGGAACCAUCUGCACAAUAUAUGUAUCUUGUUUGUCUACACCAAGGUUACUAUUCCAAACCCUAUAUAUCAUGAUUAAAACAGAUCAAGAAAAAAAAGGAUAAGAGGACCGGUUGAACAUAGUAGAGCAGCAUACUUCUGCUCUUCACAGCAAAAGACCUUUCAUAUCACUGGGAACUAGCACACCAACGGUGUGCGGUUGCAGUGCCGCCUCCACCAAGAGGAGCUGGAAGGCGGGGUAGAACGGCGAAUGCGCAAAGAUUUGAGGCGGUGGAUGGGUACUAGGGCUCCAGCUUCAGGGAGACGACUCGGGACUGCCGGUUCCGCUUGGCCGCCCUCACGAACACCACCGAUAGGCAUGACGGCGCCCACCAUGGCCUGCGGACUUCUUGCUCCCCUUUCAGGCAGGCCACUGGAGAUUAGAUUUUGCAGGCGUCAGGUAAAUAAACAUUCAGUGCCAAAACACCAACCAAUUGAGCAGUUAGAAGUACAUAUCAAUAUCUGUGUGCAAUCAUGGCAUCUUAAACUGUCUACAAGAACCAAAAGAGAAAGAAAGAACUCUUCAAAGAAUGCCGAAAGUUUGCAGACUUGUAUGGCAAGUUCAUUAAUCCAUCAGACAAGUUCAAUGGUGUAACAAGGGUGUAUUUCUAGAUUCAGUCUUACAUAUUGGUCUACAAUACCCAUCAGUGCCAUGCUAGAAUCCAAAAGUAGAUCGAAGUGAUGGUAAGGAUGGGACCAGAUCCAAUCACAAUCACCUUUUGCUAAUUUGCCAGUAUCCCAAUUAUCCCCAAGUGCUUGUGCAACGAUGUUGUUCGACAUAAUCAACCAACAUUCCAAAGAUAUCCAUUCAUAAUUAGCAAAACAUGCAGCAUAAUUCAAAGUACUAUUGACGCGGACCAGAUCCAAUCACAAUCACCUUUUGCUAGUAUCCUCAUCCCCAUUAUUCCUAAAGUGCUUGCACAAUAAUACUAUUCGGCAUAAUCAUCCAUUCAGCCAACAUUCCGAAGAUAUGUAUUCAUAAUUAACCAGGCACACAGCAUGUUUUGAGGUAAUAUUGAUGCUUAGUCAAAGUUGACUUUUGAAUAAUGCAAUAUAUGUUGAUAAUUGGAUCAUGGUUUUUUAUCUAUUUGUGCUUCAUAUUUACAUCAAAACAAAAUAAAAGGAAUCAAUUUGCAUAGCACCAUCAAAAACUUUUGAGGGGUAAAAGUUAAAACAGUGACCUUCAACCACUUCAAUCAACUAGUAUUUUGAUUGGUUUCGAAUUUGACAUAAAGCAUGGCAUUAGUGAAAGGAAAAGAGAAUUUGAUUAUGACGACUGCUUGGCACAUCAUAAAAUCAAAUGAGAAACAAAAGGUAAAAUAUGUAGCAGCAAAAUGCUUUUAGAGUAGUAGAAAUGUGUUAUGGUUAUUCCUUCGUACUAAAGGCUAAGGCACAGAAAUAUACAAACCUUUGAUGCGCCUCAACUCUUUGCACAAUGUAAUGAAAUCUCCCCAUUUCAUAUGGCACCUCCUGAUAAACCGCAGAAUCUGUUCUGUAGUAAACAUCGACAGGCUUUCAAGAUACUCUCCAUUGACACCGUUUUCCUCAAAAACUUGCCUGUAGCUGCCAAGGUUUAUCUCUUCAAGCCAUAAUCCAACAUCCUGAAAGAGAAUUGAUAAUCUUAGGUAAAUAUUAAGCACCUUGAGGUAACAUGCCCUUUCGAUCAUGCACAUGACACUAACUGCUAUAUGUUCAAAACUGCGAAUAGGUAAAUAUCAAGUUAGUCAGUUAGAACAAAAACAGAUUGCCAAAACAUAAGGAUCAAAUGAAAACACUAUUUCAGAGUAAAUAUCACCGCGUGAUGAGAUCCUUAAAAUGAUUAAAUGAAACUAAGAUGCCCUUUUCAAUUUUACAGGAACCAAAACCCACAUAGAUAUGAAUGACAAAAAGAACAAAGAGCGAAAAGAGAAAGCAUAGGCACAUGAAAAUUAAAAGGCAUGGUAGAUAUGGUUUAAACAUUAUGCUAAACCUGCUUGUGUUAGAUAACACAUGCAACCCUUAUGAAAAGUUGUACUACCUCCGUUUCAGGUUAUAAGACUUUCUAGCAUUGCCCACAUUCAUAUAGAUGUUAAUGAAUCUAGGCACACAUAUAUGUCUAGAUUCAUUAACAUAUAUAUGAAUGUAGGCAAUGCUAGAAAGUCUUAUAAUAUGAAACGGAGGAAGUAUUCCAUUGUAAUGAAAGGAACAUUUCAAUUGAUGCACAUGAAAAUUCAAGUAUUAUUCACCACCGUCAAUGUGCCUCGAAACAGAUCCAUUUCAAUUCAAACCAAUCAGCCCGUCUUUUAUUUAUUAUAAUGCAUUUGGAUGAAUCUUGGAAAACUUUGGAUAGGCUGUACAGUGCAUGUACCUACAUAUGCAUGUGAAGAUACAUUGUUCAUGAUUGAGCACAGCUGUCCUCAACUUUAAAUGAUAAAUAAUACUCCCUCCGUUCCCAAAUAUAAGCAUCUCUAAGUUUCAAUUAUUGUACACGAUAUAAGCAUUUCUAGGAUACUGAUUCCAAUGCAUGGGAAUCUAGCCAUUUUUCAACCAAUCAGGUGCUUAGAAAGGUAAUCCAAGCAAUUCAAAUCUGACACUGAUGUGACUGAAAGGGAAUCUUUUACCUCAACCUUAGUAUUUGCUAAACAAACUUGAAAUGCUAAUAUUUAGGAACAGAGGGAUUAAUACUUUAGAUGGUUAGUGACAAAGAUAUUUAUGGAGAACCAGCUCACCACAUGAGUUAGCUGCUUGUAAAUCUCUCUCUUGUUUAAAGUUGAGCGCAAUUUCAGCCAACAGAGCAAUACUCAACCAAGUAAUACUAAACAUAUCUUGAGUUCGACAAGAGUUAAAAUCUGGUCUGGGCUGCUCCUCAUCAUGAAUUAAACUUGGGCUAGCCUUCUAGGUUAGUCCUUAAUCAAACUUUGUCUUAGCAGGGGCUAUGUUGGAGGUUCAGGUUGCUACAAAUUUAGCAGGGCUUGAACUGAAUUGCACAUAGGCCCAAUUUCUAACAAGAUAAAAUCCGAACUAUUGCACUGCAAUAUUUACAAUCAAACUAGUUAUCCUUUGUUUAGGCGUUCUAGCUCAAGAUAAGAGGUAAUAUAUGCAGUCAGACAGUAUAUAGAUGUCUAAAAGGUUGCAUUUAUGCCCAUUGCAACACAAAUCAGUAUCAUACAAUGGAUGUAUUAUCCCAUAUUGUGCCAAAAAAGUAUAUUAUAUUCGCGAUUGUAAUACAAAGCAAAAGAGCGCCCCAGUUAACUGAACUUAAUGUAACAGCAUUCACUAGGCCAACGAAAAGCUCGCAAACAAAUGCAUGAAACACAUGUAUCUUGUAUGGUCUGAUGGUUUUCCUUGCACCCCAGCACAAUGGCAUCAACACAAUAGAACCCAUCACAAGCUUUAUAAAGCUAAACGAUCAAUGAUUUACUGAAUGACAAGUGCAAAACAAGUGAAACCUCGAACAAAAGCAUAAGAUAUGCAGGAAGUACAGGGAACUUUAUUACAAAAUCACAUAAAAGAUUUAUACUAACCGCAGUAACCGCUUAUGAACUGCCUACGAAAAAGUCUGGCAAUUAACAGCAUAUAAAAAAUGUACCUCCAAAUUUGGCCCCCACGAGUCCACCCUCAAAUCCGAACAAGCAAUCUACUAAAGCUAAGAACUGACUGAACAACUGCAAACUGAAAGACCAAUCAUAUCAAAUGUUCCCCCCCAAUCCCCUACCAAAAAAUUCCCCCGAACUAAAGCCCCACCUAGCUGAAAUGCGGCGACGAGAGAGCCCCUAAAUUUCCGCGAAAUCAGCAUCCAAAACACAAAUUAGUCGGUGGAGAAAAUCAGAAAAAGAAGAAGAAGAAGAAGAAGAAGACGGGAGGGAGUCCACAGGUGAGCGUACCUCGACUGUCCAGAUGAAGAAAUCCAGCGGCUCCGGCGACCGCCCCCGGCUCAUCUCCCUACUCGGCUCCUCCCCGCCAGCAAAUCCCCCUCCCCUGCACACACACACACACAGAUCAGCCAACUCACUCCCCAACCGAAAGAUUCCCCCAAAAACAAGAACCAACCCCCGAAAGCUACCGUUUCUUGGAUCCAACCAGCGACCCCGAUCUCCCCGGAAGGAGGAGCACUGCCGCCGCUCCCCGCAGCCGCUCCGGUGGCAGAGCUACCUCCUCUCACUCUCUCUCCUCUUGAUGGGAGCGCGCGGGGGGGAGUGGAGGAGGGGAUCGCGGGGAGGUGGAGACGAGUGGGGAGCUCGGGAGGGUGACAGAUGCAAGCCACUGUGAAAAAAGGAGGAAGAAAAAAGCACAGAAAAAAUGAAAAAAAGAAAAAGGAUUUUGUGGUGGGGCCUGCUGGAUGGGAGGGUACUUGUGCAGAUGGGACCCUGAGGUUUUGGAGUUUUACGUGACAGGGCCUCGUCUCACCUCUCAAAAGGUUUGCGUCGCCACCGAGAGUCCCAUCGGUUUGACCUAAUAGUCGAAGAAAAAAAAGCUAAAUUUUAAUAUUUUUUUAACUUGAUUUCAAAGUUAACUUUUAGAUAUUUUCAACGUAUUUUUUAACAUUGACUUUUAAGUUGGCACGAGCAAAUAUAUAAAAGUUUUACCUACAAAUUAAUUUUUAUUUCUUAAGUCGUUUUGGCUUAUUAGGAAAUAUAGAUAACAUAUGAUGCUAUAAUUUCUUUCACAUGUCGCCUUUCGUUUUUAAAGAAUCAAAACACAUCACGCGGUAUCGAUGUGAUUAGAUUAAGAUAAUCAUGAUUGAAUCUAUGAAGAAUUUACAUCAUCAAAUUUCCAGUUAAAAAGUCUGAAAAUCAGUGUACAGUGUGAUUAUAUAUGGCUUAAGUUUAAUCAUUUUAGAAUUUAAAGGAUUAUAAUUCUAUAAGAAAAUUUUCUACAAAAACAUUUGAAAUAAAAGAUUAAAUCCUAUCAUACCUUUCAAAUUUAAAUGAAAUAGACAAUCUUAUAAAGAUUUUAUAAAGGAAAGUUAUCAAGAGCUCCAAUAUUUUAUAAAAUUUUCUUUGAGUUUAUUUCUCUUAUUUUAUUUCUGUGUUUUUCAUACAACCUAAUCAAACGAAUAUUUAUGUGUCUUGCAAUCCUCUGAUUCAUACUUAUAUUUCUACUAAAAUCUUUUUUUAUAUUGUUCUAUUUUUUUUUUCAAAUCAUCUAUUUGAAAGAGCCUAAAAGAUCCGGUGGCAUUAGGCGGAUGGAUAUAUGGUUAGACAAAAUAAACAAACUGACAUAUCAUCCGAUUCGUACUUUGGGGACCUAUCAUUUUGGUUGUACCCUAGGGACUUUAUCUUGCCGACACGAUGCUAAUUAAUAGCUCAUUUGAUAGUUGUUUGAUAUGUUGUCAUUAUGCUUCUGUAGUAACAGCGUGACGCAAUUCUUUCGAUGAUCAGUUGGUUAAGGACUUAUAAAAAUGUUAUUCAACAAAUGUGAUACAUAUUUCACUAUCAAUAAUAUAAAGCACGCUUUUAGGAGAUAUCAUACCAUCAUAGUAUAUAUAUUUGCUAAAGCUAGCUAGUACUGUAGCUAGCUUGGGAAAUUUCUCUCACGGCUUUAUUGGCUUUUUAGCCAUAUUGCAAGUAUGAUUAGGACAUCUGUGAGUUUUCGUAGAUGAAAUUAUGUCAUUCUUGCCGUUAGGAUUCUACAUCGCAUCAGCUUUAUGAGUUUUUUUUUAAGAAGGGUAUCAGCUUUAUGAGAUAUAUAUUCGAUUCUUAUCGUCCUAUCUUGUCCAUGUCACCAAUAUGUUUGAAAUCUUACAUAUAAACUCCCUAUUUACGGACCAGUAUUUUUCAGCACUACUAUUCAUCAAUUUUCUAGCUAUUGAUCAUCCCUCACAUCCUCUUUUUCCUACACAAUAAACUUUUAGCAAACUCGUUCACUCGUUUAUUAUCCACAACUAAAUUUCGAAUUUUAAAAGUUGAUUUUGGAGUAGAUUUGUUUUUUCACAGUAGUCUAUUUUUCAGUAUUAGCAUUCAAACCGCUAACAGAUAUGUAAAAAUAUUAUACAUAAAUAUUUGAUGGUUGCUUCGUUAGUUUUCUAGGGCUUAUCGGUCCACAAUUAAAGCCAAUAUAUGUAAAGUACAAAUCAAUAGGCAAAAUUUGCCAAAAGAUAUCGUGACUUUAACGGUGCAUAUCCUGCAAGUAAAGCUGCGAAAUCAUGAUUUUCGUAGCAAAAUUCGCCAAAUCAAUAUGGACUCUCAAGGCUUCAAACACAUAGCUAAGUAUUGGUUGCUCUGUCAUAGAUCAGAACUAGCAUCCCAUGGUAUUAAAUUUGUGACAUGUUUUUCCGAGAUAUUCCAACAUUUAUCGAUUACAAAUUAUGUUUGAAAUAUACAUGAAUACUCUGAUGUUUUCUACUGGAUAUAAAUUAAUUCCACUAAAUCAUGUACUUCCUCCUUAACCCUAUGUGGUUUGAUCAUGAAAAUGUUACGUUUUUUUUUUAUCGAGAACACCAUCCCAACUAGUCCAGAUCAAACACACAAGAAUCCCACUUGUUUUAUCCAUCGAGAAACAUGUCCAACAUGCUUGGAACAGUUCACAUCUUUUCAAGAGCACAAACAGGCGCUAUCUACACACAAAAAAGGAGUAUGUGAAAAAUAUUUUAGGAUUUGCAAUCUGCUCAUCAGCAUGCUGCAUGCAGCCCUGCACCGAUGUUCGGGAGAGUAGGUCUCCGAAACCAUCAACUUCUACAUCAUGCAUCUGGAGAGGGAGAAUUUUGUCAAUUAUGUUUGAUAUGUCCAUGUACUCCAUGUGUAGAAUAUACUUACAUGAUAUGAUUGUGAUAGUUGAUCUUCACGUCGUCAUGAUUUAUUUAUUAAAUAAAACAAAUCCAUAUGAGCUUACAUUACAUUUCCAACAUAUAAAUUAUUGAGGACUUAAGGCGUCGAAAGAUAGCCGAGUAUUGGUUCUUAUGGUUAUCAGCCGCAAAUCACAAUUACUUCCUCCGUUUCACAAUGUAAGACUUUCUAGCAUUGCCCACAUAUAUAUAUAUAUAUAUAUAUAUAUAUAUAUAUAUAUAUAUAUAUAUAUAUAUAUAUAUAUAUAUGUUUAGAUUCAUUAACACAUAUAUGUAUGUGGGCAAUGCUAGAAAGUCUUACAUUGUGAAACGGAGGAAGUACAUCUUAUGGUAUAGCUACAUGCUCCUUAAAUAUAUUCCAAUAUCAAUCGGUGACAUUUGAAAUUAUCUUUGAAACAUACGUCUAACUUAUUUUUUGGGUUUCUCUUCAAAAUUAACUCGAGUAUAUAUCAUACAUUCUCCUUAUCCCUAUGUGUGAUUUGCUAAUUAAAAAAAGCACCACAGUAUGUUUUUCUCCUAGAGAACACCAACCCAGCUAGUAACUAGUUCCAAAUCAAAUAGUAGAUGAUAACCCCCACUUGUGUUAUCCAUCGAGAAACAUGUCCAACUUGCUCGGAAGAAGAACGGUUCACAUCUUUUCAACAACACAAAAGGGCAAGGCAACAGUGCAACACUCGCCAAAAACGGUUUUUAAUUAAAAAGUAAUAAAAAACAUUUUUAACCGAAGAGCCGCCACCGAAUAGCGCCGUACUCCACCCGGCCGCAGAGAAUCCCCGCCGACCCAGUCCCGGGCCCACCUGCAGUCACAGCCACCCCCCUCACUUGGAUUUACCAGAAAAUUUUACCCCAUGGAUCAUCCGUAUUCCCUGAUAUGCCAAGAUACUGUUUGUUUCAGUUUAAGAUUAUUGUAAUCUAGAUUAUUAAAUCAGAUUACUCUAAGCUAGAUUAUAAUAAGCUGACAUAGAAUAAGUUGUGAGUUGUUUGUUUCUUUGGAUUAUUAGAUGCAUCUAAGGGUAGUGGGUCUUCAGCCACUCAAUAAUCUGAAAAAAACCUCCUCUAGAGGAGAUUAUUGGAUUAUACUAAUCUGGCUAUAGAUUAUAAUAAUCUAGCAUAAUAAUCUACUUGUUUGUUUCAGUUACUCCUUGUCAGGGUUACAGGUUCGGCAUACCCUUUACCCUUCGAUAUACGUUACAUAUCGAUAUAGCAUACUCACGCGCACGCGGAUAUUUCCUGUAAGGAAACCUUUCACGAAAUCUACAGAUGGGAAGAAUCCUACUCGGACAGAACUGGGUCGUUGACGUAUCGUAUAGGGUCUGAUACCUCCGAGUUCUACUUAGAGACCUCUAGAUCUGCGAUAUAAAAGGGACCCCCGGGGAGGGCAUAGGACAUUGAAUCUCAGAGCCAACACAACCCACACAGCCUACGAAGCCGGAGUCUACGAAGAGCCAAGUCAUCGAGAGUAAGUCGAACCAACUCGACUACAAUCUCGCCGGAUCUGAUAAGUUCCAUCGUUCCCUUUGUAACCUGUGUUUUCCACCAUAUAAUCCCAUACCAACUGGAUUAGGGCUAUUACCUAUCAAGGGGCCUGAACUAGUAUAAUUCUUGUCUUUUGGUUGCUUGAUGUCGUACUACGUAGAUCCUUGUACCAACGUACCCCAAUACCCUCUAUACCCGGUCUACGGGUAUCACCCGUCGAUAGUGGCGCGCCAGGUAGGGACACUUGGUACUCAAGGUUCUACUACUAUGUCAUCCAGCUUCGUCGACAACAACGUCAACACCAGCCUCAGCCAAGUACUCCCUGCUUCAACAAUGCUGGUAUGGACUCAAGUUGGCGAAAUCGUCUUCCCGGUUUACACCACGACGCUGAUCUCAACCGGUCCCCCAAUGACCGGAAACGAGAACGCAGUGGCUACGAACCAAGGCGACUCCAUGUCGAAAAAUCCUCCCGUUGAAACGAAGAACGGAACAUCGACAACAUCCAAGCUCGAGAAGGAUUCUGAUACGGUCAAACCUUGUCUUUCCGACAUGAACCGCGAGCCGACAAAGAUGACUUCCGAAGCCACAAGGUCUUGGUGUCCUAUCCACAAAACCAAGAAACACACUCUGCAAGAUUGCUGGGUUUUCCUCAACGUCUGUGCUGAAAUUCGCGCCUGCAAAGAACGUGGAAUUCAGCGCACUUCUCCAACUCGGGAUGUCUAUUGUCCUAUUCACAAGACAAAGAAUCACGACCUCUCGAGCUGCAAAGUCUUCCUCGGCGCCAUGAAAGCUCCAUCUCCUAAGUCAUAUGCCCCCAUCAGGGAUAACGGCAAGGAACAAGGAGCAACUCCAACCUCAGAUCGAUUCGUUGGGGUAAUCGAUAUCGAUCCUCACAAACCAUCGGUCUUACAUCUUCUCGAGGACUAUGGGUCAUCGAUAACGAGCGCACCGCGGGAGGUAUUGGCUAUCGAUGACGUUGGCACGUCAGCGCACGCCAACGCAGAAGCGGCAAAUCAAUCGACUACACCAGCCCAACACAUCAGGGCCGUUCAAGCUAUACUGAGGGAAACUCCUUACGAUCCCGUUCUGAACGAUGACCUCGAGUGUUGGACAGAACGACUACGGGAAUCUGUGACUAACCUCAGCAAUGCGUUUGAAGAAGCCGCUACCGCAGCACACCAGGAGCAGCCACCAACUGGCGAUGCCAAUGGUGAAGAUCCGUAACAGAGGGAAUCCCCUCAACGAGCUACCCCUCCACCUCGCGGCACUGGCGAUCUUCGAGAUCAAAUCAACGGCCGCCGAGAAGCACGACUCACACGAGACAACGUGGAUCGCUCUCGGCGUCAUGUCUCCUCACGGCGCCAUGAUAACGGAAAUCGAGGAGACCGCUCAAACGAGGACCGGGACCACGACAACCACCACGAUCGCAACGAUCGCGAACGACGGGGGCCAGACAAUACUGGUCAUGGCCGCGCCGUAACGACGAUGAUGAUGGAGAUCGGUGCCGAGACAACAGCGGGAGACGACGACAGGAUUCCCGAGAUCCAGGCCGUCAUCCUCAUAAUCGUACGUCGGAACCAAGUGACCCAUCGUCAUCGUCAUCAUCAGCGUCCUCCUCAUCGUCAGACAGACAUCCACGAAAGACACACGACCGCCGACAACCCACCGCCCCCAACGCUGGGUGUAGGGCUUUCGGUCGUUCCCUACGUGAUGUCCGAUGGCCUGAGAGAUUCCGACCCGGAGCAAUAGAAAAGUAUGAUGGGAGCACCGACCCAGAGGAGUUCCUUCAAGUCUACUCCACAGUACUUUAUGCUGCCGGAGCAGACGACAACGCGUUAGCGAACUAUUUACCAACCGCAUUGAAGGGUUCUGCACGUUCAUGGCUGAUGCAUAUUCCUCCCUACUCAAUCUCUUCGUGGGCAGACCUGUGGCAACAAUUCGUCGCCAAUUUCCAAGGAACAUACAAGCGCCACGCGAUCGAAGACGACCUACACGCGUUGACACAAAACUCGGGUGAAUCAUUGAGGGAAUAUGUUCGACGUUUCAACGAGUGCAGAAACACAAUUCCUGAAAUCACCGACGCUUCUGUAAUUCGUGCCUUCAAAUCCGGUGUCAGAGAUCGCUACACUACCUAGGAGUUGGCGACAAGACGCAUCACAACCACUCGGAGAUUAUUCGAGAUCGUCGAGCGAUGCGCCCACGCGGAUGAUGCGCUAAGGCGCAAGAACGACAUGCCGAAGACCGGGGGGAGUGAAGAAACCAGCCACAGACGCAUCUGAGUCAAGCAAGAAGAAAAAUCGCAAAAAUGGGAAAAGGAAAGCUCAAGCGGAAGUCCUCGCAGCAGAAUACGCGAACCCUCCCAAGCGCCCAGACCCACAAGGCAGCGACACAAAGAAAUCAUGGUGCCCCAUACACAAGACGGACAGACAUUCUCUAGAAGAUUGCCUUGUUUUUAAAAAGUCGCUCGAGAAGCACAUGGCAUUUGAAAAAGGCAAGCGAGUACGUGUUGUCGAGAAGAACGAAGAGACGGCUCCUAAUGAAUCGGAUUCAGCGUAUCCAGACUCCGACCUCCACGUCUCACACAUCUUCGGCAGUUCUACAACGUACUCCUCCAAACGAGAAUACAAGAAAGUGGAACGUGAAGUCUGCUCCACAUGGCAGGGGGCUGCACCCAAGAUGAAGUGGUCUGAGCAGAAGAUAGAGUUCUCGGAAGAAGACCACCCCAAGACCGCCGUUAUCCCAGGACGAUAUCCAAUCAUGGUCGAACCCACCAUUCGGAACAUCAAGGUAGCGCGAGUUCUCAUCGACGGGGGCAGCUCAAUCAAUCUUCUCUUCGCCAGCACUUUGGACGCAACGGGAAUUCCGCAAAGCGAGUUGACACCAACUGAUCAACCCUUCCAUGGAAUUACUCCCCAAUCAUCGUCCAGACCUUUGGGCAAGAUUACGUUGCCCGUGACUUUCGGCCAAGCCAACAAUUUCCGAACAGAGCAGAUUACCUUCGAUGUCGUUGAAUUCGAUACAGCUUGCAACGCCAUCAUCGGGAGAACUGCACUUGUGAAGUUCAUGGCCGCAUUUCACUACGUGUAUCAAGUGCUCAAGAUGCCGGGACCGAAGGGAACAAUCACUAUUCGGGGGAACGCAAAGCUAGCGGUGCAGUGUGACAAGCGGAGCCUCGACAUGGUCGAGCAAACGCCCAGCCCAUCCGCCACGACUGAGCCACCCAAGAAAGUGAGCAAGACAAACAAGACGCCGAAGCCGGACGGCGCCAUCAAGGUCGUUCCACUCUCCAGUGCCAACCCCGACAAAACCGUUAAGAUCGGGGCGACACUAAACGAGAAAUAGAAACUCGCGCUCAUCACCUUCCUCCGCGAUAAUGCCGACGUGUUCGCUUGGCAGCCGUCCGACAUGCCGGGGGUCCCCAGGAAGGUGAUUGAGCACAAACUCAUGGUACGACCCGAUGCCAAGCUAGUAAAGCAAAGACUGCGGAGAUUUGCACCAGACCGAAAACAAGCCAUACGAGAAGAGCUUGACAAACUUCUCAAAGCUGGCUUCAUCAGAGAAGUACUUCAUCCAAAGUGGCUAGCCAAUCCAGUCAUGGUGCGGAAGGCCAACGGAAAAUGGAGAAUGUGUGUCGACUUCACCGACCUCAACAAGGCGUGCCCCAAGGAUCACUUUCCUCUCCCUCGAAUAGAUCAACUGGUGGAUUCAACAGCCGGUUGCGAGCUAUUGAGCUUCCUCAACGCUUACUCUGGCUACCACCAAAUCAGCAUGGCAAAAGAGGACGAAGAGAAGACAGCAUUCAUCACGCCGUUCGGAGUAUUUUGCUAUGUUAAGAUGCCGUUCGGACUGAUAACCGCCGGGAAUACUUUCCAGCGCACGAUCCAGGGCGCACUUAGCGACCAGCUUGGCAACAAUGUCAAGGCUUACGUCGACGACAUCGUUGUCAAAACCAAGACAGGCGACUCAUUGAUUGACGAUCUAUGGGAAACGUUCGACAACCUUCGACGAUAUCGCCUCAUGCUCAAUCCUGAGAAGUGCACGUUCGGAGUACCGUCGGGCAAGCUACUCGGAUUCCUUGUCUCUGGCAGAGGAAUAGAAGCAAAUCCCGAGAAGAUCAAAGCAAUUGAGAACAUGAAGUCGCCCACAAGACUCAAGGAGGUACAAAAGCUAACCGGAUGCAUGGCAGCGCUAAGCAGGUUUGUCGCCAGGAUGGGAGAACGAGGAUAACCUUUCUUCGCCUUGCUGAAGAAACAAGACAAAUUUGUAUGGACACGGGAAGCCGAAGAGGCAUUCAUUGCACUCAAGCGCUACCUAUCAAACCCCCCUGUACUUGUUGCUCCCCAACCUAAUGAAGAAUUAUUCCUCUAUAUUGCCGCCACGCCAUAUUCCGUUAGCACUGUCAUUGUUGUCGAGAGAGAGAAGUACAGCGACCAGUUUAUUACAUCAGCGAAGCUCUCCAUGAUGCAAAGACAAGAUACCCACAGAUCCAAAAGCUGCUUUAUGCAGUCAUUAUGACAUCAAGGAAGCUGCGCCACUACUUUCAAGCCCACAGUGUCACAGUUGUCUCCUCUUGCCCCCUUGGCGAAGUUGUGAGAAACAAAGACGUUGUCGGCCGCAUUGCGAAAUGGGUAGUCGAGCUGAGCCAGUUUGAUGUCCACUUUGUACCACAAACAGCCAUCAAGUCCCAGGUACUCGCCGACUUCGUCGCCGAUUGGACUAUGCCAGAUAACAAAUCAGAUAACCAAGGCGACAACGAAACAUGGACAAUGGCGUUCGAUGGCGCACUCAACAGCCAAGGAGCAGGGGCAGGAUUUAUCUUGACGUCUCCCUUCGGAGAUCAAUUCAAACACGCAAUCCACCUCAACUUCAGGGCAACCAAUAACACUGCAGAAUACGAAGGAUUACUCGCCGGGAUACGAGCCGCAACUGCACUUGGGGCCAAGCGACUAAUCGUCAAAGGGGACUCCGAGCUAGUCGCGAACCAGGUGCACAAAGAUUAUAAAUGCUCUAACCCCGAGUUAUCCAAGUAUCUCGCAGAAGUCAGGAAGCUAGAGAAAAGGUUCGAUGGGAUCGAGGUCCGACACAUCUACCGCAAGGACAAUGUCGAGCCAGACGACCUAGCACGACGCGCGUCCAGACGAGAACCGCUCGAGCCCGGUACUUUUCUCGAUAUCCUGACGAAGCCAUCGGUGGAAAAGGUUAGCGACGAAGAUAGCCCGAACACCCCCGACAUUGGCUCGGAGGUCACCGAGGCAGAACACGCCGUUGCCGACAUCGAAACCACAGACGACUGGCGCAUCCCACUAAUCAAAUUCAUUAGCAGCGAGGAGUUGCCCGAGGACGAUACAGAGGCCGAGAAAAUAACCCGUAAAGCAAAGAUCUACUGUAUGAUCGGCAACGAUCUAUACAAAAAAGCGCCAAACGGGGUACUUCUCAAAUGCGUCUCUACCGACGACGGCAGACACCUCCUCCUCGACAUACAUGAAGGCAUAUGUGGGUCACACGCCGCUGGUCGGACAUUGGUCGGCAAAGCUUUUCGACAAGGCUUUUUCUGGCCAACCGCCCUUAAAGAUGCAUGCGACAUGGUCCAGCGAUGCGAAGCCUGUCAAUUCCACAGUAAACACACAAAGAUACCCGCACAAGCGCUCCAGACUAUCCCUCUGACUUGGCAGUUCUCAUGCUGGGGGCUAGAUAUACUCGGGCCAUUCCCACGAGGACAGGGCGGCUACAAAUUCCUAUUCGUGGCGAUCGACAAAUUCACAAAAUGGAUCGAAGCAGUACCCACGGGGGAAAUCAAGGCCGACAACGCCAUCAAAUUCAUCAAAGGGAUAUUCUGCAGAUACGGACUACCGCACCGCAUCAUAACCGACAACGGCUCCCAGUUCAUCAGCGCUGAUUUCCAGGAUUACUGCAUCGCCCUGGGGGUCAAAAUAUGCUUCGCCUCGGUCUCUCACCCUCAAAGCAACGGACAAGUCGAGAGCGCAAACGACAUAGUACUACAAGGGAUGAAAACCCGCGUCUACGACAGGCUCAUGUCACACGACAAAAAGUGGGUUGAAGAACUCCCGUCAGUACUAUGGGCCGUACGCACCACACCGACAACGUCCAAUAAGGAAACACCCUUCUUCCUCGUGUACGGCUCUGAGGCCAUGCUCCCCGGCGAGCUACGACACCAGAGUACACGAGUAUAGAAGUACUCCGACGAGAACCAGGAGGAGCAGCGAGACAUCGAUGUAAAUCUUCUCGAGGAGCAUCGUGAACGAGUUGCCGUUCGAGCAGCCAGCUAUCAACAGGCCCUCCGCCGUUAUCACGAGAAGCGUAUCCGAGCACGCAUACUUUCGAUCGACGACUAUGUCCUCAGACGAGUUCAAACCCAAGCAGGGCGAAACAAACUCUCACCAAAAUGGGAAGGACCUUACAUGAUCACACAAGUCUUGCGGCCAGGCGCAUUCCAAAUCGCAGACGGCGACGGUCGCGAAUUAGCAAAUUCUUGGAACAUUGACCAACUAUGUAAAUUCUAUGUAUGAGUCAAUACCACCGUACCUGUAAGUACCCUUAUAGUAUCAAUAAAGCCUAUAUCUAGGCCCAUAUCACAAUCAAUGUGUUUUCGCCUGAUGAUCCCUUACUCUGAUGACACCUAGCGUUGAAACCUGCCCUUAUGUCCCUUUAUGCCGUCUCGACAAGGCCUGCGAGGAACCUAAGGGAUCUUCGGCUGGGGACGCCCAGAGCCGAUAAGGCCUUGUCAGAUCCUGUAGAGACGAAAGACCAUGUAAGAUCUGGUCGUGUAAGAGUUCUCGCCGUGCGUAUUAACCAAGCCGUGAAAUCGGAAAUCAAUUUUCCAACUUUACGACUGGGGGCUAGGAUCAGAGCUUAUUCAACCAAGGCAGGUCAAGGGUCCAAGAGCCUUAUCCUCCGAGAAAAUUCCCCCGACGACAAGGCUGGGGGCUAGGGAGAGUGUACGACUCAAACGGCUGACUAAAGUCGUUAACUGAGAACACACUGUUACACACGACAUCUAGAGUAAGAAACAUUUGUUAAAGAUAGAUUUCUUUAUUCACAAAGUACUUCUUACAGUUUUUACAUAAAUCUCUCGCUGCAUUACAUCUUUCCCUAAGAUAUUUGUCGCAGGGUACGAGUACUACCAAGAAGGCCAACGCCAGUUCAUAAACUGGAAGAUCUUCUCGGCCAAUGGCGACAUCGACCUCACCAGAUGGUCUAUCUCCGCCAGAGUUCUCUGAGAACGAGCAAAACCUUCGCGGAGAAAUUCGAGGUCCAGGCGCGGGCGGUGAUCUCGUAGGCAAGCCAGCACGUGUCCUCCGGCGUAUCAGCUCGCUCGACGACACUCAUGUUUCAAGGCCUCGUCGAUACGCUUGCCGAUGCCAUCGAGUUGGGCACAAGCCCCGUUCAGCCACGAGAUGUACCCGGCCGCCGACUCCUCGGGAUCACCGCGGACUACUCGAAGUUCCCUGCAUACUCUGGCCAUGGAGGUGCAGCAACUCUUCAAGUACGAGUUAAACCACACCUCGCGACCUCGGAGCGUUUCCACAGCCUGCUCUUUCUUCACGGCCAGCAUGGUUCUCUCGAGUUCCGCCACUUCAAACUUCGUCUUCCAGUAUUGGAUACGACGAUCUUGGCUUUCAAGGGCAUCCUCGAGAUCUGCUAAACGUGACAACCACUAAGACAAGCUGGAUACCUCUUUUGGAACAUGGAUGACCUAAUCAGGAGGUCACUAAGAGGUGAAGGGGCUACUCACUUGAGGUAGUCGUCGCUAUCCCGGCCUCCGCACCAAGGGUUUGAUCCACAUUGUCAGGCGAGAUGUGUGGUUCAAGCUCGAGUACCGGAAUUAUCGCCAGUGACUCGGGCUGCCCGCGCUGCUGGACAUCCUCGUCAUCAGCAUCUCUACAAUGGACAAAAGCUUCCGAGAUCAACAUACAAAACUAAACAAGGAUGGUAAUUGCACGCACGAAGGCGGUCAGAGUUCAAUUUUUACACAUUAUCUAACAAAUACAAGAAGUCCUACUCUUCAAAAAGGGGGAGAACAGACUCCCCCAGAUCACCGACUUCUUCCAUCACCUCCUUACGCGUGUUGCUUGCCGCCCCCUGAUCCAAGAUCUCGCGCAGAUCGAGUUCAGGAUGCGACAGCCUUACACACGCGAGGACAUGACACGCCCCGGUGUAGAUCCCGUUCGACGUCUCCUCCGCGAUCCUGGCUGCAUGCUUGGAGGGGAUCUCCCCCAUCGCCGUCGCCAGUUCCGCAAGGGAGGAGGUCAGAGAGAACUCAUCGGGAUUCACUGGGAUUGUGGACUCGAUGCCGCACUCCCCGGCGAGCUAGUGGAGUCCAGUGUAGGUGACCCGCAACGAGCCCCGGAUCUUGGACAGGUUGUUCCCGAGUUCCGACAUGCGGUCCUCGAGCCCCUUCCGUUGUCGCUCGUUGCCGGCCACCAGCUCCCUCAUUUUCGUGAGGUCUUCAUGGGCUUCAGCCAACUUGCGCACCAGUCGAUCAGCACGCGCGUUCACCGUCGCCGCCUCCGACCUCGCCUCCGCAAUCUCGCGGUCGAUGCCGCGAGCACCAGCUUCGAGGAGGCGCCCCAUCUCGACUUGGAGCUCCUCCCAGGUGAGGACGGCAGCUGGCAGACCACGACCUCCCGCAGGAUCGCUGACGGGGCCGCUAGGCGUCGCUUCCCGGCUCCCGGCUGCGGGCACGACAUCUGUCGAGGCCGCGGCAGGUGAUGUGCUGGAAGCUCCUCCAGACUUAGCUCGUGCAGCCUUCGCCCGCGCUUCCCUACGAACAACCACGGGUCAAACACCGCUCGAAUGAGAAGCACGGAAAUUCAGGAAUCUAUCUACUUACUUCUCGCCGAUCAUCACAAUGCGUUGUCGUCGUGGAGGUGGAGGAGACGCGUCCGAGGCCUGAAAGACAAUCAAUACAGAGUAAGGAAAAACCCUCCUUGCCGCAUGAUCUAAUGACAAGAUUAAAUUACCGAGGGGGUCGCUGCCUUGCGACGAUGUCCGAGUAUAGACGAGAAUUUCCUCGGCUUGGUCGGGACAUUGCCACCGCUAGUGGUGGCCGCGUCAGACGCCUCCUUGACAACCUUCUCCUUCAGAGAUGUCGCCACCUGAUGGUUCGCGAGCGGCCCGAUGAUGUCAGUCAAAGGAAGGGCCUAUGCUUAAUCAAGUCAUAAGGUGAUUUCGAAAGGAGGAAUGCAAGAUGCUUAUCGAAUACACUUACGUUGAUGGCUUCAUCGCGUUCCGUCGCCCCCUUUUCACAAAGGGGCACGGGGAUGUCACUCGCCGUGGUCGGGCCGCUGAUCAUCACUUGGCCGACGCGCCGCUCCACGACUUCGCUGCUCAGACCUGUUAAUCGAGAACCAACCUUCGAUAAGUCAAGCGGAAUGCGAACGCAAGCACGUCAAGAUGAAUGCGAGAAAGAUACCCCGAGGAGAAACCUGGGUCGCGUCUUCCGGCCCGGAAUAGUUAUAGGCUGGAUGGGCCCGAGCCUGGAGCGGCUGGAUCCGCCUACCGACGAAGUCUGCAACGACUUCAUAUCCCGACAAGCCCCGUUCUUGGAGAUCAUCGAUGAUGUCGAUAAACGACUGAAGAGAGGGGGUCAAGGGAGGCUUGGCAGUCCAGGCUGGAAUCUUGUCCGGUUGAUCCUCGGGAACAACGAAGACAGGGUUCGAGUCCUUGAUCUCAAGAUAGAACCACCUGUUCCGCCACUUGCUGCGGGAAAAAGGACACUGGAAGGGGACAUAACGCGACUUCAUGCCAUCACGAAGUCGGAACCCGACGCAACCAGACACUCUAUUGGGUUCCAUCCAACGCAGCUCAUAAUAGAAGCGGAAGAGAUCAAGAAUAAGGCUCUACCCCAAUGUAGGCCUCACAGAGAUGAACAAAGAUACUAAGAAAGGCGAUGGAAUUAGGAUUCAAAUGAAGAAGAGAAAGACCAUAGAACUUCAAGACCAGGAGAAGAAACUCGGAAGGCGGAGGGAGAAAACCGCAGAGAACGUAAUCUUCGAUCGCAACCAUGUGACCCAAGAUGGGCUGAGGAUUAGUACCUCCUGCUUCUCUCUCCAUGCUUCCACGGCCGGGAAGGGCGCCGUCCUCCUGAAGGUUCUUCAACGUCGCGCUGGUGGAAGCCGAUUUGCCGAGAUCCAUUGCUGUUUGGAGAUCGCCGGAAAAUGGGCCAAAGUUAGUGAACUAGGGUUUCUUGCGGCGGUGGAGAAGGCAAAGAGCGCUGGUAGGCGGUGUGUGUUCAACAGGGUUGGCGGACUUCAAAAUGGGCUCCCAAAAUUCCUUUAAAUAGACACACUACCGACGGUGCGAAUUAUACUAAUCUGGCUAUAGAGGAGAUUAUUGGAUUAUACUAAUCUGGCUAUAGAUUAUAAUAAUCUAGCAUAAUAAUCUACUUGUUUGUUUCAGUUACUCCUUGUCAGGGUUACGGGUUCGGCAUACCCUUUACCCUUCGAUAUACGUUACAUAUCGAUAUGGCAUACCCACGCGCACGCGGAUAUUUCCUGCAUAUUCUAAGGAAACCUUUCACGAAAUCUACAGAUGGGAAGAAUCCUACUCGGACAGAACUGGGUCGUUGAUGUAUCGUAUAGGGUCUGAUACCUCCGAGUUCUACUUGGAAACCUCCAGGUCUGCGAUAUAAAAGGGACCCCCGGGGAGGGCAUAGGACAUCGAAUCUCAGAGCCAAUACAACCCACACAGCCUACGAAGCCGAAGUCUACGAGGAGCCAAGUCAUCGAGAGUAAGUCGAACCAACUCGACUACAAUCUCGCCAGAUCUGACAAGUUCCAUCGUUCCCUUUGUAACCUGUAUUUUCCACCAUAUAAUCCCAUACCAACUGGAUUAGGGCUAUUACCUAUCAAGGGGCUUGAACCAGUAUAAUUCUUGUCUUUUGGUUGCUUGAUGUCGUACUACGUAGAUCCUUGUACCAACGUACCCCAAUACCCUCUAUAUCCGGUCUACGGGUAUCACCCGUCGAUACUCCUAAUAAUCUAGAUUAUAAUAAUCCUAUGCUGAACCAAACAGGGCCUAAAAGAAUCUAUUGGUAAAUUUUUUAUAUAUAUGUUUGUAGUGGCUCAAAAGCUAAUAAUAAAAAAUAUACGUUAAAAAUAUAUUUAAAUAACUUUAAAAUCAAGUUCAAAAAGUUUAAAUUUUGGUUAUUAUUUGACUUAUUAGAUCAACCGAGGAGGCUAUUUACCACUCCCUGCCACUGCAGCACACCGACACGUGACACGUACACCCUCCCGUGACGCCGCCGCGCGUGUGCUACGGCCACACGCGCGCGCGUACACGCGAGAGAGAGAGAGAGAGAGAGAGAGAGAGAGAGAGAGAGGAGAAGCGGCGAUGGCGAGCGGCGGCGGCGACGCGAGGAGGAGGAAGGAGGAAGGGGAGGAGGACGGGUUCUCGUCGGACGGCGGGGACACCACCGACGCUGAGUCGUCGGACGAGAGGGCGGGGGCGGGGGCGGGGAGGAGGGCGGUGCCGGGCGCGAACCCCAUCCUGAGCCGCCUCGCGGUGUCGCGGAACCCGAGCCCGCUCGCGGCGGCCACCGCGGCGCCCGGGGUCUGCCUCCUGCGGUUCGCGUGGGAGUCCGCCGCUGGGUCCCUCGUCGGCGCCGUCGUCGGAUAUGGUAACGACACCCUUGUACCCUUCCCUGUUCCCGUUCCGGUUAGGUUAGGGUUCUUGCGACCUGUGAGACGGGAGUGGUUAGUAGUAUUAGAUUCCUUCAAUUCAAUACUCCAAUUCGGUGUGAUUGCUGUAAGUUGGCUGUGCAUUGCACUAUUGCGCUUUGCGGGCGUGCGGCCGGAACAAUUUGGUAUCUGGUGGUAUAAUAGUGGUGUUAUCUGCAAUAUUGCAUGGUUGUGCUCGUAGUCUAGUAGAGAUAUACUGUAUGUACUAUGUAAUUGUGCCAAUCAGACCAUCCUUGAAAGAAAUUCCUUUAGUUGGAUUAGUUUCGCGGUAUAUGGGUUUUGAGAGGCUUCCAGGAACAUUUGGUUCGAGUGGGAGACGUUUAGUUUAGCUUAGGGUCUGUAUAUAGGAAUGUACCAGCGCUGAAAUUGUGUUUUUAUUAAAUUUGAUUGAUACUAAGUGGUGUACAGGGUGGAAUGCAUGCAUAUGUGUUCUUUUUUAUAGAGCCCAUCUUUUUGGCCCUUGAUUUUGCUCGAUGUCUAUUUCUCACCGGUUGCUUUUACCCCAUACUUACAAAACCAGACAAAUAACACCCCGGAAGAUAUUUUUGUUGUUGUUUUGUUUGAAAUGAAGGUGGUUCUCCUUGUGCAUUCUCUUAUUGUACAUAUUUUGCUGAUGUACAUAUUACUUAAUUAUGUCCACAACCAUAAAACUCAUCUAACUGAACAUAUCAGUUUUGUUCCUUCAACUCCUGCUACAGUACAGUUUCCACCCUGAACUUCAAGUUUAAUCUUCAUCCCUUAUAUGUUAAAACCUUUGCAGAUUACACCAAAAAAUUGUUCUCUUGAGUUAUAUUGCCAUAUGACAAGCCUUUUUCAACACAUGACAUCCACAGCAUCUCAUUUUGAAAAAGGUCGACAUAUUUUUUUUUCUUGUAAAUCAAGUCAGGUUGGUCCAUGCUCUAUGCUGUGUUGUUUUACUGGAAGCACCUUUAAAACCAUCCUUGGAGAAAUGAUAAGGUUCCAUUUUUCAUAGUUGGAGGACAUUUCAACAGUACUGCUAUUCUUUUUUGGGGUAGGGGAAAGCUGGAGCUUUGUUGACUAAAACUGAAUAUGAAGUAAAGGGUGAUCUACACGAUGAAAUGAUGAGUUGAUGACACAUUUAUUUCCUACUUAACUGCCAGUGCUAACUUAUUAUCAUGGCUUGAUGCAACCAAAAGGUUCAAUUGCUUGGGCCAUGUGCAUGCUGGUGUUUGACUGUUUAAUUGUCCAAAAUAAGUUGCGGUUGCACACACUCUAUCCAAUCUGUUUCUACUUUCCUCCUAGAUGCAUAUAUUUAGUUGGUGAUGCUCCCAGCAUGUAUGUUUCCUUGUUAAGUUUCUUACCAUGGAUUAAGAAUAUCAAAGUGGAUUAAGGUGCAUCAGAAGGUCCUGUUAUAUGCACUCUACUAAAACCAGCUUGCUACCCAUCAUGUCAAAUCGAUCAUCUGUUCAACUCAGCCAACAUAACUGAAUACAUCUAACCAAACAAAACCACUUUUGUGCUCUCUUGUUUAGACAAUCUUGGGCCACAUUGACUUGUGUAAGAAAAACAAUGUUUAAAAUGUCCUUCCAGCCUUAAUUUGCUGGAAAAUUUGAUUAUUUUAUCUUAACUAGAAAAGAUGCCCGUACGUUGCAACGGGUAAAUACUUUUUUCAGUGAUACAUUAAGAGCUAAGUAAUAAAUUGAAAUAUUGGGAUCACUAUACACUAUAAUUGAAAAUGUUAAUAAAAAUCUUAACAUUGGGAUUGCUAUAGAUUAUAAUUAAAAAAAAGUUAAUGAAAAUAUUUCUUGGGUUUUUGGCCGAAAGCCUUCCUUCCUUUUCAGCGGCUAGUCCGCUACCUCCCUCCAUUUGGUCUGCUUCUCUUCGACCCUACCAUCUUAAAUUUCCCGAAUAUGACUACCAUCUUCAACCUCUCGAAGAUAAUCCUGUGCCCCCGAAGAUAAUCCCGUGCCCGUACGUUUGCCGGAGCAAAUCUACCCAUCAAAUCCGGCCGAAUCUUUAUUGGUCAACCAAAAUUGGUCGAGGGUUUUUGAUCCACUCGAUCUACUCUUUCCGUUUUCCCCAAAAUUAGAGCGUAAAACUCGGGAUAAAACUGACUGGGGAAGAUUGCCGUCAUCAUCGGCAAGUGUAGAACAUAGAUUAAAUCUGGCAAUUAAAGCCCAAUCGUAGGGAAAAUCAUGGAUAAAAUGAUGAGAGAGGAGUGGGGAAUCGAUUUUUUCAAUCAAAUUGGAGGAGAAAACACACGAUCGAUAUGGCGGCGGCGCGGCGCUAAGGUUCACCACAGAAGGCGUGCGGCGAACAGAUGGGAUUAUAAAACCGGAUGAGAAAAACAAAAAGCACAUGGGAGAAAAAACUGGCGACAAAAAAGAUUGACGAAAAAAAGCUAAAAGCACCCAAGAGGCGCACGGUGAACAGAUCGGAUUAAAAAAGGGACAAAAAACCAAAAGACUUAGCAUGUGCGCGUAAAAAAGUCUUUUGCGUGCAAAGAAAAAAGGGAAAAAAAAUACCGGUGCCAAAAAAACCAAACGGACUUUUUUUUACUGGGAGAUUUUUUUUUCCUUUUUCUACAGGAGUCGGACAAGAGAUGUUUUUUUACUGACGACGAAGAAGUUUUUUUUAAUCGCUCGUUAUGUCGGACUUUCUUUUCUUUCUUUAUUUACCUUUUUUGAGUCGGACUUUUUCUUUCUUUCUUUUAUACAGAAGACGGGAAUUUCUUGUAGAGAUAUAGAUUAAAACCGAAAUAUAAAAUUAAAACCGUUUCAAACACGGAUGACGUACCAAAAUUCUGGCAAAAACACCUUUAACUUUUAUAAUAGGUAAAGAUUACUUGAAUACUGUUUUAACUAGUAUAAAUUGACAUGGCUUCCUUGCAUGCUCCAUAUAAGAAUGUUGUGGAUAGCCAGAAGGCUUAGAUAAACUUUAAGUAAACUCUUAAUGCCUUGACCUACAAUCACAUUCAUUACCAUUUACCUCUUGGGUUAAUGCUUUCAAUGGAACUUAUAUGGAAGUGGAUCAUAGACUUUCAUUGUAAGGUCAACGUUCCUCCUUGUUUCAUGUACUCUGUUAGCCAUCCUGUUGCCUGUUGUCCUUUGGGCCAAAGCACAAAAUAUUUUUUUCCAACUCGCCUUUUCUGAUAACUUGACAGGAAAAGGUUUGGUCACCACUAAAGGGUUUAAAGGCUCGUUUGCUGAUGCUGCAUCUUCUGCUAAGGUAAUGAUUCACAUUACACAUGUUCAUUUUGCAGCAGAUGUUUCAUUGUUCACAGCUCAUGCCAUUAUUUUGUCUUUUGCUCUAGAUAUUUGCUGUUCUUGCUGGUGUUCAAAGUUUGGUUGCCUGCACUUUGAGACAACUACGUGGGAAAGAUGAUGGUCAGUCUUGAUAUCUAUUGUGCUCAUUUCUUUCUCUAGGAAACCAUGUCCCAAUCCUUAGGAUGUACUACAAUCAAAUGUCAAGUACAAUCAUUAACUUGUGAAUCCUUUUAUAUCUGCAGUUCUCAAUGCUGGAAUUGCAGGCUGUUGCACUGGCCUUGCCCUGAGUUUUCCAGGUAACGUUACAACACACAAUGUAGCUGUGAGUGUGAACUGUUUAAAUUUACAACUUGUUCCUGGAUGUCCUGGCUAGGACUGGUAUUAAUAUCAACAAGAGCAAUUUUCAUUAUGCUGAGUUAUGGAAUAGGUGAUCUCAAACGGUCCUGACAUUGUUCAUUAAGAAUGCAUGCAGCCCUUUUGGGAGUUAUUAAUCUCUGGCAUCCGUUUCAAGUUUGAUGAUUCAAUCUCUACAAUUUUUUCAUUUUCAUGUUCCCUUAGUUUGUUCAUAUAGGCAUUUGUAUCUUUAUCUCCUAUCUUGUUGAUAAUGCGUCCUAAACUAAUUUGGUUUGGAUGCACCUGAAAUAUUUGUUUAUUUUCACUACAGUUGUUAUUAUUUUUGUUCUAUAUUUCAUUUUUCUUGUCUUUUGCUGUAUUGGUGUGCACACAGUUUUGCAUUUAGAGUUGUCCAUUUAUGUCUUCAUUUUUGCACUGGUAAAAUGAAGCACUACAAAAUCGACAAUUUCUUGUGAGAUCAUGAGUGUUUCUUAUCAUUAUUGAGAACACACUUUUGUCCUGUGACAAAAUAGCUCCUUAUUCGCAUGAUGAUAACAUUACUAUUAACAGUGAUAUCGGAUUAUCGGUUCUUCCUAUAUAGGAAAAUGUUAACAAAAAGAUCAUAGUUUCGUACCUAUUCAUUAACUGAUGGUCCUUUUUCUUCUUUUGGUUCCAGGUGCACCACAAACAAUGAUUCAGAGCUGCCUGACCUUCGGAACUUUCUCAUACAUCAUAGAGAUGCUCAAUAAACAGGAACCUGCACUUGCUCGUCCAUCUAUCACUGGCACGAAGGAUCUCAAGGCUGGACACAGAGUUCUUCCUCCCUUCACGCUCCCUCUUCCGCAAGAGGCAAUGGAGGGUUUUUCCUCGUUUCAAAACUUUUUGUCGAAGUUCCAAGGGAAGUGAACCAAGUGAAUAACCUCAAGAGGGAUGGUGGGUAGCUUCACCUCUUUCCUCCGUUGGAUUUUGUCCGUGUAAAUGCCUCGUCUUGAGUUUCUCUUUUGUUCCACGAGUGUAAUGUUCUAGGGAGUGACGGAUUAUGUGAAUGUUGAUGUCAUUCUUACUCUUUUGAAUAACAGCUCUGUGAAUCCUUAUCGUGCUUCAGCUAGUGUUAAUUUGCCACUUGCUUCAAACGGUUUCUUUACUGACUCGUUGAGUACAUGAUUUGAUUAUUCGUGGUUUGUUCGCAGUAGAUGUUGUCGACACUGUCAGCGAGUUUUUGGGAAAACAUUUUGUGAAAGUUGAAUUACGGCAUAGCCGAAGGAAUAACAGAAUCGUUUCACACUUUCGUAACAAAGGUCUUCUUAUCAUGUUUCAGACGAUGGAGGCAAGGCUGAUCAAAGUGAUCAAGCACAUAAACGCAUUUUUUUACCAUGUUUCACUCCAUAAGCGUCUGAGAUUAUCACAAGUCACGUCUAGUAGUUUGAUGGUACACUAGUGACAAUCAGUUCGUGCAGACAGAGCUCAUACUUGACUACUUGAGCGAUUACAGGCGAAAGUGUGAAACGCAUGUGAUGUGGGCUGGGAGGAGGAGAAUAUAUACUAAUGGGCCGUAUCCUGAUUUGGGCUGCGUCGGAAGGUGCAGCCCACGCGCGCCGUACCGCGCGGGUGGCGCUGCUACCCACUUUAGUCCGUUGGAUGGGGAUCCGAUGGUUUGCGCGGUGGCGUUGCGGGGGAUGUUUAGUACCACAUCGGAAACCGAAAGACGAUGGAACCAGCUUAUAAACCCGCGCGCUGUAGUCAGCUUGUCUCUUCGGAGACAUCCGAUAAAAUUGGAACGAUACAGAGAAGAUUAGCAUGGCCCCUGCGCAAGGAUGACACGCACAAAUCGAGAAAUGGUCCAAAUUUUUUUGCGAAUUCUGGCCAGGUCCUUGCGCGUUCGGUAUUUUGUUCGUUAUUUUCGUUGCACAUAUGCCCCUGGGCUCUGAUUUCUUACAUCCAGGUCCUUCAAGCUUUGCACUUUUUCCCUCAAAGUUUCCAGAUAUCGAAUUAUGGCCAGGUCCUUGCGUUCUUCAUUUUCGUUGCACAUAUGCCCCUGGGCUCUGAUUUCUUACAUCCAGGUCCUUCCAGCUUUGCACUUUUUCCCUCAGUUUCCAGAUACCUUACAGAUACGCCUCUCCUUUUGCACCCUCAUCUUUUUGCAACAUCCUACAGGCAGGUCCAUGUCGGUUCUUGAUGCGAUCUUCAGGCUUCUUACUGUUGUACACAAUUCACUAUUUCUUUGCAACAAGAUAUAUACGGCUGUGCCUUUUGUAACCCCUUCUAGUUUUUUUAAACAAGUCCUUGUGGGAAUAUGGAGUUUUCACUUGUAACUUUCUGGUUUUUCGUUCUCCAUGAUUGAACAAUUUGUUCGUUUAUGUUUGCCAGAAGUACUGGCAAAUCUCCAUUCAAGUGUGCAAUCAUGUGAUUGGGGUGAUUUUUCCUCCUAAGUUUUUGUUUAUUUCCAUCGGAGCAUAACGCCAUUUUUCCUUGUUGGAUACUCUCAAUUGAAAUCCUCUACUGUUCUUAUGGGAGAGUGACUAUCCUAGUUCCAUUUUAUUCUUUAUCAUUUAUCAAUUUAUAACAAACAACAUCUCUAGAACAUAUUUUACCUGUUUUUUAGAGGCAUUUAACUUUUUGCCACUUUUAAGAUGUGGCUAUUAAGGAUUUGCCACUCGUAGCUUAGUGGCAAAUCCUUAAUUGUUACUGGUAAGUGACAAAUAGUUAAUUAUUACCCUUUUCUAUACUAAGAUAUAAAAAGGAAGAAUUUACCCUUCCAAUCCAACAUGUGUAAUCUCUGCCGUCCAUCUGCAUCUGUAUUGCCCUGAUCUGAUCCCUACCGUCCACCGCGAUUUAACCCUCUCCAUCUCCACCGCACGAAUACUACGCCUCCGUGCGAACACCGCACGAAGAUGUUCGCACGAAGACUGCACCUUUGCAGUACUCGCUCCUCCUCUCACCUCCUCCUCCUCGCGUGUAUUGCUGCCGUCGGAGUGAGUUCUUCUCUAGCCGCCGCCAUACCCACACUCCACCGCUGCCCCCACCGGAGCUGAGGUCUUCCCCAGCUGCCACUGGAGCUGUGGCUGACCCUUUCCGCCACCGCCGGAGCCGUGGUCGUCCCUUCCGCCGCUGCCGAAGCCGAGGUCAUCCCCAGCCGUCGACGGAGCUAUGACUCCACCACUGCACUUUCCCCACGCUAUGAUUCUGCCGCCGCGCUACUUGCCGUUGCACGUCCUUGCUCCGUCCGACUCCUCGCUUGUCCCCGCCACCGCUGCGCUACACCGCAUCCUGCCCUCGCCGACGUCGUGGUCAUUCCUGACGGCAAGGUCCUUCCCCACCACCGACGCACUUCACCGCAGGCGCCGUGGUGGUUCCUGACGGCGAGGUCCUUCCCCACCGCCGAUGCAAUCCAGCACAACAUGCCCCCGCCGACGUCGUGGUGGUUCCCGACAGCGACUUACUUCCCCACCACCACCGCACUCUACCGUAGCCUGCCCCACCAGCGUCGUGGUGGUUCCCCCUUCUACCGGAGUCCCAUUUGGGACUGCCCCUGAUGGCACCGUGGUGGAAUGCCCUUCCGUCGGACCCGCUGUGGAAUUCCUCGUUCGUGGGUGCGCAAUCGUCGGCCUCAAAGCCACUUCUUUUUAGUACUCAUAAAAGGAGAGAAAACCUGAAAAGUAGAAUGCAAGUUCUUGCGCCAAAUUCAUCUGUGUGCUCUUCGUUCUACUUUCGUGCGAUUGUGUAUUCGCUAGGGAAAUUUCACUCCAGGGCACCGGGAUCAAGGAUCCUUGGUUACACUCAGGAGAUCACAGGUUUGUAAGAUCGCCAGCAAGAACUAAGCCACCAAAGGGGAGUGAAUGGUUGAGGUACUCACAAAUCAAAACUUUUAGCGGAAUUAAAAGUUACUCUCGAAACGAUGAAGGUCGGUCUGACCAAAGUAGAUGCACCGGUUUGACCGCACGGAGACCUCCGGUCUGAUUGGCGAAGUAGCUUCGGUCUACCCGCACAUCGCGCUGAUGUCGCUUGUCGUUGCCGCCAUUCUAACCGCCUUAAAGCCACCGGUCUGACUGCCGCAAUGCUGUCGGUGUGACCGCCGAACCCAAGCAUAUACAAAUUGAAGAUAUUUCAAAAGUAGAUUGAACUUACUUCUACUCAUGUUUACAAAGUGCAACAACAACACUCCUCUCACAAAUCUCGACUAAACUCAAAAUACUAACUUUUUUCUAAACUCAACUUGCACAAAAUCGAUGCCGGGAAGUCUCAACCCCCUCUCUAUUUAUACUCGAAGUAAGCAGUCUAAAACCACAAACCCAACUUGUACAAGAAGUCCUAAUCUCCUAGGAAACCUUCCCAUACAAUAAACAAACUUUAUAAACUACAAUCAUACCAAAUUUGGACUCCGCAUCCAUACGCACACAAUAUCUUCAUGGUAUACCAUAUGGAAUCUUCACCAACCAUGAUAUCCUGAUCGUCUGGACAUCAUCUUCUUCCAAGUUGACUCCCGAUCAAUCACUAGUAACACUCUCCCCAGGCAUUAAGAGACACCUACAUAUGAAUCAAACAAGAUACAAUAUCUGAGCACAAGUCCUCUCCAACUUGACUUAACAUUAGUUCACAACAGCAUUACAUAUGCUGUCGGUGUGACCGCCGAACCCAAGCAUAUACAAAUUGAAGAUAUUUCAAAAGUAGAUUGAACUUACUUCUACUCAUGUUUACAAAGUGCAACAACAACACUCCUCUCACAAAUCUCGACUAAACUCAAAAUACUAACUUUUUUCUAAACUCAACUUGCACAAAAUCGAUGCCGGGAAGUCUCAACCCCCUCUCUAUUUAUACUCGAAGUAAGCAGUCUAAAACCACAAACCCAACUUGUACAAGAAGUCCUAAUCUCCUAGGAAACCUUCCCAUACAAUAAACAAACUUUAUAAACUACAAUCAUACCAAAUUUGGACUCCGCAUCCAUACGCACACAAUAUCUUCAUGGUAUACCAUAUGGAAUCUUCACCAACCAUGAUAUCCUGAUCGUCUGGACAUCAUCUUCUUCCAAGUUGACUCCCGAUCAAUCACUAGUAACACUCUCCCCAGGCAUUAAGAGACACCUACAUAUGAAUCAAACAAGAUACAAUAUCUGAGCACAAGUCCUCUCCAACUUGACUUAACAUUAGUUCACAACAGCAUUACAUAUGCAUAAUAUUCAUCUAGAAUUCAUAAACAUAAAUUAAUCACAAGUAUAAAAAAACAAUCCGAAACCAGAACCGACACAGAGCCGUCCGAUCAGACCAUCGGGCUGGCCGAUUUGACUGCACAACACACGUCGGUCUGACCAGACCCAAACUAACAAAACUCAUUGUUCAUCGUCAGGUCAAUUCAUCAUCAGAAAAUCUUCAAAACCAAUUAUCUUCAAAAUCAAUUGUUCAUCUCUUCUCUAUUAUUAUAAAAAUUGAAAAUGUUUCCGCCAAUACUUUGUACGUUGUCCGUAUUUGAGUUGGUUAUUAAAUUCGUUCACUUUUGAAAAUGCACCAGGAGUCGUAUAAGAAAUCCUUUUAAAACACUCACAGCUAACUUGGAACGAGUACCGCUAAUUGCUUUAGAAUUCUUGUCAGGCCCUAAGAAAGCAACGUACAGUAUAUGACCAUAAUCCCAACAAAGGUUCUAAAUUAGAUAUCAAUACUAUCAAAAUAGAAAUCUCAUAUACUUUUUAGAUAAAAAAAAUAACAAUAAUACGAUUAAAAUAGCCUUCACCCGUUUCAACGCACGAGCCUUUUUUUCUAAUCACAAAAUAAUAAUCAAAGGUCAUCUUCGCAAAUGGUGAUGGAUGCACACUCCGCUUUCAUGAGAGAGAGAGAGAGAGAGAGAGAGAGAGAGAGAGAGAGAGAGAGAGAGAGAGAGAGAGAGAGCGCGUGUGCCAGCACCAAGAAUAACACCACGACGACCAGCGUCAGCAGGCGGUAUAGUGUAGUACUCGUACAUCACCGGCGACUAUGUUGGGCGAGUACCAGUUCCAGGACAAACUCGUGUUGCUGUAAUGCUGCCCACACGACCGGGGACGGGAAGAUGCCCAUGAUGCAAAAGGAGCAGUUGUAAGCACUGACAAUGGAGGAUAGAAGAAGUAACACGUGGGGCUGAACAAACUAGACAUAAUUUUAACCCUCAUUUUAUAAGAAACUCAGUGAGGGCUUACAUAGUUCUAACGAUGCUUGUGGGGGCUUGAGCCCCUCCGUGCCCAUAGUAGAUCCGCCCUUGGCGUCGGGGUUCGCCUGGCCAUCUGGAUCGUUCGAGAGGAGGUGGGGAGAGGUCGAUGUGUGCAAGCCGGGAUGGGUUCGAAUGGAACAAGCAAGUCAGAGGGAGCCGAUCGAGAGGAGCGAUGCUGAUUCGCAACUACAGAUGACCAAAUGAGCCACCCGGCCCGUGCACGACCAGGCCUAGGCCCGAUAUAAGUUGGGCAAGCACAACCCGCUUAAUGACCGGGUCAGGUUGUGCCCGCCCACGGGCACAACCUACGGCCUAGGCACAGUCCUAUAAGAAUCGGACCAUGCUGGGCCGGCACGUAGGCACGACCAACACACUGUGCUCGUCCUUAGAAUAGGUUUAUUUUGCAUUCCUCCUCUUUGGGUUGUGCCCUAUAUAUGGCUUGAAUAAGUCUAGAUUGCCUCCCUCCUCUUUGGACUGCCUUAUACACAUCUGAAUAAGUCUAUUCGCCUCCCUCGUGUGUCGUGCCAUGCGAAGCCAGCCCACUGUGCCAAGGUAGCGCCCCCAGGCUCAGCCCAACUGUCAGGCCGGGCCGGCAUAGGCUUGACACCAAUUAGGCCAUGUCGUGCCUGGCCGGACCAAAAGGUCGUGCCAUGGGACGGGAUGUCGGGCCCUGGACCUUUUGGCCAUUAUAUUCGCAACUGCGUCAAGUCAAGCGGAGCGAGGAAUCCUAUCUCACACAGACGCACGAGCAAACUAACUCGCACGUGAUUUGGAUCCACUAGGCCCCACUCUAGCCUACAGCUCUACACUGCAGUAGCACAUUUCUUUUUUUCCUUUCUUUCGCGUGAUUUUUUUUCACACGUGCUUAUCUCCCUCUCCGUCCUUCGUUUUUGCGUGCAAUUUUUUUUCUCAUGUGAUUUUUCCUUUUUCUCACGCGAUUUUUUCUCUUUUUUUCGCAAGAUAGCUAGGUAAGUUUCAACCUCAUUUUAUUUUGAAAAUUUUUGACUCAAAAUUUAAAAACUUCUAACACAAAAUUGAAAACUUUCAAUUAGAAAUUUGAAACUCUUAACUGAAAAUUUAAAACUUUUGAUCAAGAUUUGAAAACUUUCAACUAAGAUUUAAAAUAUUCAACUCAUGAUUUGAAAACUUUCAGCUUAAACUUUAAAAUUUAUUAACUUGAAAUUUAAAUAUGAAAGAUAAAUUUUGAAAAUUUUCAACUCAUAUUUGAAAAGUUUCAACUUGAUAUUUGAAAACUUUCAAUCCGAGAAUUGAAAACUUUUAACUCGAGAUUUGAAAAUUUUCAAGUCAAGAUUUAAAAAUUUUCAACACAAAACAUUUGAAAACCAUGUGUUGAAGAUUAAAAAAAUCGUGAAAGGAAAGAAAAGAAAAAAAAAUCGUGAAAAGAAAGAAAAGGAAAAAAAUCACUUGGGGGGAGGGGGCCAGCUGGCGCACGCGUUGCCGCGCCAAUUUGCCACACCCGAGCGGAGCACCCCGUCGGAUCCGUACGUAAUACACGCGUCGUCCAUCGAGAGCGGUGCUGCAGAGGUGGCGUGCUGCCGCUGGGAUGCAUCAAUUUUUUUUAUUUACAUUUUGAGGCUUUUCUUUUCAUCGUCCGCUCUGUUCCAUUCGCCGCCGUCCUCCAUUCCGUUCUUCCUCAGCUCCCGUCGGUGGUGCUUGAAAGAGUCCGUUUUGGUGCUGGCCUUCUUCAGGUCGUCAAGUUCGCCUUGGCGCGCGGUGCUUCUCUUCUUCAUCGUCAGGUGGUUCCCUGCGCUCUCUUCAUGUCGUCAAAUUCGUGUCGGUGUCUCGUGCUGCUCUCCAACUUGCUCAGAUAGAGAUAGUUCGGUGCUGGUUUUCUUCAGGUCGUCAAGUUCAUCUUUGUGGUACGUGUUUCUCUUCUUCAGGCCGUCAAGUGUGUCUUAGUGGAAGUUCAAGUUCGUCUUGGUGGUUCUCUGCUCUUUUCCGGUCAUCUUGGUGUCUCGGUGCUGCCCUUCAACUUCAUUGCCAGGUUCGGUGCUGGUCUUCUUGAGGUCGUUAAGAGUUAAGUUCAUCUUGGUUGUGCUCUUUUUCAGUUCCGAGAGUUCUCGGUGGUCGUGUGUCGUGAAGCGUCAGGUCCCAUUGUUGGAACUUGGAAGCUCCUUGAAGAAGAACGUGUCCCGGUUUUGAGGUAGAAGAAACAAAAGCUAAGCCUGCAAAACAUGGCGGCGAGGGUGAGCUGGGAAAUGGCCGCCCGGCGUCGGCGUGUGGCGGAGGAUAUUGCUCCGCCCUACGCCGUGCUGUUGUUCGUCUUGCUGUUGGCGUGCUGCGUGCGGCGCCGCCGCCUCCUCCUCAUGCCGGAGGAUUUAUUCCGGAUCGGUAACCAAUUUACUGGUAUAAUAAAACAUCCGGAUUAGUUCCACAACUCUUAACUAGUGGAUUGAUUCUCGGUCUAUUAUUGUCCAUAUCAUGCGGUCCGGAAUAAAUCCCGAUCUCUCGUUGUAUCUAUAAUAAAUUUCUUACUAUUCUUGUCACUCCUAGCCAGGAUUGAAUCAUCAUGUAACCGAACAAGUCCUAAGGUGGUCGUCUCCUUUUUAGGCGGAGAGGGAUGACACAUAUCUGGUUUUGCCACAAAGUGCCUCAGUUUUGUAAGUUGAGGGAUGACACAUAUUUUUUCGGUUCUGGAUAAUUUUGUAAUUUGGAAACAAGAUGAGGGACCUUAUGUAUACUUUUUACACUUUUAUGUCGGGUUUUGUAGGCCUCCUCUCUCUUUUCUGGUCGAAGCCAAAUUCAGGGAGAUGGGCCUCACAGCCCACGUUCACGUUUAUUUUCUUCUCAAAUUGUUUUUUUUUAUCUAUAUGUACUAACUUUAUUUUCUUCUCAAAUCCGGCCUCUACACCAACAAGGCUGUACACAAACACAGGAGGUCCUUCAGUACAAGUUUGAACUUUACCCAAGAUCACAACUGAAAGGGAACACUAAGGCUCUAACCCGAAACAAAACAACAACGAAGUGCAUCGACCAAAGGACAUACACGGCUGCAAACAAGAAAAGCCAGCAAACUAUACCCCUCAAUUAUUUUCCUCAUGUUCCAACCCUUAGCAAAGAAGUGCACAACGGUAGUCUCCAACAGUUUGCAACCUUCUUUCAUCAAGAUGCUUUCUCCCUCUUUUAAUAAAACAGACUACUGUCUCAUUCAAUAUAUUUUCCUGAAAAUGACAUUUAAUUAACGAAGUUGAUUUUUAUGCCAUUGAGACAAUGCCAUUUCUAGAGAUCCACAUCGCCCAACAUAUAGCUGCAAUCCAAAUAAAGAGAUUUAGUAUUUUAGCCUAGAUUAAUCCAAACCUUUGAACUAAACUCCAAACAAGUUAGCAACCUUAUGAGGCGGUUUGAACCAGAAAGGUAAUGAAAAUGACACAUUUGAAACACAUCUAACCACAUAUAUGGCAAUCAAUGAAAAGAUGUUGUAUCGUUUCAUCUUGAUUACAAAAGAGCACCCAACAUCGUCGCCAUUCCAUCUCCGUUUUGCUAGGUUAUCCUUUGUUAAAUACCACUAGAGGAUUUUAAUUUUUAACGGAAUUCUCAGCUUCCAAAAGUGGAUUGAUGAUAAAAAUGGGAUCUUCAGUUGACUGCUUCUUGUUUCUCUUGUUGCAUCUGGCGCUCCAUCACAUUUGGCUUCUUUUAUAGUAACAGAGAAGGGAAGGACCAGAACAGAAAAAUGAAAAAAAAAAGCAUUGCAAUGUUAUACUUUGCCAUACCUUUUAUCUAAAAACUCUGGCUACAAAACAUCGCGUGGUUCGCUGAUGGGCCGGUCUGUGUUGCUUCAGCGAUCAGCACCGCAAGUAAAUAAAGAGAGCCGCCGGAAUGGCUCAACGACUGAUACAACACGAGCUGCAUGAAUGCACGGCGUAACUAAUUUGGAGCCAAAUUAGUCAUGGGAUUAGCUUUCCGGCCGGAUAGAACAUAGUACAGAAACGAGGGUAAGCCUCACUACACCGGAUUAGGUCACCUGUGAUGGGUCCUAACCAUCACCUUUGAAGGGCCGGUUUGGGCCUAGUCAGAGACUAAUGGUCACUGUUGAGUCUCAGUCACCUUUGAUGGUGCCCGUUAGAGGUAUCAAUCACCUCUGAUGGGCAUGUAUUUCAUGCCCGUUAGAGGUAUCAGUCACCUCUGAUGGGCAUGUAUUUCCGAGCCCGUCACAGGUGAUGAUGACCACACCGCAGUCCGUGGUUGCAACCCCACAGGUGACUUAUCUUUGAGGCUGUGACGGGUGCAUUAUAUUCGGCCUGUCAUAGGUAUAUCAUCUUUGACGGGGUAUAGUAUCAAAGCUGUCACAGAUGAGGUCACCUGUGAUGGAUUUUGUUAUGACCCAUCAGUGAUGAGGUGAAAUUCGAAAAAAAAAACAAAUUCAGAAUAUUAGCUAGCCUCAGGAUUUACUAGCCACGCCCUCUGAAAAACAGAAACAUCACAAAUAUAUGCCAGGCACCCCAAAUAUCACAUAUUCCCCAUUUUAGCACAUAUGCAUCUUAAAAUUUACAUCAUUCACAUAUGCAGUUCAAAUGCCACAUAUUUGCACAACACAUUCAUACCACAUUAAAGCCACAAACUUGCACAAUUUCUUGCCUUGCACAUGAAACCGCAAACUUACCAAAGUUUCUUGUAUCCUAUUCCUUUUGAACCUCCACAAUGACCUGUCAUUAAAAAAAAGGAGAAAACAAUUGAACGGUACAAAGUAAUUCGUAGUAGAUCAAUGGAACACUGGAGAAAUCGUCGGAGCUUCUUGAAGAAGAUUGCGUGGCUUGAGCGGUGAAAAUGGAAGUAACGGUGUGAAAUUUUUUAGGGUGGUGGUUGUUAUUUGUAAACAUGUGCUUAAUAGUCGAAAGGAUAACACUAGCAAGUUGCGGACUGAAAGAGAUAAUUCCACUGUGUUAUAUAACACAUCGGAAUUGGGGGAGCAUGUGUUAACAGUGAAAUUUGGCAAGAUAGACUCGGAUUUGGAGUUGGAUAUCGAAACGGAAUCAAAGGAGAUUGAUUUUUGCCAAAACAGACUACGCAUCGACUUGAAACAGAGUCGGAAUCUGGUUGAGCCGAUCUGGUGGGAAGCCGAUACAGCCUAACUUGGGCUCGGUUUGGGCCUCAAUUGAGAUAACUAUCAUUGCCGUUUAGAGAUAGAUCUCAUCUAAGGCAAUUGUAUCUAUUAAUUAGGAUAUUUAUCUUGGUUUGGGCCUCAAUUGAGAUAACUCUUUUCUUUUACUUUCCAACGAGUUCUUGCUUCAAGUCGGGGUAUCGGCUGCGAUCUCUCGACAAGUGGUAACUUGUCUUGAAGGCUUGCGCUAUCGGGGCUAUUAUAUCAUUUUAAUGUAUCAAUCAUUUUAUUGUGGUCAUUUUUAUCACAUAUCUUAGUUAAUAUAGUCUUAGUAUCUCAAUUUAGUCAUAUCAGUUGAUUCUCGUUUUAGGGUUUUUGUCGGUAUUGGCUUAAAUCGUCUUACUAGAUUAGAUUAGCUAAGGUUCUACCAUCCCGAAAAGUUGUUAACUCCUUGAUUGUUUUGACUUUAUGUUUCUCUGCGUAUUUUGUGAUGCAUCAUCCCUAGCCGUGCUUAGAAUCAUAGAAACUAAUCCGGAGUUAAUCAUAAUUAAGGAUAGUAUCGGAGUUUCAGCCGAUCUUACCUAAUAUACAUGACAAUGCAUGUUUCAUGAUCUGUUUAUGAAUAUUUGCCACUUAUAUAGAUAGAUUGAUUUAUAUAAAUGCAUCAAGUUAGAUUGAUCUCUCUUAAACUUUAUAUCUGGUGAUCGAUUGUUAUUUGGUACGUUUAUAUAGAUUGAUUUCUUUAUAUAAGUCUGUAUUAGAGUAUUAGUCAAUACAUUAUUUGUUUUUGCUCUAAGUACUGGUCUAUUGACUAUUUUUUAUAAUACUGUCUUAAAAUGAUUGACAAAAACCAAAGAGAUGGUAUUACAACCGUUAGGGCAUAUUUAGGGUUUGCACUUUAUCUAUUCAUCUAAAAGCCACAACCGAUUUGGUUUAACUGCAUCGGCUGGGUCCUGACGAUACGUCAUCGGCUCUAUCGGCCGAUCGGCUAUCGUUCAUCUAAUUAUGUUUUCUGUUUUAUCUUGCUGCUUGCCGAUCUCCUGCAAAAGGGCGUGAUCGAUAGUCACUCGGUUCAUCCUUUUUGCGCCCAGGAGCUUGAAACGACGAACCAUAUCCUCCUACACUGUGUGUUCAUACGUCAAGUCUGGCGCCUCGUCCUGUCUUCUGGUUGGCGUUGGCUCGCCCCUUCCCAUGGCUGCUCUCUUUAGGUCUGGUGGCCGUCUUCUAGGGCCUGUCUACCAAAGUGUCUUCGCAAGGGCUUUGACACUCUGGUCCUCCUGGUAUCCUGGCAGCUGUGGAAGGAGCGGAAAGCCAGUGUUUUUGAUUCGUCCCUUUCGCCGGUCUCGGUGGUUCUGGAGUCCAUCCUUUAGAAGAAUCGUCUUUGGUCUCUUGCUAGUGCCGCUUCAUUUGGGGACCUGUUGGGAACAUAGGGCAGCAGUUACUCCACCACCUCUCUCCCUCUUUAUAGGAGCAGCAUUUUCAGCUUGUUUUUCCUCCCUUCGCGGUCCUUUACCUUGCAUGCGGCAAGGGUCUAUCUGAUUUAUUGCGUUGUGAAACUAAAACUCUAUUUUCUUCUAAUAUACUGACGCAUAGUAUUUUUGUGCAUUCAUGAAAAGAAAUCUGUUUUAAGGAGCGAUGCAAUAUUGCAAUGGUGUGUCAAGAUUAUGUUCCGAUUAACAUUUGAUUAGAAGUAAUCAUCUGAAACCUAAUCACAUUGGGCAUUCAGGCAUGCAAAUUCUCAAAUUUGUUAAGUGUGGGCACUAUAUAUUUUAACUUUCGUUCAAUUCAUAGCGAACGAAAAUCGCGCGCACUUCCGAUGGAAAAUCCCGUGAGAAAAAAAAAUCAACGCUUCUACAUUGAUACGGUACCAUGCAAAAAUCGUGCAAAAAAUCAGCGUUCCCCAACCUUUGGACGCACAAAAAAUCAUCGUUUAAAUGGGGAAAAAAAGGGCAGGGUUCCACGCCUAGAGAGAGAUCAAAUAAUAUGGCAGUAGGGGUAGCUCUUCUAGCGCUUGUUCCUCUCUACCUUUUUGAUGAAGUUUCUGGUGCGGUCCAGUGUGAUAGCCUGGCCAAUUAGGGCAAGUAUUAUAAUGUUUCAUAUGCUGCCCCUAAAUGUGCCAUAUUGGAUUGAGUGAUGAGGUAGAGGAGAUAAGUGAGGAGAGAAAUGGUAAACCACCCCUAAAUGAAGAGGCAACCUCCACACAAAUUUUAAGAGGGGUGUGAGAGUAUAAGAGACAUUGGUAUUUGUGUACUAGAGGUGACAUAGUGUAUAGAUUGCCUCUUAAUUUAUGAGUAAAUGAUGUGGAUAAAUUUAGAUGUGGUAGUCACAUCUACCAUAACACUUGCCCUUAGGAUAAGGUCAGUAUAGCUCAUGAAGGUGUGUGCAUAUGUUUAGUACCACCUUAUUAGUUUAGUAAGGGUAAAAUCAACUUAUAAGUGCUCUUCCUUUCAAACAUAUCACUUCCGGGUUAACCCUUUUACACGAAGCGAGGACGAAAGUGUAUUUGAUCCAGAAUAGGAUAUGCAUAUCCCAUUCCAAAAUGAUCUAUUAAAAAUUAUAUAAAGAGCUAUUAAAAAUCAAGCAGACCAGGUACUACUGUCUACUACUAUACCAAGCAGACCGAUGCAAAAACAUACUACUACCACCAAGCAGAUCGAUGCAGCUACGGAAGGGGAUUUGCGUGUCAAACAUACGACGACUGCUACCAAGCACCGUGUCAUUUUCAAUGUCUAGAUGGUGUUUGAAUCUCCUGAAGAUAAAAAUUAUGUAUUUUACGUAAAAUAAGGUGAUAAUAACGUGUGAUUAAUUGAGUUUUAAUUAUUACAAACUUAGAAAAUAGAUUAAUCUGAUAUUUUAGAGCAACUUUCAUAUAGAAAGUUUUUUAUGAAACAUACAGUUUAGCAGUUUAAAAAGCGUGCCACAAAUAUCCAAAAUUUCAUCCACUUCUUGCAGUGGAAACGAACAGGAUUUUCCUUGGAAAAAAUACUACUAGCAUUACCUAGUUGGGGGGAACCAUUUUUCAUUGCAAAAAAUAUGGUGGUAGGGGAGGCUGUUAUGGCGCUCGUUCCGCUCUACGCCGAGCUGCUGCUCGGCUACGCGGUGGCGCGCCGGAGCGGCCGGGUCACGCCGGAGCUGCGCGACUUGGCGGUCUGGCUGGUGGGCAACGUCGCCAACCCCUUGUCCAUCUUGCACCUCACCGUGAGGGCCGUCUACAGAAAUUUAAGGCCUCGGAGCGAAAUACAAAUCAAAGCUCUAAAUUUUAAAAAAAUUCAUAUAUCUAAUUUAAUAUAGAGGGCAUAAUUUCAGUUUUAGUAUGUAUUAUUUCGUGCAAUGUUUAAAAAUAUAUCAAAUAUUAAUGCUAAAAGAGUAGGUAUCACUGCUGUUCUACCGAAAAUCAUCAUCUGUAUAGUGUUGUUUAAAUAAAAUCUUUAAUUGUUCAUAAUUAAUAAUGUUGAAGACAUAUUUUCAGCACCCGAAUCAUACUUUAUCUUUCUAGAAGGCAUGAUGAGGUGAUUGACGAAACAAAUCUAUUAUUUUUUUAUCAACAAAAGCAAAGACAUGUGUUUGAUUCAAUCAGGAAUCCAUUCAAUUGUUUGUUCACUCACAAUACUGUAACAGUAGUUCGUCAAAUUAGUAAAUUACCUGAUGAAGUGAUUAGUGAAGCCGGCAAGCGCCCGCUAGAAGUUGCUUUAGGCUCGGCCUCCACGCUCGCCUCCGGCUGUCCUCCUCGCUGAUGGUUGCCACGAUUUGCACCACCACCGCCGCCCGCUCGAUCGACGCUCUGCCAGCUGCGCGGCGCCUCGCGCCCUCGCCGUCUCGAUGCACGCACGCACAAUACCUGGGAAUUAUAGGAUGGACUGCUCCUUCAUUGACCUGCGACACCUCGAUCUAACUGACGCAUGCGAUCUCCAAUCGUUUGACGCUUGCGAUGCCUUGGCUUUGCUUCUACCCUAGCUCUCAUUAGCUGAUCGCCAGGCAUGUGGCCCACCCUAGAUGGUGGUGUGGGGCCCCCAAAAGUUGGGGGCCCUGUGCGGUCGUCGUUUUCGCACUCCCCCGUCGACGGCCCUGCCCACCAUGAGUAUCGUCCACCUCUCCGACCUCGACUACCAUGUCCUCCAAUGCUCAACUCAUCCGGUCCACGAGUAUCACUCGUCGACAUAUACUUUUAUCGUAUAUAUAAAUUACUUUUUGAUUUAACUAAAUUAUCUCAUAUACAUACAUAAUGCUCUGAGUUAAUUACUUUUAUUAUUAUUUUUAGUCAAUUCCAUUAUUUGUAUUGAUUAAAUUUCAUUUCUGACAAACCCAUCACUGGUGGAGAAGUGGUUUUAAACCACGGUUCACAACCCCUAGUAGUCCUGUUUUGUAACCGGGACUACUAAUCCGAGACUAAAGAUGCAUUUCUUUAGUCCCGAGUGAAAUAACGGGAACUAAAGAUGGAUCUUUAGUCCCGCUUAGUGUUACCACUAAUCGGGAGUAGAUAUUUUUUUUUUCCUUUUUUUCAUUAAUUUUAACUGCUUGCAUAUUGAUUUCACUCCAUCCCCAAAUCACGAAAACCCCAAAUCACCUCCGAAUCAUAGAUCAAAUGCAUCACAAAUUCUAAAAGAAACAUCACACAUACAUCACAUAUUCACAUCAAAAAUUCCCAAAAACAAAUUCAACAAAAAUAUACAAAAACAAAUUGUAAAUCCGCCCAUCCGCCAUCGCUCCACCACCGCCCGCCGCCUCCCCAGCCCAGCACGUGCCCCCCAACCCCGCCCCCGCCCCCGCGCGCGUGCCGCUUUCGCUCGCUCCUCGCUGCUGCUUCAAGAAAAGGAGAGGAUAAGAGAGAGAGAGAGACAGGAGGAAAGGGAGGAGGAGGAAGUUAAAGAUGAGGAGGAGUUUGCGAUCGAGGAGGAGAGGAUAAGUGUGAGGGAUUAUAUACGACGCGUUAAUUUUUAGUCCCAGUUGAUAAUAUCAACCGGGUCUAAAGAUAAUAGGGGACUUGGCUAGUUCAUGUAAGAAAUACUGGGAAGCUGCAACCUACGUCUUGGACGAGCAAGUAAGACGGCUCCCAAUGGAGGUCAAGUUCAUCAUCCAAGUUCUUCGAAACGUAAACAUACUGGCUGCUCUUGUUGGUAUUGUAUUGGCUGUUUUCAAAUCCACUACUAACCAGAGGUACGUACGUUCGAAUGCAUGCAUUCAUGAAGAACAUCUAUCAUAAUGAAUUAAUUAAUGAUAGGAUCUAUCACUGUCUGUGCCUCUCUCUGAAUUCAAUUAUAACAAUUAGAGCACCCGCAAUGGUAAAGUAAGGUGCUAUCUAUAAAAUAUGUACAUCUCAGCAAUAGACUAGAUUAAUAUUAACCAUCUCAGUAGUAUGUCUAUAUGGGUAUCUAUAGCUCUCUAAUACAUUGCCUCGUUUUUCUCUAUAGACUAUCUCCAGGUUAGUAGAUAGCUUUGCUCUCUCUUUUUAUUUAAUCUCUUUCAAGUAGGAAAAUAUGCUGACAUGGAUCUCUUAUAGAGAGCCUAUAGAUAACCAUUGUGGGUGCCCUUAGUCGCUGAAGUUGAAUGAGAUUAACAAUUUUAUUAUUUUGUUCGGAUAAGGCGUUCAGGUUAAUUCAAGAUUUCAAGUAGUUGAGAGAAACCAUAUAUACGUAUGUUUUCCCCUCGCAUAUGGAUUCAUCUAUGUACGAGUUAUUCAGCCGUAGUAUCUGACGACUAUUGUAUCUCCCUCCCCCCCCCCCCCUUUUUUUUUAAAAAGUCUUUUUCACGUAUAAUUAGCAUUAAUCAGUUAAGCUGGCGAGAUUUGUCGGUCCCCAAAUUUUUGUCGUUUGUUGAGGUUGAAUUUGUAGACGGUCCACGAAGACCAAAACUCGAGAAGCCAAACCCUAUCCCCUCACAUAGGCUCGAUCAGCCCGGAGGACAGGAUUCUCCUGGAUUUUACUUAUCUUUAUGAUCAUCGAUCUAUUUUUGGUAGAAUUAUUCAAACUGAAUUUUGAAUUUUCAUUCAAAUUCGGUGAAAUUCCGCUGUUUGUCUUCUUCUUCUUCUUCUUUCCUUUUUUAAGCUGGAACCUUGCUCCACAGCAGGGUUCAAAAUUUUGGAUUUGUUCUAUCGGACCUCCCGAUGUGAUAUUAUUUCGGCCGAAAUUUUUAUUUUUUUUCAUUUUUUCGUGAAUUUAGUAAUAUUUUGAUCAAAUUUUAUUCAAUAAUUCAUAUAAUUUCAGACCAAAAAUUCGGUAUUUCGGCCACCCCGAUACAAAUGACCAAACCGAAAGAUUAAACCCUGCUUCGUAGUGAUUCCAAAGGAGGGCAGCCGCACGGACCCUAAAUCAAUAAUAAAACUAUAAUAUGAGUGGUGAGAUGGCACUAAAUAUCAAGUGCCAAAAUGAAAUAUGUGCUGACUGAUUUGUACUCCCUUGUGUCUUUUUUACUUGUCUAGUACAACUGAGAGAGUAUCAAAUGCACAUGUUGUUACCAUUCUCUUUGUCUAAUCAUAUAUCUAUAAGAAUUAGUAGAAAUAUAACUAAAAUGCCAAAUUUAACAAACUCAUUUCCACAUAUCAAAUCUUAUUAUUUUUUUCGAUAUUUUAGCUGGUAAAGAUUUUUGAGGUUUGCAUGUAUUCUAAUACAACACCGAAAAAGAACAGAGGGGUUAUGCAUUGUAAAAGUUGUGCCUUGAAUGGUUUACGCUGUUCUACACGGUACAUGUGACAUGUUCAAGAGCUUGGGAGUGCAACUCUUGCAGUGUGGAUGGCCUCAUGGCAAUCCAGUAGGUCUGAACAGAAUCAAGCAAUAUUUUCAUUGUCAUUAAUUAAGCAAUAGAUGCCAUUGUUUCCAUGAAAAGUAGCUGCACUGGUCUGUCACUGUCAUUGUUAAGUUGUCCGUUAGCAUAAUUCACCUCUCAAGAAAACCCCUACAUUUUGAUCCUGAAUUCAUUGCUGACAUGUCAUUGUCCUGAUUGACAGGCUAAAUAUUAUACUAGGCUACUUGGAGUCUUUGAUCCACUGGUGGAGAAACCAUCUUUCGUCGGUCGGCCAAAUUCCACAAUAGUCCCGGAUGCAAUAAAAACCGAGGCUAAAGAUGAUUUUUAGUCCCGGUUCAAAAGGGUAAUGGGCAUAUUUGAUCUUUAGUCCCGGUUGGUCACCAUCUUUAGUCCCGGUUCAAAUGCUGUCAGGGCCUGUCAGGCCCCCCGGGAUCUUUAGUGAUCGUAACUUUAGUCCCGGUUGGUAGAUCUCGGGGAUCUUUAGCCCCGGUUGGUAACACCAACCGGAAUUAAAGUCCCACCCCUAUAUAUAUAUGUCUUCUUCCUCCUCCAGCUGCCCGAGCAAGCUUCAAAAUUUCUUCAAAAAAGAGGGUAGGUCAUGCCAAAAUUUCUAGUGAAUUUAUUUUGGUAAUUACAUACAAAUCGGAGGUGCCUAAAAAGUUUGCAACUUCAUCCUCCAAUGUUUUUUUUGUCAUAUUACAUUUGCAGUUAUGUUUUGCACACUUUUUUGUCUCUAAAAUUUAGUUGUAAGUUGAUGAGAGAGAAAAUUUGUGUGGGUUAGAAAGAAUAUAUACAAAUUUAGUUGAUUUGAUAAAGAAGGUUUUAUAAAAUAGUUGAGAAGGAAAACUAUAGUGAAAGUUAAUCUUGAAUACUAGAAAACAAACUAAAAUGAAAAUUAAAAGAAGUAAAACACAUUAAAAUUAGUUUAAAACUUUAGAAAUAGUAAAUAAGAAUUAUUUGGUGUAAUAUUUUAUGAUUUUUGUAUGAAUAAAGAUGUGUCAUUAUUGUAUGACUGUUGAAACAGUUUGUAAUUAUCUUAUAAUUAUUGUAUGACUGUCAUUAUUGUAAGAAUAAUUAUUUGUGUACGAUUUUUUUCGACUCAUGUAGAUGGAUCGGCAAUGGAUGUACGCUGACCGGCGGUCCAAAGAGUUUAUUGACGGCGUGCACUAUUUUUUGAGAGUGGCCGAAGCUAAUAGGCAAAGGGGUUUUAUUUGUUGUCCAUGCAAUAAGUGUAAGAAUCAGAAGGAGUAUUCUGCAUCCAGGACUAUUCAUUUCCACUUGUUUGAGUCGGGGUUUAUGCCAAGCUAUAAUUGUUGGACAUCCCACGGAGAGCAAGGUAUUGAAAUGGAAGAAGAUGAAGUGGAAGACGACAAUAUUCCGGACUUUGCUCAGUACGUUGGAUUUGAAGGAAAUCAAACGGGCGAGGAGGAAAGGGAUGCUGAUGGUAACGACGUUGCGGAUGAUCUUGGUCAGAUGUUGCAGGAUGCCAAGGAGGACUGCGAAAGUGAAAAGGGGGCCCAUAAAUUGGACAAGAUGUUAGAGGACCACAGAACUUCGUUAUACCCAGGUUGCGAGCAGGGGCACAAAAAGUUGGAUACCACUCUGGAGUUCUUGCAAUGGAAGGCAAAAAAUGGGGUUAGUGACAAGGCAUUUGGCGAUUUAUUGAAACUCGUCAAGAACAUUCUUCCGGAGGGAAACAAAUUGCCCCAGACAACGUACGAGGCUAAGAAGAUAGUCUGCCCGCUAGGACUGGAAGUUCAGAAGAUUCACGCAUGUCCGAAUGAUUGUAUCCUAUAUCGCGGUGAGGAGUAUGAGAACCUAGAAGCAUGCCCUGUUUGCAAAGCACUACGAUACAAGAUUAGACGAGACGAUCCAGGAGAAGUUGACGGGCAGCUAACAAAGAAGAGAAUUCCUGCUAAGGUGAUGUGGUAUUUCCCUAUAAUACCACGGCUAAGGUGUUUGUUCAGGAAUAAGGGGAAUGCUAGAAUGAUGCGAUGGCACGCUGAAGAGCGUCAACAGGACGGGAUGCUGAGACACCCCGCCGAUGGUUCGCAGUGGCGAAACAUCGACAGAAAAUUUAAAGAAUUUGGAAAGGACGCACGAAACAUACGGUUUGAUUUGAGUACGGAUGGCAUGAAUCCUUUUGGAGAGAUGAGCAGCGGCCAUAGCACUUGGCCCGUUACGAUGUGUAUCUAUAACCUUCCCCCCUGGCUAUGCAUGAAGAGGAAGUACAUAAUGAUGCCGAUUAUUAUUCAAGGCCCCAAGCAACCUGGUAACGACAUCGAUGUGUACCUAAGACCACUGGUCGAAGAUCUUAAACUGUUGUGGAAGAAGGAAGGUGUCCCCGUGUGGGACAACGACAAACAGGAGGAGUUUAACCUACGAGCGCUGCUGUUCGUAACCAGCAACGAUUGGCCUGCACUUAGCAACCUAUCCGGACAGUCCAACAAGGGGUACAAGGCUUGCACUCACUGUAUGGAUGAAACAGAAAGUACGUAUCUUAAGCACUGUAGGAAGGUUGUUUACAUGGGUCAUCGUCGAUUCCUUGUAGCAAACCAUCCGGUACGGAAGAAAGGCAAGCACUUCGAACAUAAGGCUAACCACCGUACGAAGCCUAAACAUCGCAGCGGGAAAACAGUGUUUGCUAUGGUUAAAGAUCUUAAAGUAGUGUUCGGAAAGGGGCCUGGAAGCCAGCCUAUAGAGAGCGAAGAUGGUCACGCGGCGAUGUGGAAAAAGAACUCUAUAUUUUGGGAGUUACCCAAUUGGGAAUUCUUGGACGUACGCCACGCAAUCGACGUGAUGCACCUCACUAAGAACCUUUGCGUAAACCUUCUUGGCUUCCUAGGUGUACACGGAAAGUCGAAAGAUACACUGGAAGCACGUAAUGAUCUGAAGCAUAUGGAAGAACGCGGCGACCUUCAGCCGGAACCAAAGGAGAAAGGAAGCCAUUACUUGAGUCCAGCCAGCUACACUCUUAGUAUGGCAGAGAAGGAAAGUAUGUUUGAAUGCUUGGAGAGCAUAAAGGUACCGUCUGGAUACCCCACGAAUAUCAAGCGAAUAAUAAGCACGAAGGAAAAGAAGUUCACAAACCUAAAGUCUCAUGACUGUCACGUGUUGAUGACACAACUGCUACCAGUUGUAAUAAGGGGUAUCCUUCCAGACAAUGUCCGGGCAACGAUAACAAAGAUAUGUGCAUUCAUGAACGCAAUUUCGCAGAAGGUCAUCGAUCCGGAUAGAUUAGAAGCCCUUCAGAAUGAUGUGGUGCAAUGUCUCGUCAGUUUUGAGUUGAUAUUUCCACCUUCAUUUUUCAAUAUAAUGACGCAUCUGCUUUGUCACCUUGUGAAAGAGAUCAGUAUUCUCGGGCCUGUGUACCUACACAACAUGUCCUUUCGAGAGGUACAUGGGCAUUCUGAAGAAGUAUGUUCGUAACCGUGCUCGUCCAGAGGCAAGCAUCGCCAAGGGUUAUGGAACAGAGGAGGUCAUCGAAUUUUGCGUAGAAUUUAUCGAAGAUCUUCGCUCAAUCGGGGUACCUGAAUCACGCCAUGAAGGAAGACUACGGGGAAAGGGAACUCUCGGAAGGAAAGCAAUAAUGACGGUAGACAACGAUUUAUUCCGUAAAGCCCAUUUCACGGUUCUGCAACAAUCUUCAUUGGUAGCUCCUUAUGUCGAGGAGCACUUGGCUCUAGUUCGCGCCAGGAACAUCGGUAAGUCCGAUGCAUGGAUUACAUGGCAUCACAUUGAUACUUUCCCCGCGUGGCUACGACAACAUCUCAUGGGUAACGAGUCGAUCAACCAACAACUUGCCUUCCUGGCGAGGGGACCGUCUGGGUCGAUCGCGACAUUCCAGGGAUAUGAGAUCAAUGGGUAUACAUUCUACACGAGAGCCCAAGACAUGAAGAGCACGAACCAAAACAGCGCUGUUCGUGUCGAUGCCAUGGGACACGAUGGAACAACUGGCACGUAUUACGGUGCCAUCGAGGACAUAUGGGAACUUGACUAUGGUCCUCUCAAGGUCCCUCUGUUCCGGUACCAAUGGGUUAGGUUGACUGGUGGAGGCGUAAUGAUUGAUGACAGUGGGAUGACAACGGUUGACCUUAACAAGGUUGGAUACUCGGACGAACCUUUUGUCCUUGCCAAUGAUGUAACGCAAGUCUUUUUCGUGAAGGACAUGUCUAGCAAAGGAAAGAAGGGCAGAUGGCCUAACGAGCCUAAGUGUCAUGUGGUUCUCCCAAGCAAAAGAAAAAUCGUCGGAGUUGAGGACAAGACUGACGAGGAUUACGAUCAGUUGGAUGGGCAACCCCCUUUCACGGUGACGAUUGACCCUAGCAUCCUCCUAUCAAAUGAAGACACCCCUUACUCACGUAGCGAUCACAAGAAGGGAACAAUAGUGAGGAGAAAGUACGUGCGGUCAACCGUCACCGCCGAUGUAUUGCCGUAAUUAUUGUGUACACGAUGUAAACUAUUUUGGAUGUAUUGAUUAUCCAUAUAAAUCAAUUGAUGUAUGGCAUAUGUUAAUUACGCACGAUUAUUAGAGGUUUUAACAAGUUUAAAUCAUGUAUAUGCUAGUUAUAUGCGAUACUUACAAUUUUUAAAAGUUUUAAAUCACGCAGGUGGCAAUUUCAUAUGUUAAUUAGAGUUUUUAACAUUUAAUUUACUAUCAUUCAUAUGCAUGUGGCAUUUACAUAUGCUAAUUAUAAUUGACUAGAGAAUUUUUAAAAGUUUCAAAUCAUGCAUGUGGCAUUUACAUAUGUUAAUUAGAGUUUUUCACAAUUUAAUUUACUAUCAUUCAUAUGCUAAUUAUAUAUGACUAUUCGAAUUUUUAAAAUUUUUAAAUCAUGCAUGUGGUAUUUACAUAUGUUAAUUAGAGUUUUUAACAAUUAAUUUAAUAUAAUUCCUAUGCUAAGUAUAUAUGAUGAUUACAAUUUUUAUUAAUUUUAAAUCAUGCCGUAUGUAUAUACAUAUGUUAAUUAGAGUUUUUACGAAUUUAAUAAUAUCAUUCAUAUGCUAAGUAUAUAUGAUUAUUAGAAUUUUUAUUAAUUUUAAAUCAUAUAUUUGCUUAUUACGAUUUAUCCACUUAAUUUAUUACAGACAACAGUAAUUUUUCGAAGUAAUUGUCAUUAAUCUUUGUACUUUAAAUAAUUGUAAUGCAUUAUCUUCUAUUUUAGAAACACAUAUGUAAUGGAAAAUAAUAUUCAGUGCGCUUAUCAGUAGUCCCGGUUCUUAACCCUAACCGGGUUUAAAAAGAAUUUGAAAAUAGCGGGAAAAGAUCUUUAGUCUCGGUUGAUGAGAACAACCGGGACUAAACAACCGGGACUAAAUCUUUAGUCCCGGUUGUUCUCAUCAACCGGGACUAAAGAUCUAGGGGUAUAUAUAUUCCCGAUGCGCGCCCUCGUCUUCUCCACUAACACUUAGAAGUUUUUGCCCGAUCAAUCUCUCUCGGCUUCUCCUUCGCCGCCACUGCCUAGGGCAUCCCCGCGCCGACGCCGCCGCCGUAUCUCGCCGUCGUCUCGCGCUCGUCGUCGUCGCCGCCGCCUCCGCCUCCUCCGCCGCCGCCGCAUCUCUGGGGUGAGAGCCGCCGCCGUGCAGCGCCCGUUCCGUCAUGGCGCCUAGCGGGAAAACUAUCUCUUAAAAACCCUAAUUGCGAAAUCUGUUUCUUUGCUUGUUGUCUAGUGUCUGUGCCAUCUCAGAUCUCGAAUCCCCGAUCUAUCGUCAAGUUCAAUCCCGAAUCCAAAUCCUUCCCAAAUCAAUUCCCUCUGCAAAAGUCUAUUUUGCCUCCCUCGGGUUCGAUGGGCCGAAUUCCUCUCGGCCCAUCUCUCCCUCCCUCCCCAUCUCUCUCUCCCUCUCUCUCUCUCUCUCCCCGCUCUGCCCGUGAGCCGCGCCGAGCCCUCCCUCUCCACUCUCGCUGCCGUUCCCGCCGACGCCGCCAAAUCGUCGCCGCGCGCCGUUGCUUCCCGCGCGCACGCGCCAUGGUGGCCGACCGGCCAGUCGCCGCCGCCGUCAGAUACAACAUUAAGCAACACUUGACAGAUGAUGGGAUCAGCCAGGCCUGGGUGGCCGUUUGAAAGCUGUUGGCCGGAUGUCAACCUUGAUCAAUUCAAAAGACUGAUACCUUGCACAUACUCCGACCGGACGAGACGCACUGUCUCAUCCGUGUCGUUUGAGAAGCACUCACUUAGUUGUUUCAGAAAAGAGUUUAAAUAAAAUCAAUUGCAAAAACAACAGCCUUUCCGUUGAAGCCUGCAUUAAACACUUAUUUCCCACGGCUUGCUGAGUACUCCUGUACUCACCCUUGCUCUAUAUAAAUAAUCCCCCCCAGUUGCUGAAGAAGAUGAAGCGGAUCCCGCUGACGAGGAGUUCUUCCAGGAGCAAGUCGGCUACGAUGAGUUUUCGGGUUUCGGCCUAGUUCCCAAGUCGCGCCUGUGAUGUUUGGUCCAAGUCUUGGCUUCCGCUUCCCUUUUGUAAUGCAGUUGUGAGCUCGGGAUCUGUCCGCAGCCCAAUAUGACUGUACUCCUACUCUAUAAUAAAGAGACCUCUGUUGCUGUGAUAUUCUGUCUUCCUGUGAUACCAGCACUGUUUCCUGGGACUGGUAUCGAUUAACAGGUUAAUUUGGAGCGUCACGGUCUAGUCCCGCUCGGGGCUAGUUCGGGGCGUGACACGCCGCCUCCCUCGAUCUCUCUCUCCGAUCCUCGCGCCGCCACACCGCCGCCGCGCAACGCCGCCGCCGUGCAACGCCGCCACCGGGCGUACCGCCCCGACGGCACCGCGCCGCGCGCAGCACGCCGCCGCCGCACCACGCCGAUGCUGCGCGCGGCGCCACGCCGCCGCGCCAUGCGUCGGCCCGAUGCCGCGCGCGGCGCCACGCCGCCGCCGCGCCGCCGCUCCGCUGCCGCCACACCGCCGUCCCACUGCCGCCACACCGAGAACGUGAACGAGCGAACGAACAUGAACGAGAACAAGGUGAAUGAACGUGAACGAGAACGAGCGAACUAACGUGAACGAGCCAACGAACGUGAAUGAGAACGAGCGAACGAACGUGAACGAUAACGUGAACGAGCGAACGAACGUGAACGUGAAAUGCAAUUAUAGGCAGAUGAAUGAACGUGAACGAACAAACGUAGGUGAAUGAAACGUGACCUUAACGAGAACGCGAACGUGAACGAUAUCGUGAACGAAACGUGAACGUCAAAUGCAAUAUAUGUUACUUCGCGUUUAUCCUAAUACAUCUUUUUGUAUCUUGCAGAAAAGACGUUGUCAGAGUCAUCUCUCAAGCCGGAGUGGUAGAGCUAGCCCUCGAAGGAAUUCGCGCAGGCAAGUGACGUAAUUAUAUAUAUGAUUGUUAUAUUUGUAAUGCAAUUAAGAUUAUUAGAUUUGUAAUUAGACUUAGCAUAUAAGAUUGUGUAGUGUUCUAAUAUACGACAGUUACACUUAGCAUACAUGACUAUUUGAGUUUUAGUAUAAGAUUAUUUAAGUUUUAAUACAAGAUUAUUAUAUUUGUAAUUAGACUUAGUAUAUAAUUAUUGACUAGCUAGGGUCCUAUAAUAUAUGUCACCUAGACUUAGCAUAUAUCACUAUUUGAGUUUUAGUAUAAGAUUAUUAGAUUUGUAAUUAGACUUAGCAUGUAAGAUUGUGUAGGGUUCUAAUAUACGACAGUUACACUUAGCAUACAUGACUAUUUUAGUCUUAGCAUAUAAGAUUAUUUGAGUUUUAAUAUAAGAUUAUUAUAUUUGUAAUUAGACUUAGUAUAUAAUUAUUGACUAGCUAGGGUCCUAUAAUAUACGUCACCUAGACUUAGCAUAUAUCACUAUUUGAGUUUUAGUAUAAGAUUAUUAGAUUUGUAAUUAGACUUAGCAUGUAAGAUUGUGUAGGGUUCUAAUAUACGACAGUUACACUUAGCAUACAUGACUAUUUUAGUCUUAGCAUAUAAAAUUAUUUGAGUUUUGAUAUAAGAUUAUUAUAUUUGUAAUUAGACUUAGUAUAUAAUUAUUGACUAGCUAGGGUCCUAUAAUAUACGUCAUCUAGACUUAGCAUAUAUCACUAUUUGAGUUUUAGUAUAAGAUUAUUAGAUUUGUAAUUAGACUUAGCAUGUAAGAUUGUGUAGGGUUCUAAUAUACGACAGUUACACUUAGCAUACAUGACUAUUUUAGUCUUAGCAUAUAAGAUUAUUUGAGUUUUAAUAUAAGAUUGUUAAAACAUAAAUGUCUCAUGACUUAGCAGAUGUUUCCUGUAUGAACAGAUGGCUAAUCGCGAUGAGGAACAAAUAUUGUACGAUACAAUCGCGGAGGGAAGUAGCCAGUACUGGAACGAAGAAGAGGGGAACGAGGAUCCAAACCAGUAUUUGAACGAGGAAGGGAACGUGGAGAGGGAUGCAGAGGGGAACCAGGAGGGGCACGUGGAAAGGGAUGUGGAGGGGAACCAGGAGGAGAAGGCUAGUGGAAGUCAACCCUCCGUUGGACAGAAGAGGGCACGCGGGUAACGAGGUACCACGAAGAAGCUUGAGGGUCGGCACAUCAUAACGGAAGUGGAAGAAGAUGGACGACCUAGUGCCCCGGCAGAAGCCGCCAAGAACUAUGUAUGUCACAGUGGUUGGGUUGUGCGGGAUAACGUGCCUGUCAGUACGGUGUACUGGCAAAGAACAAGGGCACGCAGAGAUCAUGAGAGCUUUGUCCCAGAUUCGAAGAAAGAGAUGCUGUGGACCACAAUGCUCGAGACAUUCACCCUUCCCGCGGGUAGAGAGGACAAAGUGAAAAGGUGGACUCUGAAGAAAAUGGCAGAACAGUUUCAGAGCUUCAAGGGAGAUCUGUACCAGAAAUAUAUCCUGAAGGGGCAGACACCGAACUUCGACACAUUCCCAAAGCUAAGGGAUCACUGGGACGAGUUCGUUGCAUAUAAGACAGGUGAACAAGGGCAGGCGAUAAUGGAAAGAAACAAAGAAAAUGCCGCCAAGAAGAAGUACCAUCACCACUUGGGGUCAGGCGGCUAUAGCGUUGCGAUGCCGAAGUGGGAGGAGAUGGAGGCAAGCUUGCUUGAGAGGGGUAUCGAACCGGCCACCGCUAAUUAGCCGGAACGAUCGAAGUUCUGGUACUAUGCUCACGGUGGAACGCUCAACCCAGCUGAUGGCCCACUGGUCUUCGGCGAUCAGAUACAAGAGGCUGCGCGUUGACUAGCAGACGCAGUGGAAGCCUCUUCUUAGGGCACGUUCCGACCGGACAGAGAGAGGGACGAGCUGUCACUCGCCCUGCAGACUCCAGAGCAUCCAGGACGAACACGAGCGAAAGGGGUGAUUCCUUGGAAGAUUAGGUUCAAGGAGGACAUCCACACGUACAGGAGUCGGAUGAGGAGCAAGAGAGAUACCAAGGUGAAGAUUGCAGAUCUAGAGUUCAGGGUAUCGAGCUACGAGCGCAGCAUGCAAGAGGAGGUGGCAAGGAAGGUUGAUGAACGCAUGGCCGCACAUCGGUCCCAUGAUCCCCAGCCGACCAUUCCUCCUGCAAUGGUGAGCCCGUCAGGAAACCGUAGCAGCUGCGCCUCAAUGGGGCAGGUAGGAUCACAGAGUAUGGACGCCAUACAAACCCAGGACGAAUCCACUUGCCCCGUUGAUGACAUCAUUCAGUGGACACCAUGUGAGCUGCAUAUUCCUUUCAAGAACUUAUCAAUAAAGGUAAGCUCGUAGUUUAUAUAUUUUAGAUUUGGCCAUUCCGCUAGUUGCUGCUUAUAUAUGUUGAUUACUAAUAAAUAACCUCUCACCACAUGAAGGUGGCGUCGGGCAUGGCCAUCCCAAUGGACCUUUCAGGUACUUACCACUGCAGGCCGAUUCCAGCAGGAUACUCCAAGGUCGAAGUUGAGUUGGUCGAAGGCGCGUACGAGGACCUCGCGCUGGAUUACCCUGGAGGAGACGGUGAGACGCAUCUACGAGACACAAGCCAUGCCAUUAUUCUAUGGCGCAGGCGGUACAUCAUCCUCCCUGGGCGACAAGCGGCGUCUCAUGCACCAUCUCCUCCGGCUCUGCCAUCUCCUCCUCAGGCUUCAGCACCGUCUCCACCUCAGGCUCCUACACCGACUCCUCCUCAGGCUCCUGCACCGUCUCCACCUUAGGCUCCUGCACCGACUCCUCCUCAUGCUCCAGCACCGUCUCCACCUUAGGCUCCUGCACCGACUCCUCCGCAAGCUCCUCUUCCGGCACCUUCAAAGUCAAGGGCCCCCCAAGCUCCACCGCUUGCCCACACAAGGGCAACGAAGAAGGCGAAAGUUGACGCCGCCAAGAACAAAGACCUAAUUAAUUAAAGGAUGACAUUCUCUGGAUCAAUUUCAAGGGAAUCUACGAACUAUACCAGCUGGAUGCCCUCGACGUCUCUAUUAUGAGUUGCUGGAUUUUGUAAGUAUAUCGUUCAGUUAGAUUUCUUACUACGUCUCCUUUAAUUAAUUAGGUCCUUGUAUAUAAGUAGACUAUAGAAAAUAAUAUACUCCCUUUUAUCAUUGUAGAAUGGAGAUUCAAAGGGCCCGACGGCGGGGGGUUUUCGAUACUGGAUUCAUCGACCCUCGGAAAGUAAACGUCGCAAUGCUCGACCAAUAUCCGCAAGCCACAGAGGACAAUCUCGUCCAUCUCCUAAAGGCGCAGCAUUACAAGACGUUCAUACUGUUGCCGUACAACACAGAGUUAGUUUAAUUUUACUGUCUUCCUAUACCAAAUUUCAUUCCCGUAUGAACUUGCUAAGUGUUUCAUAUGUAAUGCAUCCCACGCACAUUGUAGAUUCCACUGGGUGCUUUUACUCUUCGACCUGUCGGCCUGCACCGUCAAUGUAUAUGACUCAAUGGAUAAAAAAGAGUCUACGUUUGACAAGGUUUUCGAACUUAUAGACAGGUACUGUCAUAAGUUCCUCUGUUAAUUAAGAAAAUCUUGUUAUGUUAAUUGCUACUACGAAUCAUAGCUUUAAACUCCAUGUAGGGCUUGGUAUCGGUUCCGUCAUUUGGUCCGCGGCAACUGGAGAGAAAGACUUAGGCGGAAGUUCAAAUUUUCUGUGAGUACACAUGCUCUACAUUUAUAUUUCUCCGAUUCAAAUACAUACAAGUGUAUAUUAAUUAGAUCUCUCGUCGUUUGUCAUUUAUUUGUAGUGCGCAAAGCAAAAGCAGUUCAAAGCACUUAGGUAUUAACAUUAACCACUUUACUAACUAGUUCAAAGCAAGUUUGAACUGAAUUUGAACUUGUUUUUGUUAGAUUUUGAUUCUAGGUAUAUAGCAUCCAUACAUAUAAUUAGUUAGGUAUGUAAUCAUGGAUUGUGAAAUAAAGUUAAAUUUGAGUUGUUUUGUUGAUAGGUAUAGGUAUGAAUCGAAUUAUUAUAACUAGGUAUAUACUCACAAUUUGAAAAUUUUGAAAAAUUUGAGUGAUUUUGUGCAUUUGAUACCAUGGUGCCGGGCACCAUGGUGCCCUAUAUGAGUGUCUAUAUAUAUAUAUAUAUAUAUAUAUAUAUAUAUAUAUAUAUAUAUAUAUAUAUAUAUAUAUAUAUAGACACACACACACAUACAUACAUAUGCAUUUGCAAAACAUAUAUAUGUAUAAAUACAUAUAUAUUAUGCAUGUACAUAUGUAUUGAAACAUAUAUAAAUAUAAUAUAUAUAUAUAUAUAUAUAUAUAUAUAUAUAUAUAUAUAUAUAUGCAUAUAUUAUAUAUGCAUAUAUAUGUAUUGAAACAUAUAUAUGCAUGGUUUAUAUAUAUAUAUAUAUAUAUAUAUAUAAACCAUACAGUAAUAGGGCCAUACAAAAAAAAAGGUUAGCUCGAUCUUUAGUCCCGGUUGAUGUUAUCAACCGGGACUAAAGAUCGAUCUUUAGUCCCGAUUAUUUCACCCGGGACUAAAGAUAGCGAUCUUUAGUUUCGGAUUGGUAGUCCCAGUUUAGAAACCAGGACUAAAGAGAAGUUACGAACCGGGACUACAAAGGGUUUCUCCACCAGUGAAUAUCGCGUCCUUGUCACUGGGCAUAGGAGCGCUGCCUAUGAUCAGCACGGGUAAGUACAAAUUUAUACUCGCAUUAAAACAUUGACAUGUGCUCAUACAUGCAUAAAUAUAAAUUGUUCUGCCUAUGUAUAUAUCAUAGGAGUAUAUGAUACACCAGGUACAGGGGAUAUACAUUAUUUUUCCUUUUUAAAUUUCCCACUAACAGUAACAGAUUGUCUUUUAUUUUCCUUUGUAACAAAUAUGCAUGUCUUGGACACUUGUUUUUGGGGCGGGGUCAUGCUCAUUUUAUCUGCAGGUUUGUCCAUGGGAAGUCAGGAAAGUAUCAUAGCUUGUGAUCUGUGCGGCUGCAUCCUGGGACAGGUUUUGAAGUUUGCUCUUGGACCCAUUGCGAUGACCAUUGCAUCCAAAAUUGUUGGCCUUCACGGCAACAAACUCCGGGCUGCCAUCAUACAGGUAUCUAAUUACAAUGUUAUUUGUAGUCAGACGUUUAGAGACCAAACGCAACUUUCUCACGACACAUUUCCAUAUUACCUUCCAACUACGCUCUUUAAUCUUUUUCUUUUCUUGCUUCGAUGAUGGAAAUCCAACCCUUCUUAAUUACCUGCUUGAAUAUUCAGAAAGCGAGCGCGGUUGAUAAUGGUUGAAAGUAGCUUUUCUUUACCAUGGCAAGACGAUUGAUAAUUGUUAAUCUUUUUUUCCCUGAGAUUGAUAACUUUUAAUCUUGAUCACUUCCUAGCUUAGAUUUACUCAAAUAGUUAAGUUCACAAUGGUCAGAUUUUUAAAAGAACAUAAUGGCCAGUUUUUUCUGUGUUCAAACAUAAUGGUCAGAGACUCAGAGUUAAUCUUAGCUUUACCCAAAUUGGAACGUUUCGGACUCUCCUAUGUUAGCUCGCCAUUGUAAUCCUGUUCUACGCAAGGAAAACUGAUGAUCUCUUGAUCUGUGCAAACAUUUUGCAGGCUGCUGUACCACAAGCCAUUUCAUCAUUCAUAUUUGCAAAAGAAUACGGGCUGCAUCCUGAGAUUAUUAUCACCGCGUAAGAUCUUCCAACUGAUUUACUAAUUAAGUGAGAAAGUAUAUACUCCCUCUGUUUCUAAAUAUUUGACGCCGUUGACUUUUUUAAAUAUGUUUGAUCAUUCGUCUUAUUUAAAAAAAUUAAGCAAUUAUUAAUUUUUUUUCAUAUCAUUUGAUUCAUGGUUAAAUAUACUUUCACGUAUACAUAUAGUUUUACAUAUUGCAUAAUUCUUUUUAAUAAGACGAAUGGUCAAACAUAUGCUAAAAAGACAACGGUAUCAAACAUUUAGAAACGGAGAGAGUCCUCGUUUCGACGUUACCAUCCUAACUGCUUAAUUAAUUCAAUCUGCAGGGUGAUUAUCGGGAUGCUUCUCGCUGUGCUGUUCCUACCUCUAUACUACGUAAUCUUACGGCUUACUACAUAAGGCAAAAUCUCCUGCCUUUCCUUAAAAAAAUUCUUAUGGCUUACUCUAUCUAGACAUUCAGAUGACAGCAGGGAGUAUAGAUACAGAAGGAAAAGAGAGAUACCAUGUAGUGGGUGAAAUGCGUAGACAGUGUAUACGUACUGUAUGAUUGUAAUUUGUAAGAAAAAUAGAGCUACUUCCUCCGUCCCUAAAAAACGAAUCUAAUACAUGUGACAUAUUCUAGUACAAUGAAUUUGGACGGAUGUAUGUACAGAUUCGUAAUAUUAGGAUAUGUCACAUUCAGUACUAGGUUGAUUUUUUAUAGGAUAGAGGGAGUACGUGUGAAAUGUGUGGACAGCGAAUAAGUACGGAAUGAUUGUUGUAACGGUUUGCUUUAAGCGAAUAUACAGAUUUGAAUGAUUUUUUCCUCAAUUUUGAUGCAAGCCAUUUGCGAGCGCGCGCACACACAGAUAGCGUUGGCUCUGUGAUGAAUUCUCGAAUAAUACUCCCUAGCUCAGUUUUAUGAUAUAAGUCAAACUGUUUUAAGUUUGUCUAAGUUUAUAGUCAAAUAUAGUAAUAUUUAUAAUACUAAAUUAGUUUCAUCAAAUCAAUAAUUAAAUAUAUUUUUAUAAUAAAUUUGUCUUGGGUUGAAAAUGUUACUAUUUUUUUUAGAAACUUAGUUAAAUUUAAAAUAGUAAAAGUCAAAAAGUCAAAACGUUUUAUAACCUAAAACGGAGGGAAUAAUACAUUUUGUGUUGUCCAUGCAAUCGAUUAGUGUUAAGUACCAGCAGUACCUGAUCAACAAUUAAGCUUCAGCUUGAGCGGUUUUCAGCUCUGAACAACUGUUCGUCGUGUUCUGUUCCAUCUUUUCUCUAUGUCUCUUGCAGGGUUUACAUUACCGUCGGUAAUCACGCGGUUACCAGUUUUAUCGUGGGGUACGGUAAAAAAACCACGGUAACCACCUUAAAUUUAAAUAAAUUUAGAAAAUAAUUUAAAUUUUAAAUUAGAAAAUAAUUUAAAUUUUACCGUGGUUACCGUGCCUACCGUCGGGGAAACCCUGGUCUCCGGUGAUGAAGGAAAAGGGACUCGAUCUGCAAUUUUUCAGCCCCAUCUGUCACUAUCUGAAAACUGAAGCAGCACUGAACUGCAUCAGAGAAGGCUGGGCCUAAAGUGGGCUCUGGCCCGCAUGAAGGCCUGCUAUGAAUCUUGCUGUUGGUGGAAUGGACUCAAUUAGUUAGCGAUCCAAGAGAGCGUCCUCCUUGUAAUUAAGCCAUUUGGGCCAUUACUAUCAGUUUCAAACCCAAUACACACUUGGGCUCAGAAACGAGGUAAGGCUACAUUUAGAACAGGAAUAAUUCUGACCUAAAAUUUCAGCUGCAUCGCACACAAGUCAGGAAGAAAGAUUCAUUCUUGCACAUUCUGAUUCUGGAGUUGGCACCUUUAAUUUCUAAGUUUUGUUGCACAUGAAACUCUUUCAUUAUUCCUUCAAAAAAAAACUCUAUCAGUAUUUUCUCUCAAUUGAGUGCCAGGUUGUAUGAAAACCAAUUCAUCUCCUUUAUUUUAUUCAGAAGAAAGGGAAGAAAACGUUCUUUCAGAAAAAAAAAGGGGAAGAAACUAACGAAGUCAGAAGCAGACUAAUUAAUUAAUUUAAUUCCACACUGCAAUCAGUGGGAAGUACUGAAGAAAGCUAUAGCUUGCUACAAAAUAAUUAAGUGGUACUAUUUUUUGCCUGGUGGAUACAACAUUAAGCAACACUUGACAAAUGAUUAACUAAAGUUUCAAGAAUUAAUCAAGACUGGCUGCACGUGACUAAUUUAUACAGCUCCAAUUUAAGGUUGUUAGUUAGGGCACGAUUAAUGUCGUAAUGAAGGCAUACUUAAUGUAGUCUCUCCCUGCAAAAAAAAUAGGUACUAAUUUUAAUAUUCUAAUUACAUGCAGGGACUUGCUGCAAAAAUAGGAUAACAGCAUAGGUUAUAUUGAUUCCUGUUUUUCAACGAAAUGGUAUACCCUUUUUUAGCCAAAAAAAACCUAUAGAGUUAAUAAUGGAAAUCCCCUAGAAAUUAAUUAUGAUCACUAGCUAGCUGGUAUCUCUGCUAGCUAGCUAAGCCACUCUCUAAGCUUAAUUAAUUAGUUGGUUCAGUACCAGUACUAUGCCCCGAUGCAAAAUAGUUAAGGCAUCGCUUGGACUGCAAGGAUUUUUCACAGGAAAUUUGAACAAAAUCUCAUAGCAAAUAUGAACAUUUCUCGAGAUCAAGACAUGCCUAGCUGGCUAAUUAUUUAUUGAUUUAUGGGAUGUCUUCACUAUUUCCUAUAGUAAAAGGAAGCAUGACCAAACUUUAAGCUCUACAAGAAAACCAUGAUUUCUCAGGUCGAGGUUCCAUCUAGAAAGUGACUUUUUGAAAACAAAGAUGCAUUAUGCAUGGUCCAUAGUCUUUUCGCGAAUGAAACAAACAAGAAAGAAAAGCAAAUAAUCAAAGAAAGAAAGCCCUGGCUACUGGAAAAGUACUAGCUGGUUAAUUACAGAUGAGAUCUAAAUUAAAGCAUCAGCCCCUGCCCAUAUAGAUCAUGAAAAAUGAAGUGGGACACACAUAUGCUACCCUUUUUUUACAAAUCAUAUUAUGAGAUCAGUGUUGGUUUUCAACAGGUAAUUAUUUAUAUUGAUUUAUAUAAAAGAGAUAAUCUAUCAUAUUCAGACCACAACAGCACUAAUUUUCAUAUUGCUAAUGAUUGAAUUUGACAUCUCGAUAUUAUAAUCUUGCUAGCAUUGUGCAAUGUUAGGUUGAUCAUGUGUGUGGCUGGUUUCAUAUAUAUGCAUUAAACUCAUCCUAGCUAGAAAAGCUUUUAAAAGGAUUUCUCAUCCAGAAUAUAUAUAUAUAGGUUUUUAGCAGGUCAAUGUAUGGGCAAAUGAAAUACUUAUGAUAAAACUUUUAGGUGUUGAAAGAAUACAUGAGACUAAUAUAAGUGCAAAGGUCAAUGUGCAAAUGAGAAUUACAAUCCAUGCAAAAGAGGAUUCUUCUUCCACACAGAAAACAAUAUGCAUCAUUGGUUCUGUAAAGGUCACGACAACUAGCCGAUUGGAUGAAUUAAUGGGACUAAUAAGCUUUAGUUUCACCAGCUCUCUCAUCAAAGAGAGAAAGCUAAAAAGGUGCUUAGACUUGCAGGGCGAAGGCUCCCAUUUGAGCAUAUCUUUUUGCAAAAAGCACGCAAGAAAUGAAGCAAAGGUGUUGAAGAACAUGGAAACUGGGUACCAAAUUGAGCAUGAGUUAGUUAGGCCUUUUCUUGCACAAUUUCUUGAAUUAGCACACAAAGGUGGAGUGAAGAUCAAUUAGUACUAAUUAAUUAGUAUAAUUGUGCAAUGAUAUUUAAUUACCAUGAAUUUAAUUAUAAGAGAGAUGAUAUUAUAAUGUAUCCCUUUUCAUCUUAUUUGUGUCUAACAAUGCAAAAGGCAUCAACAUGCAUUCCAAACCACUGGCUUCUGCUCCAUCAUGAGUGCUUCACUUGGCAGUUCCUAUUCCUUGUGCUAAUGAUGUGAACAGUACAUAUACUUCUAUUAUAGAGUUGUAUUGGGAUCUUGCUUUGUGCUAACAACCAAAGGUGGUGAUGGCCAAAUCCUAGGGGGCAAGAUUUCAUACUUCAACUGUCCAACACUUGCUUGAAGGAUUGCAAAGCUAUCGGGCCCUUCUAUAUAUCAACAAGCCAUGUCUCCAUUUCCUUUUUUGACACUUAAAAAGGGAUUAAUUAUUUGUGGUAGAAAAAUGCUAGAUAUUGUUGAAGACAGUUGUAUCUAAAGCAGGGAUAUUUAGAUAUACCUAAUGUGGUAUUUAAUAAGUCAUUUUUGGCAUGUCAAAAAAUCUAUGCAAACUUUGAAGUAUCAUUCACAAGCUAUAGCAAGUUUGGCAUAUAUUAGUUUUACCAAAAUAUGUGAAUUUCAAGGCCAGUGAGUGAUUCUAUUCAUAUGUCUACAUAUAGUAUAUAUGUUCAGGAACUCAAACUCGGGAUUUGAAGUGUCAUAAAUUAUUUAUUUUAUUCAAUUUCCACAUAUUCUUUUAGCUUGGAUAUACUAAGUUCAAAACAUAAAACUUGUUCUAUUCAAUACAAAUAUAUAUGACUGCAAACCUAGCUAGCUAGAAGUUAAUCCAAUACUGAAAAUGCAGAUGUGAAUCCAUCAAUGCAGCACACGAUUAAAAUUUUCAUAUAUAUAUGCGUGCGUGGUUAGGGAUGUUGCAUGCAUGAUUGCAACUGCUACGCUGAACUUGAAAGCUUAAAUGAGAAAGCAUUGUCCUUAGAUUGUUGGCCCAGGUUGGAAAACACUCCUUUUGUUUUCUUCCGUCUUACCAUGACCUAUAUAUGGGGACACUCGAUCUCUCGGAAAAAAUAGCUAUCAAUGGCAAGCAGUCUGUUGGUAAAGAGUUUUACCGACACUCAACCUGCCACGAGCAUCUGCCAGGGGUUCAACAGUCAAGAAAAAUAUUUACCAACAGACUUCUUAUUUAUUGGCAGAUGGGUGCUGAUAAUUUUAUAGUUUUUUCCGACAGAUAUUGUAUUUCGGUAGAUGGGGAUCUCCACCAUGUCGUCCUCCCGGUGGCUACACCCUCGUCCAUGUCCACCUUGUAGCAGCUCCGUUGCACCUCUACCCACUCGCUCGGCUGGCUUGCUUCGCCGCCUCCUCGUGCCAAAACCCUAGAGGCUACGCCUUGCCUAGCAGUGUGGUGAGGGAGACAGGUGUUUUUUCUUGUCACAGGAACCUUAUCCUAUCCACCCCAAUAUCUGACACGCCCUAGUGAUAUAGCAACAGACAGCUCGUCGGUCCAAGAUCUUUACCGAGUACCUACAGAUAGUCCGUCACUUUCUUUUACUGACAGAUUGUUUGACAUAGUUAUCUUUUUACCGAUAGAUUGUUUUGCCAGGAUAUUUACCGGCAGACUGACUUGUACCAAUAGUCCAUUUUUCCCAACAAACUAUUGCCUUCUAUUUGGUGUUGCGGUGUAGUGUAUAUACUGAUCACCAGAUGAUCAAUGCUAUAGUAUGAAUAUAUUUAAUAAUUACAGCAAAUAGAAAUUUUACCGUUCACUAAUUCAAUUUUAGUGUGUCACAUCACUAGGGGAGGGGUAAGAAUAAAAGCUCUAAAAACUCGCGGCUCAGCUCGAAUCAAGCUCAUAGUCCUAACGAGGCAAGUCAAGCUGCGCUUUUAUCUCUUUAGUUUAGCGAGCUAGCUCACGAGCAUCAUAUCUUCUUUUUAUACUUGCUUCUUAACCAAUACUUAGUCCUUUAUUUAUUUUAAAACUAUUUGUAUUUAGUUUUUUUAUUAGUUAAUAUUUUAUUAUUAUAUUAUGAAUCGGUAAAUUUAAAACUAUAGAGCCAGUAAUAUUAAUAUAAAUUAGAUAAAAUUUAUUGACAAACCUAACAAUCUUAAUGAACCAGUUUGCAAACCGAGGCAAGCUAGCACGUUUAUUAAGGUAUCGAGCCUAAUAAGUCGAGCCUUAAUGAAUCGAGCUGGCUCAUUACCCACACUUACACAUCAUAGGGUUUGGGUCAACAACAUGAGCAUAUGCUGUUAAAAUUAAAACUUAGAGAAUAAUUAUGUCAGGGUUAUGGAUACCUAAUAGUAGUUGACUAAAUCUCGGCAGGACCCACCACAUACCAUGUUUUAUACGGAAACAACCUUCGGGUAUAGAAGGAGUUCCGGAUAAAGAAAGAUAAAUAGAGUUCUACAUGGACAACAUAGACGCCACAAAGCCACAAGCCAAUACAAGCCAACAUACGCCAAGUCAAACUGCCAGAUAUCGACAUCAGAGAUAAGUCUAGGAAAACCCCAUAUGGUACCUACGGGAACCAAAGAGAGGAAUCUAGCGCUGUCUCUGACCUCGCCGGAUGUGGAUUCGAGGAGGAAGGCUACCCUGUUGUUGACUACGAGUCAGAACUUCAGACCACCAUGUCGACAACAGAUAGAUAAGCUACCCCAAAUAUUGUACUGGUGUGAUUAUGGUGAAUAAGAGCAACGACCGGCUUCGGUCAACAGGAGUAGGGUUAUUACCUGACAAUUCAGGGGCCCGAACCUGUAUAAAAAUCCCCGUCUCCAUCUUUUUUACUACAAUCUCGUAUAUACCCUGGUAUCAACAAUCCCCACACUAUACAAAUAUCGGAAUCGCGACAUCAAACAUCGACAAAUUAUAUAUGUUAUUGUGUCAAAUGCAAGAGGACAAGUUGCACGGUUUAUUAUACAUUCAAACUCCGAUCAAAUUAAUUAGUGGUUUGAUAAACAAUUUUCUACAUGCAGUUUGCAUAGUGUCAAAUAGUCAUUCAGACAGGGCUCAUUAGUUAUACAUGUACUCCCUCCAUUCCAUAUAAACCACUUUUCUUAGAUGUUCCAUAAUACUCCAUAAGGCAUGCAUGCAUAUAGGCAAUUAACUAUGACCCCUUCUCCAUUAAAUUAUUACUUUUUUAAUCCUCCACUCUCAUGUUCUUUAAUUCUAUUGGAUGCAUGCAUUGUAUUUAUUAGGAUGAUCCAAACUACAAGAUGAUAAUAAUUAUUUCUUAGUCUUUGUGUUAGGGGUGGUUAUGCCUUAUAUUUUGGAAUGGAGGGAGUAUUUAUCUCGUGACAGUUUCGCAUGAAACAAAGAAUUAAAUUUUAAUUACCAGAACUCUCAUAAUCUUUAUUUUCAAUUGGAACCUAUAUAUAUUUCUCUAAUUUCAAGAUAAACCCAAUGGAGCCUGCUUUAUUAAAUUUCUUACAAAUUAUUUUUAUAUUUAUUAAAUUUCAGGAGAAGCUAUCAAAGCUAGCUGGAAUAUCCUAUUAAAUUGUCUCAAUGUGCUAGAUGACAGCAUGAUAUUAGGGGUAGAGAAAGAGAGAGAUGUGAUGGCAAAGAUAGUACAUGGAGUACUCACUUUCCUGCCUCCCCUUCCUAUCUUUCUGGACCCUAGCAGCUAAUUGCAUCUGCUAACGACCUGUAAUUGCAACCAACCUACAUAUAUUUUGACCAGUGACAGUGACUGUUCCUCCUACUUCAUUCAUGCAUGCACAUGAUACUCAUCAUCUCUCUCCAACACCACACUGAUCACUAGUCACUCAGGCAAGUACUAGCUGCAUGCACCUUUCAGACACUUCAAUAUAUUUAUUCAUAAGCUCAUCAAUGUGACUUCAUGUGCAAGGGAAGCAGUUGGUGCAUGAAAGGAAAGAGGAAGCAAAGAAACAAAACAGGGGAAACUUUACCCUGAAGAAAAUUUUUAUAAAAAGGUGAAGCAUUAUCUACAGUGUUUAGCCCUAAUUCUAAACUAACUUCUAAACAUGAACACCCACAUAAUUAAGGCAUCUAACUAUAUAUUUAAUUAUGAUAUCGCUAUAUAUGCAAGGCUGUCGAUAUUCUGAUCCGUAUCCUAGUAUCUUAUGGUGCUGCGAUCCUACCAAAUCAAAAUGAUACCGAUCUCAUCUAGUAUCUUAAUUUUUUAUAGUAUCUUGAUCUUACUAUUUAUUUCCAGACGAUUCUAUGAAAUCUUAGGUAGUAUCUCGAUUCUACGAUCCAUACAAUCCUACAAAAUAUUAUUUAAAAUAAGGUGGAUUGAAAAUAAUUUGAAUAAAUACGCUCAAGUUUACAUAAAACCAAUUAAAUUGAUCAAAAUCAAUAUUAUAUGCUUUAAUUUAUACAACAUACUUUAUACUUUAUAUUAAAUUAUGUACUUUCUAAAAUCUGGUAGUAUUUCGAUCCUGUGAUACUACAAAUAAAAAAAACGAUCUUACCUAGUAUCUUGAUACUGAGUAUAUAUACAACUCAAGUUCUUUUAGUUAUUUGCAUGACUACAUAACUCUAUAAUUUUGUGUACAAGGAUGAAUUUCAAGAUAUUUAUAUAUAUGCAAGAUCAAAAGUGGAGUUGGUGUGAGAAAUCUUGUACAUUUGGAAGAGAGAAUAUAUGUGUCAAUGGAAAAAAAUACUACCUUCAAUGUGUAUGUAUGUAUAUAUAUGUAUAAUUGUAUAUAUAUGCAAUGUACUCCUUUGGCAGCUAUAGAUGGGGCCCCUCCCUCUCAAUCAUUCAACUUGGAAAUCAAGGAAAGGCAAGGAUGACACAUCUUUCAUCAGCUCCUCCAAGUCCCACUCUCCCAUGACAUUCCUGCUCAUGUGCUGCUGCUGCUGCUGCAGCAUCUGAUGCUGCUGCUGCUGUUGUUGGUGGUGACCCUCCCAAUAGAUCAUGUUGCUGCUGCUGUUCAUUAGGCUAAUGCAGCAGCUGCUGCUGAUGUUGUUGUUAUUAUCACUGUUGUUCUUGUUGCUGUUGCUGUUGUCUGUGAUGUUGCUGCUCAGUGUGGCCGCGGUCGUGUUGCUGCCGGUUUUGUUAGGGUGGUCGUCGUCGUCGUCGAGAAUGGUUUGGUGGUCUAGGAGAGGUGGCACUGAUGCGCCGCCAAAGAGGAUGCUGCUGCUGUGAUGGUGAUGAUCUCCUAUUAAGCUUGAUCCGUCCAUGGUGGCGAUCGCGUGGUGGUGGUGGUGGGCGCCGGUUGAUCCGUAGUAUGCUUGCUUGAUGGAGAUGGAGUGGUCGUGGAAGAACGGCGGUGGCGGCGAGGUGUCGACGCCGCAGACCUGGUCGGGGAGUGGGAGGAGGCCGCCGUAGCUCCUCCCCGCCGCCGCCGCCGCCAUUAUCGACGGCCGGCUCUGCAUCGACGAGGAAGACGACGACGACGACGACGAGGAAUCCACCCACAUGCUCUUCAUGGCAGCAUUAGCUGUCCCGACAACGACGUCGUCCGUGGCGCCGCCGCCGCCGGCGAGGUCGACGACGGCGCCGAGCUUGUGCUCCGGCGGGGAGGCGCAGUCGGUGGUGGUGGCCGGAGACGCCGAGGAGGAGGAGAUCUUGAGGCGCUUCUUGAUGGUGGAGUUCCAGAAGUUCUUGAUCUCGUUGUCGGUGCGCCCCGGUAGCCGGGCAGCGAUCUGAGACCACCUGCAAUAAUUCCAUGCGUCGUAGUACGGUAGAUUUUUCAUCAGUGAGCAAACGAGAUGUUUCUGUCAAGAAUUAUUAUCCAAGCUUAGCUAUAGCUAUGGUUGUAGUACAAAAGAUUAAUUAAAUAAAAAGGUUAAUUAGCUGCAUGCACAUAUAUGUCAAUGCGCCUUAAUUAAUCUUCUUUUUAUGCAUGCAUGCAUGCAUGCAUAAGCGCAUAAGCAUGAUUAAUCUAGUAUUUACUUCCAAAAAAAAAUAAAGAUAAAAUAUAUAUGAUUUUCUCCGUUUCAAAUUACUUGUUGUUUUACUUAAAAAAAUUACUUGUCGUUAUAACUUUGCAGUAAGUCAAACAUUUCUAACCUUCAUCAUCAAUUCUCUAGAAAUUUAUACAGUUAUUACCAUAAUAAGAUUUAUUUUCUAAAUUCAUUAUAUAUGAGAAAUAUUUUCAUAAUAUAUAAUUCACAUGUUAAACUGUAUACGAAUUUUUGAAAAUUUAUGAUGAAUAUUUGACUUUAUACAAAGCUAAAAUGAAAAGGUUUUUUUAGGUAAAACGAAAAGCAUAUAUAUAUAUAUAUAUAUAUAUAUAUAUAUAUAUAUAUAUAUAUAUAUAUAUAUAUAUAUAUAUAUAUAGGUUAGUUUUACAUGUGAGAAAGUACGUAGAGGUAAUUAGUCGAUGUCAUAAUCUCAUUUCUGGUAAGACAAGGAUUAAUCAAUAAUUAUGGAUGAUUGGAUCCGACAAAUUUGCAUAUGUCUUUCAGGGUUAAUUAGAACGUAUACAAGUAUGAAGUAUCCCUUUCGGUGUCUUUUCAGGCAACUUUUAGUUUCUACGUUACAUAUAUAUCAGUUUUGUAAUUAUGCAUGGUGUACGACAUUUCAUGCAAAAUUAAGCAGAAGAAAAAAAAGAAUUAAUCAAGAAAUAUUUUGAUUGAUAUAUCCAGGACUCAUGUUGUUCUCAUAGCCCUUUGAGACUUGAGACACAUGUCUGUAUAUAUAUUAAUAUUCUAAUAAUCAAAUUUUUUUAACUUAUGUCACAUAUUAUAAAUGUAUAUGCAUGCAUGAGUAUAUGCACGUCAACGUUUUGCUGUACGUGAUCUGUAAUGCUUCAGCUGUAGAAUACGGAAAUUGUACGCUCACGGUAGAUCUACCUAAGACAGUUGUGAACUAGGACAGUGUACAUGGGAAAAAAAUAUCGUACGACGUAUUGUGUCAAAUUCACGUAAUCUCUUAUAUACUUUUUUUUUGGAGAAAUGCAUGUGUAGAUCAGAGCACCACAGAGAAUUAUAAACAAAAUCAACACCAUCUCAAAAAAAAAAGAGAAACCAGAGGAAAACAAUUAAUACACACCCAGAGAGAGAUUUUUUUUUAAAAAAAGAACAGUAUAUAUAUCUUUUAAUUGCGAGGGAAAUUCAUUGAAAGAUUAUGCUACAUUACUUGCUAGCCCUAUCAACACAAUAUAACAACAUUCCAAACGAGAAAACAAAACAAAUUAAACACACACAGAAAAAGCUAGCACUUUGUGAAAAACAAGAAACAAAUUAAUGUAGGAAGAAGACAAGCAAACUACUUAAGAAAAACCGAUGAGAAACGAACGAACAAAGAAGAACACACAAUAUGAACCCCCACAUUACAAAGACAAUGAAGUAAUUAAUGAAUCAAUCUCCUAAUAUAUUAAAGCUUAAUUAAUCAUGGUAAUUAAUUAAUUAGGUACUACUUAGUCGUAGGAGCUUAUAGUUAACUGAUUAGCUGCACCUGUUGCCGAGGAUGGCGUGGAGGUUGACGAUGAGGUCCUCCUCCUGCGGCGAGAAGGCGCCGCGCUUGAGGUCGGGGCGGAGGUAGUUGAUCCACCGGAGGCGGCAGCUCUUGCCGCAGCGCUGCAGCCCGGCGUUCCUCGCCACGUCGCUCCACGACCCCUGCCCGCUCCGCAGCAUGUACGCCACCAGCUUCUCGUCCUCCUCCGGCGACCACAGCCCCUUCCGAACCUUCCCCCCCACCACCGCCGCAUUGUUCCCUCCCGCCACACCCAGAACGCCGCCGCCCUUCGCCGCCCCUCCCCCGCCGCCGCAAUCCGGCUUCCUCAUUGCCGAUCUUGCUGUGAUUUUGAUCAAGUAUGUAGAUAGAUAUGAUGGAUAUAAGUAGCUAGGGAGAAAUGGACAUGAGUGUGUGUGAGGUAUAUAUAUCAAGUGUGUUGUGUUCUUGUUGUUUGUAUGGAGUGAUGAGGAGCUAGCAAUGGAGAGAGAUGAGAGGGAGGAAGAAGGAGAGGAGGAGAGGGGAUGAUAUGAUGGUGAUGGCGAUGGGUGCGUGUGUGUGCUUUGCUUAGAAACUGGACAAGUAGAUGGAGAGCAAACAAGAGAGGAAAUAAAAGAAGGGUUGUAAAAUGCUAGGUUCACACGCAUAGGUCAUCUAGGCAUGUGGCUUCUAUAUAUGUAGCUUAAUUAUAGGAUGCCCCUUUAUGUGUAAGCCAUUGCGUUUUUAUUUCUUUGUUCUCGAAUGUGUGAUUCGUGGAUUUUCUAUAUGAGAAAGUUAAUGUUUUUAGCAAGAGGAAUUUUAUAGUACUUGACAUAGGGAGUCGAUACCAAGAGGUAUAUAUUUUCUUGUGGACGAGGAACCAAAAUUUACACUAUAAUUUAGCAAUACACCAUCCUAAGGAAGCGCUUAAGGCAACUGAGUAUAUCUGUUGCAUUGAAACUAAUGCACUAAAAGGUUGUAUGUAGUGACAUGCUUGGAUCAAUAAAUAAAUGUGGCCAUUGGUUUGUGUUCAUAUAAAUCAUGAGAAUAGGCGUCUACGCAUAAAUUCUACAUAUUGAAAGCAACUACUUAUACAUACAAAUUAUUCGCUGCUACAGUUUGUACGGCUUCAAUGUACGUAUAAUAACCCCACAAUUUAGUAUAUACAUCAUUGUACUACGGUGUAGCUGGUAUGUGUGAACCAACCAUUUUCCAUGCUCUUUCAAGGAGAGAUAUGAGAGAGAGAUAGAGCUCUAGUCUUCUUGUCUUUGACUCCAGCUCUUGUUGUCCUUUUCCAUUUCUCACUUCCCUUGAGCCAGAAGGUUAUCAUGGCCACCUGAGGGGCAGGGAGAUCAGUUGAGGGGACAGAGAUAUGUGCAUAUACAUACAUGCCCCUGUGGGGUUGUUUUGCAAUGAAGCAUAGACAAUAGAGAGAGCUAUUAGCUAUAGGUCACAUAAUUGCUUGGAGUUCACAUAAUCCUGGCCCAUCAUCUAGCUAUAAAUCUCUCUCUCUCCUUUAAUUUUUCUUCUCUCUCUUUUCAUGUCCCUCUCACACAGCUUCCAAAUGCCAUCAAAAAUCAUCAUCAUCAUCAUUCAUCCACACACACAGAGAGAGCUAGCCAGGGGCACAUAUCAAAACAGUCCCUAUUGUAUGCUGCAUGCAAUAACAGAUCGAUCGAUGGAUGGAAGCUGCUGCAGUAAGCUGCAAAACUUGCAUGCGUGGAAGCCUUUGCAUGGAGUGUACGUCUGGCAUGCUGGCCCCUCUCUCUAUCUCCUCUCUCUCUCCUCUACUCUACUCUCUCUCAUGGAGAAAAGAAUUUAGUUAAAAUCGUUGAAAUUAGAAAGCAAAAGAUGAUAAAGCUAUACAUGCAUGCAUAUGGAUUAUGUAGAGCUAGCUUGCAACUUUACAAGUAGGUGUAGAUAGUACUAGCUAGUAUACAUGUAUGGUUGUGAUUCUCCAAAGAUUUUGUUGUCCACUUGUCAUGCGUGAGAUGGAAGUACACGUACUACAGUGUACAACGUGAAUUAUGGGGCCCAACGACUGUCAAUUGUCACUUAAAAGAAGUAUGGUUACAGCUAUGAUCAAAUUGAGGGACUCGUGCCAACAAUUUGGUCAUAAUAUAUAGUGGAGAUGGGCGUGUGUAGUCAGGUUUCGCCAUACCGUGCGCAAGGGUUUAUUUUACCACCACACGAAGUUACGAAGGUUAUCGCAUAAAAUUUAUCUUUAAAUUUUCGAAUUCAAGAUUUUCAACCUCCCUCAGUCGGUCGAGGUAACCGCGCCGUGGUAUGCUUUUUAGAAAAAAUAAAAAAAUUGCAAAAAGGUUGAGGAAACUUGUAAAACAUUUUAUAUAAUAUUUUGUGUAGGGAGAGAUUAAAUGAGGGAGAAAGAAAAUAUUUUUUUCCCUUUGCUGGGAUUAAAUGGGCUUUGUGAUCUUCUUUUCCCUGUUCUCUGUUUCAACUUCAGUUUGACUCGAAAAAAAUGAAUUUAACUUUGUUUUUUUUCUUUCACACAAGGUUUUCACUAGAUAUCACUAGAAAUUAUGUAUUACUUGUAAGAUUUUUUUUUAAUAUUUUCAUUGCUUCUAUAAAUUAUAUUUCAAUUCAAACAAAUUUCCCCAAACCAUUCUGGUAAUUACACCUACCAUAGCUCUGCGGUAAAAGUGGUAACUAUAACUGCAAAGGCCAAAGGAGGAAAACCCUUAUAACCGCCAAGAAGAAAAAAAACCCUUGGCGGACCUAUGGAUACUUAGUUGAUUUACAUUGUUAAAAAAAAUAUGAUCAGUUCAUUUAGUUGAUCCAGCUAAAGUGAGUCAAGUGUUACCGGCGAUAGGUCCACGCCGGUCUCUAACAAUGCUACAUGGAGGAAACUAGACUUAUAUAUUUUUUAGUACUAAAUUUAUACUCCAUCUGUCCCAAAAUAUAAUAAUUUUUAACCUUUAGAAUUUGUCCUAAAAUAUAACUUCUCUACCGACAUUCUCUUCCCAACCAAUCAUAACCCUUCACAAUUCAAAUUUUUCUCUACCUCUAUUUCUCAUCCAAUCAUAAUAUUCAUCCAUUUAAUUUUACCUACUUUCUUAAUAACCACGUUAAUCUCUAAAACUCCUUAUAUUCUAUGAUGGAGGAAGUUCUUUUUUUCAUUAACAAAUCGGCGUGGAUGCUUUGGGUGAUUAGUUUGGUAUUUUGUUCAUCAUGUUUGAUCUAUCAUCACAAGUUUAUUUUUCAUGCAUUUAACUCCGGUUGAAAAUGAUUUAAAGGCAUGCAUGCCUCAAACCGAAGCAUUUCUGUUUCCUCGUGAGAGAACACAAUUAUUCUUAUCCAGCAAUUUUCCACUAAAAACGGAGGCUUGUCAGUUUAUCUGGAAAAACAAUGGGACCAGAAAUGAGAGUGAAACCCAAUAUUAGAUUGUGACACAAUAUAGUAAGUGAUUAAAAAGGUUUUCAAAGCACGUGAUCCACACAGAUCGAGUUGUCUAGCCUGGUGAAGCACAUGGGUAUAAUUUUAACUCUUAAUUAUCAUUCAAACAAUGAUUUAUCCUCUGAAAUAUAGCAGUAUCACGCAAUAUAUGUGCGUGUUAUGAUGUUACUUAUAUUUAUUUUAAUUUGCAGAUUGGUUAUGAUCUCUAGACCAUUGCAAUGCAUGAUGUUGUCAUCAGGCAUGUAGCUAAUCCUGUCCACAAACAUGAUUACAAUAUCACAAGGUAUAUUAUAUAUAUAUAUAUAUAUAUAUAUACCAGCUAAUCGCAUUUGAUUUUCUAUCUUCACCUAAAUAAUGCUUUCAUGUGCACAAGUAUCGCAAACACUACAUAAAUAAUAAUUUUAAUGAAAUAUUAGACUCCAUGAAUUGAGGGAUCAAAGAGUCUAGACAUUUUUCCCCAUGUUUCCAGAGUGCAUGGACAAAACUGAAGCACAUCUUUCAAAUUCAUUUUUCCUUUUGCAUAUUUCAUUUUAAUGGCAAAUCGGGUUCAAAUGUUCAGUUGUUUACGUUGGGCCUAAUGCAACCAGCCCAAAUCUAUCAUUCCUCUUCCCUAAUUUCUCAGCCCAGGCCCAAACUCCAUGGCCUGGAUAUGAUUUGUCGAUCUGAUCGAAUUAAUUCCUCCCUUGUAGAUCCAGUCUUUCUUUCUUUUUUUUUCUUUUUUUUUUUGUGCGAGGUCUUGUAGGUCAAAUGAUUGAUCAAUGUAAAAUAAUAGUAAAAAAAAGAACUAAAAUUCUUCGAGAAAGUAGUACUCCGUAGAUGAAAAGGAGGAGAAUAGAAAGAAGCAAUAACUAGGCUCUGUACAGAAUAAUACGAUUAGUAAAAAAAAAGAAGAAAUCAGAAUUAAUAAUUCUUGUUUCAGCACACCCAUAGAAAUCAGAUUAUGUCAGAAGUAAUCUGCAGUUUGUUCCAUCUUCUUCUUGCUUCUUAAUACUAUAUAUGAUCUUUCUUACAUCUAGCUAGAAGAUUUUUGUUGCAUAUUUUAUGAUUGGAAAUGAGUAGGCAUGCAUACAAAAGUAUCUUCUCAUGCUCCCACAGAACAUUAUUUGCCAUCUGAAUUCUGAAUCAGUUUAACAGUUUUACAAACAUUAAUUGCAGUUUAGCUACCGUUGUAUAGAAAAAUUGCCGAAGAACAAAUGUACAAUGAUAAGAAAAGAAAGGUUACUCCUCACGGAGUUUCUAGUAGUGAUCGAAUUAGCCUCUGCUUGAGAUGCAGUGACAAGGUUGUGUGAUUUUAACCAGGUCUCUUGUUCAAUCUCUAAUAUGCUCACAAUUCAUUCUUAAAAAUAGUUUGAAAGGACGUCUCUCUUUUUUUUUAAUUAGCCUCUGCUUUGUUUUGUCAGCAACAGUGUUUUGAUAAUUCAAUUGGUGUAGAGAUAUAUUGUGUUUAAUUUCUGCACUGCAUCAAUUGUAUUUGCUGCUAAUGCAUAAUAUCAGAUAUAGUUGCUCAACAAUCAACCUUGCAAGCUUGCGUUUAUCCCGUUGUCUGUUUUGGCCAACUGUCUGGAUUCUAUACCAACACCAUUUUCAGGCAGGCCAAGGCUGUGAUUAGUUCACGCCAAAAUUGAAAGUUUGGUUAAAAUUGAAACGAUGUGACGGAAAAGUUGAAAGUUUGUGUGUAGCGAAGUUUUGAUGUGAUGAAAAAUUUAGAAGUUUUGAAGAAAAACUUUAAAACUAAACACGGCCCAAUUUAGUUAGCACCACAAAAUUGAUGAAACAAAUGCCGAAUUGAGCAGGCAAAAAAUAUACCCUUCCAAAAAGUAGAAAUCUAUGACUAAUAUAAAUAUUUAUAUUUUUCCGAUCGUCACAUCUAAUUUUCGUCCGUUUUUCGUCCAUACACAAUCUGAUUCGGUUAGCAAUAGCCAUCGAAAAAAAUUGCAAAAAAAAAAAAUCGGCGGCCACCGCCACCUCCACCGCCGCCGGAGGGAGAAGAGAGGCGGCGGAGGGAGCGCCGCUGCCGGAUCCACCCGCGGUGGCCACCACUGCCGACGGAUCCACCCUCGGACGAAGCCGACGUCGUCGACGCCGCCGUUGAGAGGGCGCCGUCGCCAUCGAGGCCAACGGGGAGAGGGAGAGGGAGAGGGGGAGGGACGGUCGCCGCCGCCGUCUCCACCGCACCCCGCCGCCGCUGCACCGUGCCGGCGAGACGGGAAGGAGAGCCACCGCCACCACCGCCGCUAGCGUGGGGAAGGGUGCCGCCGCCGCUCGCCGUGGGGGAAGCCGCCGCCGCCGCCACAGCUAGCGUGGGGGAAGGGCGCCGUCUCCGCCGUGCCGGCGAGAAGGGAGGGAGAAGGGAAGGGAAGCGGCGCCGGUGGUGGGAGAGGCGGCUGGCUAGGGGGAGGGGGAGAGGCGGGAGAUGGGGAGAGGGAGCGGCGCCGCCUGAGGGGAGGGGAGGAGAAGCGGCGCCGAUAGAGAGAGGGGGAGGGGGAGAGGCGGCGUCGGGAGUGGGGGAGGCGGCCGACUCGGCUAUGGGGGGUUGGGGGAUGGAGGGGGAGGGUUAGGGUUAAGGUUUUCAUAAGGCCAUGGGCCGACCGGGAUGGGACGGAAAUAAGUCUAUUUUACAUCCCUCGGGCCAAAAAAAAAAGAGAAGAGGUUCAUUUUUAGUAUUUCGUUUUUUCAGAAGCAUUACAAUUAUAGUUAUUGAAUGUGUUUAUUUCUAAGCAAACCUAAAAAGAAGUAUUUUCUUUCUUUUUCUAAUUAAAUAAUUGUUAAAUGUUGUUUGUAUUAUUAAAAUUAAUAAUUAAGCUCUGAAAAUUCCAAUAAAACUUCAAAGAGCGUAACUAAUCAUGGAGAAUUUAAUAAAAUUAGAUUUAACCAUGUCAUUUUAUUUCUCAUACUUGCUUUACUUAUAAAUUUAUUUAAUUAUACACAUACCUACUUAAAAAUACCAAAUAUUUCAGCGAAUUUGUAUUUUAAUUAAUUGCAUGUUUUUCUAAUCUGUACGCUUCCCGUUGCAACGCACGGGCAGUUUUGCUAAACCAAACAAUACUUUUGGUCAAUAUACACACUCCGUAAUCACCUGGUGUAACGCACGGGCACUUUUGCUAGUUAAGAAAAGAAAAUGCAUCUUUAUCGACCAAAUUAAGUAAACAACAAUCAAUCACGCGCGCGUUCGCGAAAAAAAAUGCGUUAGCGAAAAAAAACAAUCAAUCACAAGCUAGCUCCAUCCAUGUCGCUGCUCUUCUAUUAUAUACUACAUGUUCAGACUUCAGACUUUCAGAUCCUAAUAACAGCAUGCAGAGGUAUUAUCUUUUCAAGCUGCCCAACAAAAAUGGUCAGAGGCAAUGCAACUUCGGACUAUUCCCAUUUCCCCAAGUUAGACAUUCAAUGGCUUAAUUAGGGUGGCCACAUCCUUCAGUUAAUCUGGUUCAGUGUGCGAUUGUGACAAAAUUUGUCUGUAGUACGAAUUUUUGUAAUAUGAAUGUUCUGGCAGGUUCUUGAGAGGAUCGUGGACUAAAGAACAAAAUCAAUUUAUUCUUGGAGUCGAGAUUCAGAUCUGUCCAGCUAAGCAUGUCCAUUUGUUAAACAGACCCUUGAUGGUAAAUUAUACAGCAAUAACAAGAACACAUAUUUGCUCCAUGCAUGCGUAUGCAAGACCAAUAGACUAUCAAAUACGGUAUCAUCUUACAAAAUAUACUAGUUGUUGUUGUAAUAGUAGUAGUAGUUAGGGUUUCCAAAACCGCCGGGGCCAGGUUACCGCGUCCCGGCGGUAAGCACGGUUACCGUACGGUAACCGCGGUAAAAAACUGUACGAAACCGUGCAAAAUUUAUCAAAAAUUAAAAUUAUUUUUUAAAUUUAUUUGAAUUUAAGGAGGUUACCGUGGUUUUUCUAUUACCGUACCCCGUGGUAAGACUGGUAACCACGGUUACCGACAGUAAUGUAAACCUUGUAGUAGUAGUACAAUUUUGUUAAGCACAUUUAGCCAUCUGCUACUACUUCCUAAACCAAUACAGAAUGCCAUGUAAUCAAACGUAUAAAAUCUCCAAAUUACUAAAAACAAUUGCACCAAUUUCAUCAUCAACUCCUGUACGGCCCCUGUAACAAGGGACUAUAGCUUCUGGGAAGCAAUCAAGCAAAGUCCGAAUGUAUUCCAUUAUUAAAGCAGCUCUUUUCCAGUCUCAUUUCAGUUUAUGAAUUCCAUCGCUACAAAACAACUGAAUCCAAACAACAUACUACAUACUACCUCCGUCUUAUUUUAAAUGCAACAAUAAGUUUUCGCGCUCAACUUUUAUCGUCCAUCUUAUUUAAAUUUUUUUAUAAUUAGUAUAUUUGUUGUUAUGAAAUGAUAAAAUAUAAAUAGUACUUUACUCGUGACUUAUGUUUUUAAUUUUUUUAAAAAAAAUUAAAUAAGAUGAACGAUUAAAGUUGGAUGUGGAAAACUAUGGCUGCAUUUAAAAUGGAAUGGAGGGAGUAUUACAUUUCUUCAGAAACAGACACGUCUCACUCGCCAACUCUGAAGAUUUCCCUCCUCUGCUUUUCUUUUGUUCUGAGAGUUGAGAGGGAGAACGGACGGCCAGGAGGCGUCGGUGCCCAAUCCUGUCCCCACAGGGGUGGAUCUCCACCGCUCGUCAGUCUCGUCUCAGCCACAAUCACAAGGACGCACACAUGGCCACUACUGCAAUGUCAAGGCUACACGUAUGGGGGACCCAACCUCUUGUAGUUUUUUGGCUGGACCCGGUCUGUAGGCUAGGCAGCUGUUGUUUUCUUCUCUCUCAAUGUUGAACACUUGGGACAUUCUCAAUGUUGAAUAUGAUAUAACACAUUACUGUAUAGUAUUUCGAAUCUAAACAAUUAUUAUUCUAAAUUUAUAGUAUUAGAAUAUAUUACAUCAUGUUCUAGGUUUUAUUUUUUAGAUGGAGGAAGUACUUGCUACUUUGAUGCUCAUACUAGUGAGAAAAGUUUUUAGGCAUUGUUUAGAUAAUGAGAUAGGAAAAUGAUUCCCACCCAUCAAAAGGUAUCCUAACUAUUUAUUCUCCCUCUUUCAUUUAAUUCUAACCCUUCAUUCAUUUCCUAAUCCCAAUCCCACCCUUCAUUUCUCAUUAUCCAAACACAUCCUUAGUGUUUAUGUACUCAAUAAAGGCGAGAUGGUAUUAGUAAUCGAUGCAUGUAAUUGGUGGAGAACAUGUAUAUAAAAGGAUAGAGUUGUACUACCUCCAUAUUUUAAUGUAUGACGCCAUUAACUUUUUUCCAACGUUUGAUCAUUCGUCUUAUUCAAAAAAAUUUAUGUAAUUAUCAUUUAUUUUAUUAUGAUUUGAUUCAUCAUCGAAUAUUCUUUAAGCAUGACAUAAAUAUUUUCAUAUUUACACAAAAAUUUUGAAUAAAACAAAUGGUCAAACGUUGGUCGAAAAGUUAACGGCGUCAUACAUUAAAAUAUGGAAUUAAAAUAUGGAGGAAGUAAUAAGUAACUGAGCCAGUGACACUGUGAAGCAUGGACAACACAUAGCGUUCUCUGGUCACUAACUAAUUUCUAUGUGCAUUAUCGAUAAUUAACAGCGGCGACACCACCAGCGAAGCCCUAUCUCCGCCGCUGGCGGUAAGAUUUGUAUUGUCCAUGCGAUGAUGAAAAUAUCAUAGGCAUAGCCAUGUAAUGUAAGAGCUAUUGUAAUGCACUUAUUAAUAUUGUAGCAAAGUAUAUAGGAAAAUGUUUAAAACCAUGUAAAAACAAUGUAUGAGAUGUGGUCACGUGGAUUGCCUUUGUUUUUUCCAAGUUUAUAACUGGUUGUAGGGAAUCCUAAUCAAAUUUUAUACAUUAAAUUAACAUCAAGGGAAAUCACAUUAAAAUUAACAUCAAGGGAAAUCGUGUUUACCUAUUAAAGUGCGAUUCCAGUAUCCUCCUUUCACGAAAUGAAACAAACUUGGUUUUUUUUUCUAGCUGCAGGAAAGUGGUCGUCUUUACAUGCAUUGUUGGUAAUUAACAAUGGCGAUAAUUGCAUGUAGAAAUAGCAUUUUCGCUCUAGUUAUUUUAUCUGGAAAGUGGAAAGGGUUGUCUAAAUUAUCUGGUAUCACUGUGACCAUGUUUCAUCCUAUCGUAUAAUAUUAUUGACUUUGGCAUGUUUCAUCCUAUCGUAUAAUAUUUCGUUCUUAAAUUAGAAAAAAAAAGGACUAACUCUCUUGCUACCAUAGGUCCUUUUGGCACAUCUCCAUAUAUCCAAGAUUUCUUGAAGUUGAGUAUUCCUAGCUUUACAAAUCUAUAUUUUUUAGAUAAUGGAUUUUCAUUAAUCCGGCCUCUAUAUCCACGAAGGAUAUACGCGGCCAAAAGGAUACAAGAGUAAUUUAGACUCACAUCUCAACAAGAAGGAGAACACAACCAAAAAAGAAAAUAAACCCAAACGACCUCAGCACAUCCUGGUUCUCUGUCUCCCACCAUAUUCUCCUGAAACAGCCAUAUUUGACGAGUGGAAGUCUACUAGUCGCUGCCGCCCCUAGUGCGCCAUUGAUGCAAACCUCCAUUUGUGCCAUCUUCAUCAGUUUCAGAUGAGCUGACGUCACGCGUCGCUUCUAAGCCCACUCUCAACCGUCGUCAUUCGUCGUAUAGUCGGAACUAGCCAACUAGACACGAACCGACAGGAUCGGCUUCCACUUUGCCAGAUUCCUAGGCAUCUACUAUCCAAAGUGCUCAGACCGCCACCGUUUCAAGCCACCGCAACCCCUAGGGCCCUGUGCCGACGGGGGCGCCGCCGUCCUGGGCCGCCGCAGCCCCUAGUGCCGCCGGUGUCAACGGAAGCCGCCGUCGUCCUCCAUCGCAACCCCUAGGGCUGCCGGCGCCGACGAGAGCCACUGUAGCCCCUAGGGCCACCAACACCAACGGGAGCCGUCGCCGCCGUCUGCCGCAGCCUCUAGGGCCGCCGGCGCCGAUGGAAGCUGCCGCCGUCCUCCACCACAUCCUCUAGGGCAGCCGGCGCCGAUGGGAACCACCGCCGCCGGCCGCAGCGCCGACGGGAGCCACUGUUGUCCUCCGUCGCAGCCCCAGGGCCAUCGACGCCGACGGAAGCCACCGCCUUCUUAGGCCGCCUCCACCGACGGGAGCCGUCGAGCCGCCGCCCCCACCGCCGUCCAAAGAGAUUCCGUCGCCGAUGCCUUGCCACUUCCUCGCCACCGCCGUCCUAGCCGUCGGUCAGCUCUCGCGAUAGGCCAGAUCUAGGAGCUGGGGGGAGAGGAAGAGACGAGCUAGAGGGAGAGGAAGCUAGGAUCUGGGCAGAGGCCCCGCCGCCGCUGUCCUCGUCGCUGCACGGACGUGCGGGAGCUGGCUCUAGCGGCGGCGAGGCAGUGGAGGGGAGGGAGGAAACCGGCGGUGGCGCGGGAUGGGGUCGCCACCUGUGUCGCCCGUGAGAGCGACGCGGGGGCUGAGUCAAAGCGCUCACUUCGAACGGUUCCCUUCACUUCAAAGCUUUACAAAUCUAUAUAUAUCUAGAUUUUGACUAUGUUGAUAACAUUUUAGAUAAAUAAUCUUGUUAAUGUUUUAGAUGAAAUUUACCACUUUAAUUAACUUACAAACUUCAACUACCAUGGAUUUGGAUCCGGAGCUAUAUCAAAACACAUCCCCAUUGUUUCGCUUACAACAUAUUUGUAAAUGAAAAAUAAUUUAUGAAUAAAGUUUUUAUAUAUGUGUUCUUAUCUAUCUAAAAGCAAAGGCUGAAAAAUAAACUUUAAUAAAAAAACCCAAGAUCAGCUCCAAAUUUAAGGUUGAAAAUUUAAAUUUUAGCUAAUAAGAUAACGAAAAGACGAGGGUAAUAAUGUGGGCAUGGGAGUGAGUGGACUAGUGCCACUAUGGUCCAGGAACACCGGGUGCACGCAGCCGCUGUUCCGAUUCCGAUACGCCCAAUGCCAAUGCCAUCCUCACCGUCCAUCCACUUUAACACCCCCACCUCCUCUCUCCCAUCUCCAUUUCCGCCCCCCCUCUCGCCGCCGCCGCCGCCGCCAUGGCCACCUCCACCUCCGCCGCCACCGCCCCCCUCACCUGCCACCACCUCGGCCUCCGCCUCCGCCCUCGCCUCCCCUCCCUCCCCCUCCGCCCCCUCUCCCCCUCCCCCUCCCUCUCCCUCUCCCGCCCCACCCCACUCACCCCUUCUCCUCCUCCUCGCCACCGCGCCCUUCAUGCCUCCGCCUCCGCUGCUCCAGCGGCGCCGCCGUCGCAGCCGCCGAAGCCGGUGCUUCAGGGGGCGGCAAUCAAGCCGCUGGUGGCAACCAUCGGGACCGGGGUGCUGAUAUGGCUGGUCCCGCCGCCCGCGGGCGUGGCGCGCAACGCGUGGCAGCUGCUGUCCAUCUUCCUCGCCACCAUCGUCGGGAUCAUCACCCAGCCUCUCCCGCUCGGCGCCGUCGCGCUGCUCGGCCUCGGCGCCGCCGUGCUCACGCGGACGCUCACGUUCGCCGCCGCGUUCUCCGCGUUCGGCGACCCGAUCCCGUGGCUCAUCGCGCUCGCCUUCUUCUUCGCCCGCGGCUUCAUCAAGACCGGCCUCGGAAGCCGCGUCGCCUACGCCUUCGUCUCCGCCUUCGGCGGCUCGUCGCUCGGGCUCGGCUACGCGCUCGUGUUCGCCGAGGCGCUGCUGGCGCCGGCCAUCCCGUCGGUGUCGGCGCGCGCGGGGGGCAUCUUCCUGCCGCUCGUCAAGUCGCUGUGCGAGGCGUGCGGCUCGCGCGCCGGCGACGGCACGGAGAGGAGGCUCGGGUCGUGGCUGAUGCUCACGUGCUUCCAGACGUCGGUGAUCUCGUCGGCGAUGUUCCUCACCGCCAUGGCAGCGAACCCGCUGGCGGCGAACCUGACGGCGGGGACGAUCGGGCAGGGGAUCGGGUGGACGCUGUGGGCGAAGGCCGCCAUUGUGCCGGGCUUGCUGUCGCUGGUGUUUGUGCCGUUGAUUCUGUACCUGAUCUACCCGCCGGAGGUGAAGACCAGCCCCGACGCGCCGCGGCUGGCGAAGGAGCGGUUGGAGAAGAUGGGGCCUAUGAGCAAGGAGGAGAAGAUCAUGGCUGGAACGCUGUUCCUCACGGUAUUUGAUGGGAUUAUUAGCAAUUUCCUUUCGUUCUACCAUUUUUGUUGAGGAAUUAACAAUUGCUAGUAUUAUAUUAUUGUUAUGCUGCUUUUGGGGUAUUAGGGUGGGCUCCAACUCCUAAAUUUAACUCCACUAGUUGGAUCUGAAGUUGAAUUGUAGAGCAACCUAAACCCAGCUCCACAUCUUUAGUUCAUUUUGUGAGAGUGAUCCAGCCUACUCCACUCUCUUUCUGGGUAGAGCUGAAACUGUUUGGCUGCGCUCUAGUUCCAGAAGAGGUGGAGCUGGAGCUCUACCAAAUAGGCCCUCAAUAUCAGUACUCUAGCGAAGUGUACUAUAUGUGUAGUAGGUGUUUAUGAUUUUCAGUACAAAGAUGUUGCCUGUGGGGUACUAGGAUUCUUAUAAGUGAUUGAUAUUAAAGGAGUGGGCUGUUCGGAAAUGGAGAUUUCCAUGAAUCUGGUGUUUGUGCCCUCAUUUUAGCAGGGGUCUUGUCUGGGAUUAGUACAUAGAGGUAGGGACCGGUAAUUGUUAUUUAGGUAUCCGUGAGAUUUGGAUCAUUAUUGUGCUCUGACUAGCCUAUGUAGAAUUACUAUGUGAUUUCACUUAAAAGACUUUCACUAAUUUACAUUAUCAGUGAAUGAAUAGCAAAGGUACCGUUUUGUGGUUUCUUUUGCGAAGCUUCAAGCCAUCUUUUAGGAGAACCCUACAGUGGUUUGUGAUUGGGUCACCUUAUUACUGUGAAACAUGUUAUUUUGUAAAAGAUAAGAAGUGGUAAACCCAAUAACGACCUGUUUAUAUACCUCUACAUUCUUGCAUCAUCUUGAUUGCCUCCAACUUGAAUAAAAACUGAGCCUUUUCCUCACUAUACAUUGUCAUCUUGCCAACAGGUAGGUCUUUGGAUCUUUGGUGGAAUGCUGAAUGUGGAUGCAGUGUCUGCUGCAAUUCUUGGCCUAUCCGUCCUCCUGAUUUCUGGAGUUGUUACAUGGAAAGAGUGUUUGGGGGAGGCUGUAGCGUGGGAUACCCUUACAUGGUUUGCUGCUCUUAUUGCAAUGGCUGGAUACCUCAACAAAUACGGGUUGAUCUCUUGGUUCAGUGAGACUGUUGUGAAGGUAUGUCCCUCCCCCCUCCUGUAACAAUAUCUCUUGACUUAUCAGGUCAAAUCGUAUCACAUGAUCUGCUUUAUGCUUGUAAGGAUUUUAUGAUCAGUAAGCUUUGUGACUAUAACUAACUGGUAAGCAUAUUAUAAACAUUGAGCAUGGUGACUUAAUUUUCCACAAUAUGUUAGUUCCUAGCAGUUUGAAAUCAAAGCAAUUUAUUUUUCAUUACAUCAGAUAUUAAAUUUCUUGAAUAAUCUUUCUAGCUUAUCCUUCUAUAGAAAUGAGAAGCAACUUAUACUGCUGUUUGUUCAUACUGAAACAAUAACACUGUCAAUAGUAUGGAUAGGCUGGCAAUUAUGCUAUGUUAGGGAGGUGUUUAAAAUUGUUAAAUUUGAAGAUAUCUUAAAAUGAAUGGUCCUCGUGGUUAUCAUUGUUAAGCUUGAAACAAAUGGCACUAGCUGGAGAUGAGCAGUUUAAAUGUUUAAUAUUAUUCUCACCUGAUAUUCUGCUAUUUUUGUUUCUUCUAACUCGAGCUCUGCAAAUAUAUUAAAAUAGAAGUGUUCUCUCAAUGUCUUUGCUGAUUUCCUAUACUGACCAUUGUUGUGUUUUAUGCUCAGUUUGUUGGUGGCCUUGGUCUCUCAUGGCAACUAUCGUUUGGUGUCUUGGUGCUGCUGUACUUCUACUCCCACUAUUUCUUUGCCAGUGGCGCAGCGCACAUUGGAGCAAUGUUCACUGCAUUUUUGUCAGUGUCCAGCGCCUUGGGCACUCCUCCUCUAAUUGCUGCCAUGGUUCUUUCAUUCCUCUCAAACAUCAUGGGUGGACUCACGCACUAUGGAAUUGGGUCUGCUCCUGUCUUCUACGGUGCUGGCUAUGUUCCACUGGCUCAGUGGUGGGGGUAUGGAUUUGUCAUUUCCAUCGUUAACAUCAUCAUCUGGCUUGGUGCUGGAGGCUUCUGGUGGAAGAUGCUCGGCUUGUGGUGAGGAGCAAAGUAAAUGCGGGUUUUUCCGUUUCUGUUUCGGUAGAAGACUGAAAGAAACCUAGCUGAAAUUGCGGUAGCACAGGUACAGCCAUCCGCAAAUUUUGUCGACAUGAUUUUGCAACCAGCAACCCAUUCUUUUAGUUUGUACCAAUACAUUUGUUUCAUCCUUGGGUUCUAACUGUUAAUUGCAAAGCCUGGGCACAGUUUUACUGGCAACAAUUGGUAUGUUGAAUGGAUCUUGGUGAUCUUAACCUGCAGAUUGUGACCCUUGUGCCUCUAUAUUAUGAUCAGAAUUGGUUGCAUUUAUGUUCCUAAGCUUUAUUGCUGUUCUCAUUGUGCACUAUACAGUGCAUUUACUAACUUGCAUUUGCAGAUUGCUGAGUUGGUCGUUGUGCUUUCACAAAAUACGGUUUGUUUUUCCAAAAAUCAUACAGAAACAUGUUGAGCUUUGGUUACAGUUUCACAGAAGCCAUGUUAUUCAUUGCAGCUAAACAAUUUGUUCUGAAUUUAUUUUGGAGAAGCCUUUGUUCUUGUUCUUUGCCAUCUUUUUCAGAAAUUCAAGUUCAAAAUGGCGAAUUUCGCUCAAGUUUUGUACCUGACGUUUACUGGCGUAGCUUGCCUGAACAUGGGCAGCUUGUGCUUGACUUUCUCCGGUGUCUGAACUCUGUAGAUGCCAACCGAGUGCUCCUUCCAACUGAAAACAAACAUCUAGUUGACCGUCGUUUUGUGUUAGUCAUAGAUAACAUCGAAAGCCACUUUAGAAGCAAAACUUGCACAAGGUCGGCACGAGUCGCUGUCUGUGGGCCCUCUAGAAAUGCUGCCGGCCCCACCCGCAGCGACACAAGUCCCAAAGUUGGCACAGUACCCUUAGAAAAGUUGUCCAAUAGCAAAUUUUGCGCCGGGGGGGGGGGGGGGGGAGUAAAAUAAACAACACUACCUCAUUGGCUCCUUGACUUGUAUGAUAUGAAACCUCUGAUGAAAAAAAAAGAAAGAUUUUACUAUACAUCAAGCACGUGAUUUUAGAGGAAACUGUGUGAAUUUCUAACCUUCAAAUCUGCUUCAAUAGCUAUGUUUCGGCUUCAUCUUUGAUGAAUCCGGCAGAGGACCUAUGGAUUAGGUUUUUAGGGUUGAGGUAGGGAGAGGAAGGAGAUUUUGGAGUGGGGAAGUGGGAGGUGUUCUCGAGCUUAGAGGGAUGGCUAGGACGAAGGUGAUGGCGACGCAACGGCGCCGUCUCAGCCAUGGAAGAAAAUGAGAAAAGGUGUAUUGGUGUUGGCGGGUGAAACUCUUCUCGUUAGAGUACAUAGGAGGUGGGGCGCUGUGGGAGCCAAAGACAAGGAAGAAGACGAGAAUAGGGCCAUUGCUGUCACUUGGAGAGAGGAGGGGUAGGGAGAGGACAGGAAGGGAGGAGGCCAGUCUGUUGGGCCUCACUGGUGCCAUUGACGACAGGACGCCGACGGGGUUAGGGGUCGCUCAUCAGGGGUAGAGAGGCGGUGGUAAUGGAGAAGGCGAGAAGAUUCGGUGUUGAGCGGCAAUGGCAAGAGGAAGGCGGGAUUAGGGUUAGAGGGACAUACAAGAAUCUUGAAGCAAUGCAAUGAAAAAAAAACACGUGAUAGGAAGUAAGAAAUCACUCGGAUAAUGAAUGAUAGUCAACAAGAUUACCUUCUCUACAAAUUACAAACAAAUUAAGUUCUCAUAUAUAGCGGAUGUGGCUUCUUGGGAUAGGGAGACGGUGGCAAUGGAGGAGGCGAGGAGAUUGGGACAGAACAGCAACAUUAUGAGUAGGAAGACAGUGUUCGGGUACGGGAUGUAUACAUGAUUUUUAAAGUAAUCUAACGGUUAGAAAACAUCAUAACAGGGAGGAAGAAAUCAUUUAGUGGUGAAUAGAUAAUUAAAAAGGACUAAAAAAACCUUGUCAACAAAAUACAAACGAAUUAAGUUCUCACAUUUUGUUUUUGUCGUUACCCGCAUCUUCUCUUCUAUGCGAACUAUGCCUUGCAAAUUCCGCCAAGAUCACUCUGCCACUACAAAGCGGUGGUGCGAUACAAAGACGACGAUGGAAAACCAUGAUAGGUCAGUGUGUUGGUACGUACGUAAGGUGAACGACGACGAUGUGGGCAGGUUGUUGGACCUCGACUCAAAGCUGUCGUAUAAGUGUGUUGGGCAACACCUCAAAUCGAGAUGACUCGUCUUUUUUACGAGUCGUGUAAUUAAGGUACUUGUUAAGGGUAAGUGAGUAACACAUGAAUUUUAAACUAAUAAUAUUUCAUGAAUGAUAUUAUUGUGAGCAUGAUUUUGCGAUGCUGGAGAAGGUUUAGAACAUAUUGCACUUUCUAGUCUUAAUUUAUGGGAAACAUAUCUAUACACAGAAAUUUUCCGUGCACACCAACUAGCAAAUGUCACAGAAAAUUCUAGAAAAAAUUUGACACAUACUUUCAAUAAUGUUACAUCUACAUGUGAAAUCUUAUUUUUCAACUAGUAUAUAUAUAUUUUCCCAUCAUACAGCGGUUGGCUUUCUCUCCACCGUCUAUAUAUAAGCUCUGUUUAGAUCACGCUCUAAAAUUUUUCACCCUGUCACAUUGAACAUUUGAACACAUGUAUGAAGUAUUAAAUAUAGGCUAUAAAAAUAACUAAUUGCACAGAUUGCGGCUAAUUUGUAAGACGAAUCUUUUAAGCCUAAUUGCUCCAUGAUUUAACAAUAUGGUGCUACAGUAAAUAUUUGCUAAUAACAGAUUAAUUAGGCUUAAUAAAUUCAUCUCAUGGUUUACUAAUGGAUUCUAUAAUUAGUUUUUUUAUUAGUGCCCGAACACUCCAUGCGACACCCUAUAUAAUGCCCGAUGUGACACGUCAAAACUUUACACUCCUGAAUCUAAACACCCCCUAAAUUCUUUUACUACUAGUGUAUCUCCGAUACUAUAAUAUGACCCGAGUCAUUAUCUCCUCCAACAAUUGCUCUAAGUUAAAAUUCUUCAUGGGAAAGCUUUAUUGCUCAUGGUUGCCGUUCCAGAAAAAAAGUAGAUCGCAAUCUGUAGCCCUACCCUCUAACAUAUAAUAAACUCUCCUAGGUGACAACAUCGCACGUACGUCUUGAAAAAGUACAAAAAGAAAGGAGAUAAGCACGAGAAAAUGACCGGCACUAAUUGGUCAUCAAAGUUAAGUGGACGAUGCAUGGAUGGUACUACCUCCGUCCCAUAUUACUUGUCUUUUUGAGUUUUUAUUUGUCAAUGUUUAAUCAUUUGUCUUAUUAAAAAAAAUGAAUUAUUAUUUAUUUUGUUUGUCAAUUGCUUUAUUAUCAAAAGUACUUUACAUAUGACUUAUCUUUUUUUAUAUUUGCAUUAAUUUUUUAAAUAAAACGAAUGGUCAAACGUUACAAAUAAAAAGUCAAAAACGUUAAUUAUGGGACGGAGGGAGUAGUACUCAAUGCAAGUACUGUACCCUGUACCCAAAUUGCAUCAUGUUUUCUCAGUCUCUAUUCCAAUUGUAAUUACCGUACCACUAGUACGUCGUGACAGGAUUAGUACAACAAAUAAAUUAGCUCUACAUAUCGAUCUUCUGUUUUCUUUUUCGUUCUGACAGAGGUAAAUUGUAAGGGAUGUCUGAGAAAGUAGGAUUUCACUGUCAACAGAAUAAGGAGCAAAUUGCUCCGUAGCACUUCAAAUAUUUAUGUGUUUUUUUAUUGUUCCACUUAUGUAUGGGACCCAGGGCCCACAUAUGUGUGGAUGACGCAUCAGAAUGUCAUUUUGCAUUUUAUGCGCAUGUUUGCAUUUAUGUGACAAGUGACAAAUUCUGGAACUCAUUUCAAUUUAGGAGUUGGCUUCGUUCCAGGCCUGACCUAUUUGAAACAUGUGAUCGGUGCUUCCCAAUAAAAAUAGAGCAUGCUUAGUUUGUUACCAUUUUCAAUCAUACUAAAUUUGGGCAUGCCAAAAUUUGACAAGCGGAAAUCCAAACAUGUCUUAGGCCCCGAUAGUUUCCUCCAUAUAACAUCAGCAGCCGCCAAAAUUUGAUUUUUCAAACUAAUUUUUGAAGGGUUUUCAUCGAAGUUUAUUUUUCAGUAUUAUCAUUUAAAUCGCUAAGAAUACAUAUGUAAAACUUUUACCUAUAAAUUAUUAGUAGUUUGCUAUUAUCCGUAUUUGGCCAAACGAUGGGGGCCUUAUAUAUAUAAACUCUGGUAAUUUGCUGGAAACUUUUUGACAUAACUUCAUGCAAAAAUAUCUCGUAAGGUUAAAACUAAAAAACACCGACUUACCUAUCUUAUCUUACCCAAUUUUGGCAUUGUUAAGCUUUACAAGUUUUGUAAUAUUUUUUCCAUUUUGUAGAAUCUAAGACUCACUUUCGUUAAAUUCAUGUGUUCAUGAGUUAAAUUACUGGACAAUUGGAGAGAAAAAACAUUCACAUUUGAAAGGCUUAAUUUUGGCCCAAAACCAAAAGCACUCCAAAUCUUGUAAUAAUAUUAAAUAGCUCCAUCGUUUGCUCUUUAGUUUAUCGAUCACUGUCGAAACGUGAAUUUUAAAUCUUAAUUUUAGAAUCAUUUUGAUUUUUUUUAUUUUAGUUUAUUUUAGUAUUGGUUUUUAAGUCAUUGAAAUAUAUACAUAAAAAAAUAUUUUUUUAAGUUGCUAUAAGUAUUACCGUUUAUAAUUAGGUUAGUUGCUAUAAGUAUUACCGUUUAUAAUUAGGUGUAGGUGAAACUAUGGAACUGUGGUGGCAAAAACUAUAUUAGUAAGCUUUGGCCAUGACAAUUUGUAACCUAUAUCAUGUUAAAGGAACCAUAUGCGAGUUGUACACGUGUUAUGACUAGAGAAAAGGAAUAAGAAAAACAGAGUAGCUAGGAGAGGACAAAUGGCAUCCAAGUACCACAUCACCCUGAUUUUCCAAAUCUACAAAUCGUCAAUAUCGUCAUUUCUGCGCUCUAGAUCUGAUGCAAGACCUCAGGCCUUAGGGUGACAUCUCGACAGUAACCUUUAAGCCAAUAAUUCUUUUCAAAACCUUUAAGCCAAUAAUAAUCUAACAGUAAGAAAAAAUAAAAAUAAAAACAAGACAAAAUUGAUGAUUCAUAUCCAUAGAAUCAAAGCUUUUUGGGGCAUCUUGUGAAGUGGAUGGCAACAUGAAAGGGACCUCCAUUUCAUCCUAGAGAUCAGAUAAAGUGAACUGGGAAUUGUGAUCAAAAUCUUACUGAAGAUAUGUGAAUAAACAAACAAAUCAAUAAGUGUCACAUGUUUGGUCUAGAUGCUAGGAUCAGAAUUUCUAGCAAAAAAAGCAGGAUAUAUGUAAAAAUUCAGUUGAUGCACUGCUAAAGUGCUACUAAUAUACUAUGAUUUGUUCUUGAUGCUUUAUUCUGGAAGUGGUGUCAAGUGAACUGUGCACCUUGCACACUUUAUGUAGACCAGUCAUCAGUUUUUCAAUCCUGUCACUGGUCAUAUAUAUAGCUGAAGAUAAUAACAUAUGUCAGUUCUGCCUGUGGCAACAUUGGCCUUCUCUGAUUGGCCUGUACUUGAUGAUAUUGUGAUCUUAAUUGGAUGACUCUACUAAUGCAACGAGUUUCCCUCAAAAGAAUACUCGUAGCAUUUUAAUCACUUUAAGUGUGACAUUUACAAUUUCCGAAGAAUUAAUCUUCACCUUGCGCUGCCAUUGUGCAUUUGAUUUGAAAUAGUGUAGUAAUAAAUUUACCAUUUAUUUUACGGUAAUGCUAAACAACGUAUUUCGCUCUACCUAUUAAGUACCAUGCCUUGCAGCCACCCAUCCAUCCCGCUCCCCUCCCUCCUCUCCUCAUUCCCCUCCCGAUGUUAAAACAAAAAAAAAAAGUUACUCUCAAUUUUACCCAAACGUUGGUUCUGUCGUUAGGGCUUUACUCUCUCCUCCUGAUGUAAAAAAAAUACUAUCUAUUUGGUGUAGAAAAAACUAUCCCGUCCCGUCCCCUUCCCUCCCCUCCCCACACCCUCUCUCUUUUCUUGAUGUAAACAAGUUACUCUUGAUGGAAAUAUGGUAUAUGUUUUGGUAACUCUUAUCCCCUCUACCCCCUUUCCUUCUAAUGAAAAAAAAAACACUCCAGGGGUAUUAGACAAAAAAAAUCUUGGAAAUUUAUUUCACUAGAACAUUUAUUCUAUGCUUUCCCACUUCCCUCCCGAUGCAACAAGAAUUAUUCUCACCCCUUCGGAAAAGGGUACGAGCAAUUUAUUUUACAUUGUAAGAAGAGAGUGGGGGAGGGGAUAGAUGAAGAGCCUAGCAUAACAAGGUGUAAGUAACUGUACAUGUGGGAGGCGGGAGGCGUGAGGUGCACUAUUGAAGCUAAACAAUGUGCUACACUCUGUAUAUUAGUUCUAGUAUAUUUCGUGCAUAAAUAUUCAUAAUGUCUUAUCUAGGCUCAAGGCCAUUUGAAGGGAAAGCAUAUGAAUUUGAUAGGAUUUCAUUGUCAUAGGAUUUUUUUUUUCUAAAUGGAUCUGAAACAAAGAAAGGACACAAUACCUCUAUACAUGCAAAUUUUGGAGAAAAUUUAAUGAGUUUCAACCUCAUAAAAUGUGUCCUUUCAAUCUCUAUCUUUUCGUAAACUCCUAUGUUUUUCGUGCGAUCUAACCAAACAUAUACUCAUGUAUUUUUUCCAUUUCGUAGAAUCUAAGACUCACUUUCGUUAAAUUCAUGUGUUCAUGAGUUUAAUUACUGGACAAUUGGAGAGAAACAACAUUCACAUUGAUUUACUGUACUACUGUAGGUCCCACACAAAGCACAAUAACUAUAAUAAAAAUAUACUCCAUCCGUCCUAAAAUAUAAUAACUUUUAGCAUUCAAAAUUUGUCGCAAAAUAUAAAUAACUUCACCAACCAUAUUUCCUUCUCGACAAACCAUAAACCUCCACUAUUCAAAUUCUUCACCAACUUUUAUUUCCUCGAAAAAUCGAAAACUUCUUCCAUUUAAUUCUACUAAGUAUUCUUGUGUAAGGUGGUGUUUGGAUUCAGGGACUUAACUUUAGUCCCUGUAUUUAGACACUAAUUUAGAGUAUUAAAUAUAGACUACUUACAAAACUAAUUACAUAAAUGAAAGCUAAUUUGUGAGACAAAUUUUUUAAGCCUAAUUAAUCCAUAAUUAGAGAAUGUUUACUGUAGCAUCACAUAGGCUAAUCAUGGAUUAAUUAGGCUCAAUAGAUUCGUCUCGCGAAUUAGUCCAAGAUUAUGGAUGGGUUUUAUUAAUAGUCUACGUUUAAUAUUUAUAAUUAAUAUCUAAACAUCCGAUAUGAUAGGAACUUAAAUCUAGUUUUAGUCCCAUCUAAACAGAGUCUAAGUCUAAUACUUCUUGUAUUGUACAGCGGGAUGUAGCCACCCACAACUAGUACUAAUUAUAAUUAGUAUUUUUUAUUUGUGAUGAUGUCAUAAAUACAAGUGGCGCCACGCUGCAGGUGGAAUACAAACGGAACAGCACGUGCCACGCGUCCCCGCUGCCAACUCGACUCGACUCGAGUCCGACCGAGCGAGCGAGCCCGACUCGCCGCGCGUCGCCGACGCCGGACCCGACCCACCCCACGAGCCGAGCCGGAUUUAUUCCCGUUUCCCGAGAAGCCCAUUUGCUACUCCACCUCCCGGAUUCGCUGGCGGCCCACAACCCACCAGCCCUGCUGACGAGGCGCCCACCUGUCAGUUACUCGCAGAGAGGGAGCCAGCGGAUCGGGUCGGGUCGGGUGGUGGGUCCAGGCCCGGAUCGCGAGGCAGGAGGAGGGGUGGCCCACCGCAGCAGCGCAGAGCCAAGGCACAGCACGCACGCACGCACGCGCGCGGGAGGCCCGGUCGGUCGUCGCGGCCCACCGGCUGCGGCCGGUCGCUUUGCCUGGCUUUCCGGUUUUACCCCCCGUAAAAAGGAAAAAUGUUCAGAAGAUCGAUAUGCACGAAAUCACCCUGGAUUUUCGUGAAUUCUUACUUUCUUCUAUUGCAAAUGUACGAUCAACUACACGGUAGGAGUAUAGUGCCGAUCAAAUUUAGUAUGGAACAUGUUUUUCUUUUUUUUUUACCAUCCUUCUUUUGGGAUAGUUACAUAUGACGAGGUAAAAAUCGAUCUCAAAAGAAACAGCUUAUGAACCAAGAAUAGGGUGUGAUUAUGUUUGAUCAUUUUUCCUGUUUAAAAAAUUUAGUCCAAAUAUAAAAAUGAAUAAAUCAUAUUUAAAGUUCCUUUAAUGAUAAAAAGUCGCAAUGAAAUAAAUAGUGCUAAAAUAUUAUAGUUUUUUCAAUAACUGAUGGUCAAACUUGAGAAGUUAACACCAUCACAUGUUAUAAUUAUAAUUAAAUAAGUAGAAUUAAUAAAUAUGAUUAAACAUGUGGAUCGGAUAAAUUUUAAGGAAUUUUAGAGGGAUAUAAAUAAUUAUAUGAAAAUCCUAUAAAAUUAAAAUUCAUGAAUCCCAAGGGAGACUUUAGAGCUACUCCUUGCAGUGAACAAAGCUUCUACUGUAUGCCUACUAGCAUGUCUUGUGCGCAUUUACUUUUUUGCGUGGAGGUUUGUUUACUUAUCAUGGAGAUGAGCUGGUAAUUCCAUUUACUCCCUAAUUAAAAUCUGAUUUCAUAAUUUUACUGCCUUUAGACUAUUCCCAACCAAGACACUAGACAUAGUUUUCAUAAACUCUACAUCAUCAAAAAACUAGUACUAUACAUUAAUCUUUCAAUGCAAACACCACUAUUCCAUACUUAAAUUUAAUGUUGCUUAUCUCACAUGAUGUUCUUGGAUGUUAUGUAGAAACAAUGUCUCUUUUCUCACGCAAAGACAUGGUUUCCUUCUCUUUUCUCAUUUAUUUACUUGUCACAUCAAUUUUUAUCCUAUGUGGCAGCUUAUUUAAUGUUAUGGACACCAUUCUAAUCAUUGGGUUGGGAAUAGCCAUAAUACUACUUUGCAUGUUUAUAUUCUUAAUUGCAUGCAUGCUUCAAUUCAUUUGUUCCUCUGUGUGGAGCUGCACUUUCAGGAAAAAGUCAUCACUAGAUCAUCUCAGUUGAAAAUCUUGUUCCAUCAACGUAUCGUCUGACAGUUUGGAAAAAAUGUAGUAGCAGCUUACUAGCUAGAUUUGGUCAAAAGACUUUAACGUCACAAAAACAAAUUAAGUCAUACAAACAGAUAAUUAAUUCCACUCUCCUCCAUAUCAGUUAAUCAAUGACAUUUGACACUUUCCAGACCAUAUUCUUUACCUAAAACAUCUAACAGUUUUUUUUUUCAUCGAGCAAUAGAAAUCUAUCCACCAGAGUGGUUUCUUAGCUUCAUCUCGAUCCUACAAAACCAAACUUAAUCUUCUUUUAGCACGCAUUCCAAACUACUAAACGAUACGUUCUGUGUAAAAAAUUUUAUAUGUAAAAGUUGUUUUUUGAAAUAUCAAAUAUAUCCCUUUGUCAACUUUGUAAUAAUUAAAACUUAAUUAAUCAUGUGUUAAUAACUUUCUCGUUUUACGUGUGCCAACUUAAUCUUCAUAUUCGUCCGUUCCAAACACCACCUUAAAGCCAUGAAGAUAUAUAGCAUGGAAGAAAUAGUUUACUUAUAGAAAUCGAGGAUGCUGCUAGCGCUUUUUAAGACAAAAUAUAUAUACCAUUUAUUGUUUAUUAUCAUCUACUAGGCUGUGUUUAGAUCCAAACUUUAGAUCCAAACUUGUAACUUUUUUCAUCACAUCAACCUUUCAUACACACAUAACUUUUCAGUCACAUUGUAUCAAUUUCAACCUAAACUUCCAACUUUGGAAUGAACUAAACACAACCCUAGUUUUCUGUCUGUAUUUCUUUUCAGAUGAAGUAUACCGAUCAUUUCCAUAGUCAUCUACCGCUAUGUACUAAUGAACAUGUGCUUUAAAAAGUUUAGAAAGUCAAAAGAAAGAAGCUGGAGUAGUCUUGUUUUCUCAUGAAACCAGCUAAAAUUCAAUGCACCACCCAAACUUGACCACUUUCUCCCAUCUCAUCCAAUAAGCAUCAAAACCUUUUCACCUCCAUCAAAAAUAAAACCCACCCUUCUCACCUCUUUGGUUCAAGCAAAAUUGUGACAAGCCUCAACAAAAAAUUACCUUCUCUCAAGGUGCAAAGCUGUAAAAAAAAACUGAGUAAAAACCCCAUUUUACCCUUGUUCCCAUAAAGCAAAGAGAAGGGGAAAAAAAUGUUGUGUGUGUAAGUAAAGCCAAGAGCUCACUAAACCUAGUUUUGCCCAAAAACCCAGAGAGAGGAGGCUCCAAAGCAAAAGCCUCACUCCCUUUCCCCAUCUCCUCCCUCCUCUUCGCCAUUUCGUCGAACACCUUCUCCGAUCGCGCGCCGCCGCCGCCGAUGGGGGAGCCUGGGGGCGCCGAGGCGGCCGUCUCCGCGAGGCUGCUCGAGCUGGCGGCCGACGACAACGCGGCGGGGCUCGGGGAGCUCCUCGCGGCGUGGCCCUCCCUCGCCGACGAGCCCGCGCCGUGGUACACCCCGGCGCGGGGCGCGGAGCCGCUGACCCCGCUCAUGGUCGCCGCCGUGUACGGCUCGGUGGGCUGCCUCGACGCGCUCCUCUCGCCGCCCUACCUCGUGGACCCCAACCGCGCCUCGGCGUCGUCGCUCUCCACCCCGCUCCACCUCGCCGCCGCGGGCGGGUCCGCCUCCGCCCCCGCGGCGGUCUCCCGCCUCCUCGCCGCCGGCGCCGACCCGGCCCUCCUCGACCACCUCCAGCGCCGGGCGUCCGACCUCGUCGCGCUCCCGCCCAACUCGCUCCCGCUCAAGAACCACCUCCUCUCCCUCCUCGGCGCCCGCAAGGAGUGGCCUCCCGACCCCUCCCUCCCCGACAUCAAGAACGGCGCCUACGCCUCCGACGACUUCAGGAUGUACUCGUUCAAGGUGCGCGCGUGCUCGCGGGCCUACUCCCAUGACUGGACGGAGUGCCCCUUCGUCCACCCCGGCGAGAACGCGCGGCGGCGCGACCCGAGGAAGUACCACUACAGCUGCGUGCCGUGCCCGGAGUUCAAGAAGGGGGCCGGGUGCAGGAGAGGGGACAUGUGCGAGUACGCGCACGGGGUGUUCGAGAGCUGGCUCCACCCGGCGCAGUACCGGACGCGCCUCUGCAAGGACGGCGUCGGCUGCGCCCGCCGCGUCUGCUUCUUCGCCCACACGCCCGACGAGCUCCGCCCGCUCUACGUCUCCACGGGCUCCGCCGUGCCGUCGCCGCGCGGGGCGUUGGAGAUGGCGGCGGCGGCGGCGGCGAUGGGGAUGGGGCUGUCGUCGCCGGGGUCGUCGUCGUUCACGCCGCCGCUAUCGCCGUCGGCCGGCGGGGGCGGGGGCGGGGGCGGGGGCAGCGGCGGCGGCGGCGCGUGGCCGCAGCAGCCGAGCGUGCCGGCGCUCUGCCUGCCCGGGAGCGCCGGGAACCUCCACCUGAGCCGGCUGCGCACGUCGCUGAGCGCGCGCGACAUGGCCGUCGACGAGCUGCUCGCCGCGGCGGCGGCGGCGGCGGACUACGACGGCCUCGUCGCCUCCCCCGCCUCCAUCCGGUCCGCGAGGGGGAAGGCGCUUGUGCCGUCAAAUCUCGACGAGCUCUUCUCCGCUGAGCUCGCCGCCGCCGCGGCGUCGCGCUCGCCGCGCUACGCCGACCAAGGCGGCGCCGCGUUCUCCCCGACCCGCAAGGCCACCGUGCUCAACCAAUUCCAGCUGCAGCAGCAGCAUAGCUUGCUCUCGCCGCGGGCGGCCGCGGUGACACCAGAGCCGGUCUCCCCAAUGAGCUCCCGCCUCCUCGCCGCGCUGGCGCAGCGGGAGAAGAUGCAGCAGCAGACGCUGCGGAGCAUGAGCUCACGGGACCUCGGCAACGCCGCGUCGCUGCUGGUCGGCUCGCCGGUGAGCUCGAGCAUGUCCAAAUGGGGGUUCCCCUCCGGCAACCCGGACUGGGGCGCCGACGACGAGGAGCUCGGCCGCCUCAAGCGUUGCUCCUCGUUCGAGCUCCGGUCCGGAGCCGCCAAUGGCAACCAUGAGCCUGACCUCUCAUGGGUCAACACCCUAGUGAAGGAGCCGACACCGGAGAAGAUGAUGACGACGACAUCGGCAAUGGAUUCCAUUGGCAUCUUGGGACAGAACACAAGCCGUGAUCACAUCGUCGGAGGCGAGGAUGACACUGCCGGAGUCAUCAGCAGCUGGCUUGAACAGCUCCAGCUCGAUGAGAUGGUUGUCUAGAAACACAAAACACAAACACAAACUGAACAAGAAAUGCGCCAUUCUUUUAGAUGUGCUUCGCCGAUUGCUACUACUACUCACUACUUGUUGCUACUUGCUAGCAUCAAUCUUGCUAUUGAUUACCGGUGAUACAUUCUUUUGGGGGUGAUGAGAAUUAUUUAGCGGAGAAGGUGAUGAGGAAAUUCUUCUACCAUUUAGCAUUGCCCGUAUGUAAAAGAAUCGGAGGAAUCGGAGCCUAGUCAAAUUGUAUCAAAUUGCCGGCUUGCCUAGGUGAAAGAUUUCUCCUUUGUGUUUCUUUUCGAUUUAUCCUUGUAUUAAUCUUUUUAAUCUCUUUUCGCUGUUUUUCUUUUCUAAAAUGUGACUGAGGAUCAUGAAUUAUGUUAUCUAUUUGCCCCCAUCCUUUGGUUGUGAAGGAGUUGGAGGGGAGGGUAUUUACAUCAAAUGUUGCUUAGUCCUAACAAAGCUCAUCAUUGAUGUAAUGCCCUACAAAUUGUACCCAUGAUUCAUGAUUGAUGUAAAAUUCCUAUUGUAGUACCAAGAUUGAUUAAUCUCCCCUGUUUCCUGCAUUUCUUUUCUUUUCUUCAGAAAGCAUCAUAUACAUGUGCCCUUUAUCCUGUGAGAAUUACAUUAUCGCAUACUCCCUCCGUCCCAAAAUAUAAGAAGUUUUGGUUGGAUGUGACACAUUCUAGCACUACGAAGCUGGACAUGCUGCCUGUCCAGAUUGUCCAGAUUUAUAGUACUAUUAGGAUAUGUUAUAUCCAACCAAAACUCUUAAUAUUUUGGGAGGGAGGGAGUAUCAUUUCACCUGAGAUGGCAUUAGUUUUAAAAUCACAUGGAUUGUGUUCAGUUGCUGUUCUGAUGGUUGCCUGAUGACAACAGCUGUUGGCAUGGGCUUAGUUUGUGCAGUGCUUGACUCUGUGGAUGUGGUCAUGAUCACAGGUCGGCAGAUCGGCAUUGAAAAAGAUUGGCUUGGCCUGGAUUGCUUCCCUUCUCCUGGAGGCAUUUUGAAAGGGAUUUGGAUAUUAAGAUGGUUAACAUCAUCGAUCAAUGCGAGGUUAAUGUUUAAUGUGUUCUAGAUGACCUGGUCCCUCACUGAUGCACCCUGUCAGAAUAAAACAACUUGGGGACGGUGGCUCGGUAAGCUCGCCUCUUGUCUUUGUUCACAGUGCUGACUUGUACUGUGACCUGGAAGAAACAUGGGUUGGCUACUAUUUUCAUGUAUAUUGUGUAGCGUAAAAUUUCCACGAAAUUGCUAUGGUCUAAGUAAAAUUCAGAUUGUUGCAUAUUUUUAUUCUAGUGAAGUGUGAAUGCUUGAUGCUAUUGUGAUCCUGGUUAAGGUAGCUCUUUUAAUAGUAUAACACUGAGUUUCUUGGUCUUUCUGUUUCUUUUUUUAGCCAUUCUUAGUUCCUAAUUUCUACAAAAAAGGAAGUUGUCUUAGAUGUUACAGGGUAGUUUCUGGAUGUUUAAUGAUGCAUUCAGAUGGUGACAGUAUUGAAACUGGAUGGAAUAUUGCAAUGGAUGUUUGGUUUGCAUUUCAUCUACUUUUGAUAUAUUUGGAUACAAGGCCAGAUAUGUGGCUUUAUUAUUCAUCAUGUGAGUUGUUAUUAAAUGAUGUAAAUAUUUUUUUUAAGAAACAGUUAGGUCCAUAAUGGCUAUGAUUAGAAUAUGGGUUGGGUUAGGGAACCUACCUCUCUCUGCUGACAUUCAGGUGCAUCUACUUAAGCUAGGUCCCAACAAUUAAUACUCUUUUUUGUAAAAUUGUCAUCUCAAGCAUAAAUUGGUGCAUAGUAAUUGCAUCGCACCAUCCCUACUCUUGAUCUAUUAAAUUUGCCAUAUGAUUAGAUAUGUCUGGAGGCAAUUGAUAUCGGCACAUGCCUGUCAAGCUAUAAUAGUACAUCAAUAUAAAAUGGUAAAAUAAUUAAUUUGUCUUUGAAGAAAUGUUUCAUGGGGCCCUUGAGCAAGUGGAUCUCGUUCUAUUUUCCACAAUAAAAUUUAGUGAGCAAGCUAAUAGGCAUUAUGCAUAUAUAGAAAAUUAUCCAAUGAAAUGCAGCCUUCCUUUCUCUUUUUCAAAUGUGGUUUGGUUGGGACUUGGAGAAUGGGGAUUGGAGGGUGGUACACAAGUGACCUCAUUCAGAUGUUGAUUUCUCCAUUCUGAGAUAACUAAUGUUGCUAUUUAGAGUUGAUGUGACAUCAAUAUAAUGUAUUAUUAAAAACUAAAGGGGCACCAAUCUAUUGGUGCAAAAUUGACGGGUAGGAGGGUCUGCAUCAGAUUUUGCAUCUCCUUUGCCUACAUAGUUUGUAUCUAUACAUGAUGGUGAUGUGCUCUUCUGUAUAUAAAAUGUUUUUUUCUCACAGGUAUAUAAUAGCAUUCUUUGUCCUACUAGCACUGGUAGAAAUUUGUUCUGAAUUGCUAUUGUAAAUCUAUUCAAUAUUUAUGUUGGACAAUAUCAUCUUCGGCGAAAAACAUUUCAGGUGGCUAGAACUAAUUUCUGCACCAAGGAAUGUAGUAUUUCUAUUUCCGAUUUUGCCUUUUGAUUAAGACUUUCUAGGGGAUAACAAAAGAAAAUAAGAUAAAAACAAAUGUCAUGUAUCAUGUGUGUCAUGGUGUUGGCUUCUUUUUUGACAUUUGUUCGUCUUGUGCGGAAUGCUUUUUCGCAAGUUGCGUCCUUUUGGUUUUGGGGUUGUGGAUGUGGAAUUUGUCGUUAUGCGGUGUCUAAUUUAUUUCUUUGUUUUAGGUAUUGAAUCAUAGGUUCAUUAAAGAACUAUAUACAUAGCAUAAGUAGCAAAGUCUAAUUGUAUGAUGCAUGAAUGCAACAAAAAAAAUGUCUACAUAAAUUAUCCUAUGCCACUAAAAAUUUUACACAAUUCCUUAUUUUCAGACUAGUUUUUGGGUGACUAAAUAUAUUAUAAGUGGCAAAAUUUGCUGCAAGACAUUCAAAAAACUUGUAGGGGACACUGCAAGAAUACGUAUCUAUUGUGGGGACACCGUAAAAAACUAGUAAUGAUACAUGGUGUCGGAGCUAUAUGCGAGCCGCACAUGGCAGGCAUGAGCAAAAUUGUACUUUCACGAUUAUUUCUCUCUCUAUUUGCGCUAGAUAUAAUAAAAUAAAGUCGUGGGUGUCCAAUAACUAAUUACCAUUUUUUGUGGUGUCCCAAGAUGAAGGGAUAGACGAGUAGCUCGUCAUGCCACUAUCACUGGUAAACCCUCGUUUCCACAUUCCCCUCUCUUCUUGCCUUCCCCGGUUUCCUCUCUAAUGGACAGGGGGUAGGCGACUCAAUCUAAUGGACAGGGAGUAGGUGAUUGCGAUUUGCCGCCUAAAAUCUAGAGCCCCAUCGGUUGCCCUAAUAAGCCGAAGACAAAAAUUUAAAUUUUCAAACUUAAAAUUUGAAAAUUAAUUUUAAGAUAUUUUAAUGUAGUUUCUUUUUUAGCAUUGACUUUUAAAUCGUUAGGAACACAUAUAUAAAUUAUUUUUACUUAUAAGUUAAUUUUUAUUUCCUAAUAAGCCAAAAUAUGAGCAACUGAUGACUCCCCUAGUAGCAUUUUUCCAUUUACCAUUCAUUUCACUGAAAUAUGCGCUUGAGCCCACAUAAUUGAGGCUGUUGCUGAAGGUUUCUGUGAUUCAUCAAGGUUUCUGUGAUUGCAGACUGGAUGGCACAGCAAGUCAGGAACAGAGUAGCUUGGCCCCUGGCUCCUGGCUGGCCUGAUCAAUCUUGCAGGGAUCCGAUGGCCACGUGGCAGAAUCCUGACCCUCAACACGUACGGGCAUGAGCUCGAUCUGCACCACUAUACUCCAAACAUCUGCACGCGUUGCUGCAGGCAAUAACUUCUUUGUCUCGAUGGAAUUUACUACCGUCAGAGGAAUUCAGUAAAUGAACAGUAAAUUCACAUUUUUCUCAUUGGCAUUUUUAUUGCAGUAGAAACCAAAAGGUUCAGAUAAGUUUGUUGGGUUAAACAAGAAGAGAGAUGUCCAUAAGCUUAUUGAUGUUUUUAAAUAAAAAAACUAGUAGUGUUAUCUUGAGCUUUAUCAUGGCCAAAAUGAUGGUGAAUCUUGACCUUUUUUUGCAGCUGAAAAGUUGAAAUAAAUUUAUUGGAUUAAACAAGAAGGGAGUGUACUUUUGUUCCUUCUUUAAUUAAACUAUUUCAGUGACCUUGAGCUUUAACAUGAUAAGAAGAGAAGGAUAGUCCAUAUUGAUAUGUGGGUCCAAAUGUCCAAUACAUGCCACAAGUCGGUCAAUUAGCUUCUAGAUGCAUUACAAAUGUCUUACAAAUUCCUAUUUGUAAGACUAGAAUACUAGACCUUCAAGUCUAUGAAUGACAAACAGUUCAUUCUACAGUAUUUUUUUCUUAAAAAAAAAUCAUUCAGUUUGAAACUAGCAGUUGAUGAAAUUUCCAUACAAUAGAAUAUGCUAGAGGUGCCAACAACACAUGAUCCACAAAAUUCUUCACCCAAACAGUAUGAGAGGCAGGACCACUACAUGAGAAAAUGUUUCUGCAGUUCAGUCCAACCAGUAGACAGGCUACUGAAAUGCUGCCAAAAUUGAAUGGCAGCUUUUAGCCUUUUAUGGUUUGUUUGGGAUGCAAAAAAUUCAUAUAAUACCAGAGAGGAAACCUUGCUGCAAAUAUUUUGAUAAGACCCAUAAAUCUACAGUAUAUCAGUAUGCUUUGAAUUAUCAGUAGAAAUUAGUAUCAGUAUUAAUUAACUGGAGAAGAAAAUGAUUGCCGGUGGAAUACAAUUUCGCGCAUAUUUUCUAGGAAAAGCUUGGGAUUGCUUGCAACACUGGAAAGAGUACAGUGGUGAGACCAGGAGAUAGUACAAUCCUAUUUUCUUUAGAUUGAUCACUUCCCCAUCUCAAUCUAUCAUGUUCAGUGAGAAAACCAAUCAUUUUCAUCUGAUAUAGAGUAUCAUGCUUAGUGAGAAAAUCAGCAUGGCAGCACCAUUUCCUUCAUCUGUCAUUUUCAGUUGGAAAAACCAGUCAGUUAGAGGCACCAACCCAUGUGCAUACAAUCACUCUCUGAAAAUCUAGACAAGGUAUAUUUUCCCUCUCAGCUGAUCAAUCAACUGAAGAAAAUUCAGAACACAGCCAUUGUCACCAGGUAGCAAGUGCAUCACAGAAUUAACCCCAUGUAUGAGGAUCUAGUCAAGUAGGUUUAGAAAUUAAUCUUCGUGUGAAUGAAUCAGCAGGCAACUAAGCAGGAAACAAUGCAAUGAAUAGGAGCAGAUGAGCAGGAAGAUUCAGAGAUUGCAGCGUAGGGUGACUGAACCUGAAAGGAGUAAUGUGUCUGAAUCACUGAUUUUUCAGAAAACACAGGGAUGCUCUUGAAGAAGGGUUCAUGCUUGGCUUGUGUCAUUUUCCAUGAGAACAGACACAUGGCUUUGUAGUUCUGUUGGAUAUGGACAUUGAGAAGGACUACUCUCUGGAUUUUGAGCUGGAUGCAGCCAUGCUUUCUAGGAUAGGUUAACAAUCUGCUUUGCUUUGAGGCUUGGAUCGAAAGGAGUUUGUUCUAAUAGGGACUAAACUUUAGGAAGGAUAAAUGCUUCAUGGAAGAUAUGGAGGCAAGUUGGCUGUAACUGUGAUCUAGAUUACUGUGUUCUUGAUAAGUCAUGCAAAAGCAGAUAGCAUCUCUCUCUCCCUCCCUCUUGAAGAGAAGAACAAAAAUAAAAUAGAAUCCAUUUACAGUGUUUAUGCUGUUGGAGAAUGACUCCAUCCUCGUAGCUUGAAAGGCCCACAAUAGUCUCAAAGAAACAAGAACAAAAAUAAAUGCCUGAAAUACACUGUUCCAGGCCCUGUUCUAUUAUUCCUCAACUAGUACAAAAGUUUCGGGUUCCCUCAAGUUGGAUAUAUUUAUCAUCUGCACUCUGCAGGACAUAUCAUUAGCAAAACUUAUUCAGACAAAAGGAGAACCGCAUCCUAUCUUACCAUAAAGUUAUCCCCCACUAACUUCUUAAAUUUAACAUGCAAAGAUACCACAUCAUCAUCCACUAACAAGAUGCCACAUCAUCAUCCACUAAUUAACAAGAUACCACAUCAUCAUCCACUAACAAUCAUCACAUUUAAACAUCAUGCAAACAUGCUAUAUCUUUAUAGUUUUAUAAUUUAAGAGCUUAUCAAAUACAAACAUGUUAAAUUAUCAUCCAACAUAAUUCACAUAAUGUUUCAAUGUAUAUCUUUCAAUGUAAUUCAAAGUAUGAAUUACCCCCCACCCGAAUUAUCGCGGUCGUCUGAGUUACCCCCCUGAACCACAAAACCGGACAUUCUUCACCCCCAACUAUACAAACCAGACGAAUUACCCCCCUCGACCCAAUCCACGGUGGUUUUGGUAUAUGUGGCGUACACGUGGUAGUCCAGUCAGCGUUGUUUUAAUUAAAAAAUUGUGGGACCCACAUGUCAUACACUAAUACUCUCUCUCUCACCCUUUUCUCUCCCGCGCAACGCGCACGGUGAGGACGAGCGCGGGGGGCGAAGCGUGGAAGCGGAGCGCGGCGGCGCGGACGUCGGCGCUCAGGACUUCGGCGCGGAGGCGGCGGAGAAGUGUGGCGGCGAAGGCGGGCGGAGGAGCGUGGCGGCGGAGCGCGGGGAACUGAGCCAGUUGUGGGUGGCGGAGGCGGCGGAGGAGUGUGGCGCGCCACCGCCGAGGAGGAGCCCGCCGCCCACCGUGCGUUCCCGUGAGCCCACGACGAGGAUGAGGAGCCCGCCGCCCACCGCGCGUCCCUGCGUGCCCGGUUGGCCUCCGCCUCCAUCGCCGGCCGUCAUCGUCCUCGGGCCCCCUCCGCCACCCACAACUGGCUCCGCUCGUCCGCUACGCUCCGCCGCCUUUGCUCCUCCACCACGCUCCGCUGCCACGCUCCUCCGCCGCCUCCGCUCGUCCGCCGCCUCCGCUGCCACGCUCCUCCGCCGCCUCCGCUCGUCCGCCGCCUCCGCUGCCACGCUCGUCCGCCGUCUCCGCUCCUCUGCUGCCUUCGCUCCUCCGCCACGCUCCUCCGCCGCGCUUUGCCGCCACGCUCCUUGGCCGCCUCCACCGCCUCCGCUCGUCCGCCGCCUCCGCUCUGGCGCCACGCUCCUCCGCCGUGCUCCGCCGCCACGCUCCGCCCCCCGCGCUUGUCCUCGCCGUGCGCGCUGCGCGAGAGAAAAGGGUGAGAGAGAGAAUAGAGAGAGAGUAUUUAGUGUAUGACAUGCGGGUCCCACAAUUUUUUAAUUAAAAAAACGCUGAUUGGACUGCCACGUGUACGCCACGUAGACCAAAACCACCGUGGAUUGGGUCAAGGGGGGUAAUUCGUCCGGUUUGCAUAAUUGGGGGUGAAGAAUGUCCGGUUUUGUGGUUCAGGGGGGGUAAUUCAGACGAUCGCGAUGGUUCGUUGGGGGGGGGUUAAUUCAUACUUUUUCCUUUAUGAUAUCCUAUAUACUUAUAUAGUUCAUCCUCACUUAGUGCUUAAAUGAUUAAUCUAUGGUCCAAAUUAUCUUUCUCCUUUUUUCCUCUAAUUAAGUCAUAUCACAUCGCUGUAAAAAAAAGUCAUAUCACAUCAAUUGUUUUUAGCCUUUAGAUGAUUAAUCUACGGUCCAAACUAUCUCCCUACUUUUCUUCUUCUAUAAAGUCAUACCACAUUACUUUUUACGAAUCACCAUUCUACAUACUAUUUAAAUUUAAAUUAUCAUAAACCACAUUAAUUUACUUAAUUUGAUGUUAUCUAGCUAUCUUACACGUUAUAUUUUUAUUGUUAUCAUACUAAAUUCCCGCAGCAAUGCGUGAGGUUUCACCUAAUUAGUUUAGUUUUUGGGCUCUCUGAGACUAGUGAAAUCGUCAUUAAAACAGACAAAAUGGCAUAGAUUGUGUUGAGAUUAUGAUCACACUCUGCUACAAAAUAUAAAUAUUGCUGCACGUUUCCGAAAUAAAAUGUUUAUAUUUUAAAACGGAAAUAUAAGUAUUUCUGCACGUUUUCCGAAAUAAAAAUGCUUAUAUAUUUUAAAACAGAAACGGAAGGAGUACUAUAACAGAAGCCAGUUAAAAGAGCGAUAGAGUUUAAGAAAAAGAUGGGCGAUUCAUUUGGUGUGAGCCAAACAUUGAUAUACUAACAAUUUGCUUGUAUUAGCUUACCGAUUACUAAUAGACAAUUAGCUUGAGAAUCAGGAUGGACGCACAGCAUAAUCCAGCAAAUGGAUUAACUAUUAAUGUUUAUAGGACUACAUGAAUUCUUUUACUUCACUGAUAAAGGAGCCCUCAUUGUACUCCGUUCAACGAACAAAAAAACCUCUCAAGAACAAUGAAGCAAACAAUUCCUCAAUGAUACGGUACAAUUCCUCACUAUGAUUUCACCUAGUUCAGGUAUGAUGAACCUAGUAGCUGAUGCCUCUCCGGCAAACAAAUAACAAAUGGAAAUGAAUUCCAUGUUUUUUUUAUUUCCUUUGUCCUAGGGUGUUUCUGAAUCUGUUAUCUCAAGCAGGUUGAUCAAAAGUUUCUCGUCAGUGCUUCUGCAAUGCCAUCAGCAACAAUGUUUUGAGUUAUCUAGUUAACCGGGGAUAUCUUGAGGCCCCUUGUUCGUCCAGGAGCACCUCCUGAGAGAGACAAGUCGAGCGAUAACCUGUAGGAAUACAAAUAGAGAGGAUCGUGGAAUCAACUAUCAUUAGCUUGAAAAUAAGGUGAAUCAGCUAUCAUUACCAUACAUAAAAUUAGGGGGAAAUGGCUUACAAGUUUGUGGUUCCUUUCUCUGCUUCGUUAGUCUCAGAUUGCAACAAAAUUUCUGAGUUUGUUUUGGACAGGAUUGAGUAACAUGCAGUUUCUUUCCCGUCCUUGAUGACUGAUCCCAUAAUGAAAGUUACUAUCAGAUUUAUGAUGAAACACUAAUAAUAAUAAAAUGGAAGGAAAAAUGUAAAAGCUCAUGUUUCUUACAAGAAUCAUUUGAAUCUUCGUGGUCAUCAUCCAAAGAAAGCAACUUCUGCAGGUCACAGGUAAAAAUUAAGGAACAGAACAGCGUAUUGCAAUAAGCAUCUCUCACAAGGAAAGUUUAUGCAGCCAAGGCACAAGGUUAAUUACCUUCAAAUUUUCAUAACAAGCUUCAAGGUCAUCAUUUACCAAAAGAUGAUCGAAAAGACCUGGUGAAUUGGACUGGUCAAGCUCUGCACGAGCAUUCCUCAGUCGCUUCUGGAUUUGCUCCUCUGUUUCAGUUCCCCUACAUAGCCAGUGCAUAAAUCAAAAAGUUUAUUUCAUAUGGUCAGGAAUUGAAUAAUCAAGUACAUGAGCUUAGGCUAUCACUGCAUUUUGUAAACUACAAAUAUACCGUGCCCGAAGGCGCUUCUCUAGUUCCUCGAACGAUGGAGGGCAUACAAAGAUGAAUAUUGCUUCAAGAGAAGAAGCCCUCACAGAACGAGCUCCUUGGACAUCAAUGUCGAGAAUACACCUCUUCAAUGAAAAAGCAAUGGAAAGAUGUAGCAAUUCACCUUUCAGAAGUUUUCAUGAAAAAAGAGUAAUAACUUUACCUUCCCCUCAUCAGUAACAGAUUCAACUGCUUCAACGCUAGUGCCAUAGACAUUUCCAUGAACAUGAGCAAACUCAAGAAAUUUGCCCUCACUUAUCUCUUCCUCAAUCUUGCUUCGUUCUGUGAAGUGGUAAUGAACUCCAUCUAUUUCUUUCUCCCUUGGAGCUCUUGUGGUGUGGCUAACAGAAAAUCCAAACUUUGAUGGAUAUUCUUUCAUUAAUUUUGCAAUUAAUGUCCCUUUACCAACACCAGAAGGCCCGCUAAUCACAAUUGGCUUUUGGCCCUCACCAAUUACUCCCUUGCUCCAUGCAACAACAACUGUGCCCUUAAUUUUGCUCUGCUGCUUAACAAAAGGAGUGUCUACCUAAAAUAAACAAAGCAGAAGAAACCAUGCCAUCUCAGUAAGGUGAAUAUUGGAAAAGCAAAAGAAAAGGAGAUAAGUAUACUGAUCAAGUGCACUGAGAAUACAAUAUACUCCUAGGCCUCUAGACAGAAAGCACACAGAAAACAUGAAACACAAAUAGACCCUUGUGCUGGCAUCUAGUGAAAGAGAAACCAUGCUUUCAGGUCAAUGCAGAAAAUAUGAAACACAAAAAGACCCCUGAGCUAGCAUCUUGUGAACGAAAAAUAUACACUUUCAGAUUAACAAACUGGCAUAAUGCACCACACCAGCAGAUUAACAUAAUAAUGUUAUGACAUGAAUAAAAGAAUAGACUUCUAGCUUACAAGUAAUACAAGAGACGGAAGUAGCAUUAUUAUAUACCAUAUAUUAUAUAACUAUAGAACAAUCAAUAUGCAUGAGAGUCUACAGGAACAGCAAGAAAAUUAUUUUCUUGUUAAGUUUGUAUGAAAGGAAACCAUAAGAGUAUGCAGUUUCCUUGGUGCUAACUAAAAACUAAUUACUUUCCGUAAAUUAAAAGAGAACAGAAGUAAAGAAAAGAAGAGCGCUUGCAUCAAUUUUCCAGCUUUACCUCAAGGAACCAGAUAGAAUCAUUCAAGGGAACACCCUUCUCAAUAAUCAGUAUCUUCUCAUUGUUUACGAGAACCGCUGAGUGUGAGCUGGUUGGAUUUGGAGGUGCCCCAAGUACUGUAGGUACAACCCUGCAUAAACACAAUGGGAGUGACUAACUACCAAAAUGAAAGCACAGUAAAUAGAGAUCGCAAACCAAAAUGACAGAACACGUACCAAGUCUGAGUUAGUUUGUCCAAAAUUUUGAUGGUAAUCGAUGACUUGGGGUCAUCUGAUCUGCUGAUAACAUACUGCAAAAAGCAAGAACAUGCUGUUACAAUAUAAAUUUAGAGUACUCCCUAGUAAGAUUAACACCGAUUGACAAUACACAGGGGAGUAUGCUUUACUUACGUUAAAUACUGUCAAUAGUACUAGCUGGUCCAACUAAGAAUGAGCAAAGACAGAUAUAAACUUGACUUGAUAUUAGGAACAUUAUCAGUCAUGUUCAAAAGAAAAGGCAACACUAUCAGCAUAGUUAAUUUUAAUGAAUAGUGGCGCUAUUUAUCAGUGGUGACAGAUUGCUACGAACACGUUUUCUUAAACUCAAGCAACAUAACACAAAGUGACAGCACACAGCCUAGCAUCUCAAACAAGGAGGACAACCAUCAUGGGUAUGUAAAAUCAAACCAAAGUUACAGUACAUAAAUGAACCUAUUAAUUCAACUUACCGUCUUAUCGCCUAUAUCUAUGGCAUUCUGCAGGCAGUCCUUGGAUUCCAAGGCGACGCUCUCGACACGAAACUCCGGAGCCUCUUCACCCUGUGGCCAAAUCAAAACCAGAGCAAGUUAAGCAUGCGGGUCCCCUUAACAAACUCUUCUUGGCAUCCACACAUAAUAAGCAGCACAUUGGCAAGCCCCUGAAAUAUCCACCACAGCUAAACUCACCAUAAAAUGCGCCGUGAUCAGGGCAGACGCGCCUCCAAUCCUAUAUACAGAAAUAAAACAACCGAACAAUUAGAACAUAAUACAAGAAUACACAUUCUGGUUACUAAUACAAGGAGACUGAAUUGAAGACACCAUUCCCACACACAUCUAUCCAUAGUAAGCAUUCAAGAACUACCACCACCAUACCAUACCAAAACAAGAACCCAAACACCCCCCAACCACUAAACCAAGCCCCUGAACCCCCCACAUUUCAAGACCAAACCAAUCCACAGAGAGCACAAACUAAACCACAAACCAAUCCACACUAAACCAACAUGACUCAUCACCAUUCCAAAAGCUAGAUCCACACAAGAACAAAAACAAGCACUAAUAGUAAUAUAUCCGGCAAUAGUUGGUCAAACAACAGAAGCACACACCCCCCAACCCCCACAACCAUCCCAAGAACGGUCAGGGAGAGCCCUAAAGAGAGAUCCCAAAGGAGAGAUCGGAGCGGCUGCAAACCUCGUUGCCCCACCGCGAUCCUCAGCUUCUUGAUCCCCUCUCGGUGGCCGCUACGACGACGACCCCAAGAAACCGAAACCCGCCCAAGAAUGCUGACGCCGAGCAGGAGGGGGUCGGAGGCGGGCGGCGGGCGUCGGCGGCGGCGAUGGAGGAGAGGAGAGGAUCGAAUCGGAGGAGGAAUUUGGUGGGGAGGAGGAGGCGACGGCGUCGACGUCGACGCCGCGGCGGCUUUAUACGACUUUUUCUUCUCUUCUCUCUCUCUUUUUUUUUCUUUUUUUUUUGUGGGCUUUUUUUUAUUUUGUUUUUUUUAAUUACGGAUUCGGUGGAUCUGGUCGUCGUUUGUAAGAGGGAGGGGGGAGGAUGCGGAAUUGCCGACUCCACUCCAAAAGCGGCUUUUUCCCUGUUUGCACAUCACUCCAAACCUAAAACGUAAAACGUAAAGUGGCUUUUCUUUAUGGAAUAAAUAGUUGACCUAUCUCGUUUAUUAUGGGUAUUUAGAAAAAUUUGUAAAGGUUGGCUUGUGUUGUUAUUAGUGUUACUGGUAUAGUUUUCGGUGAUUCUUUAAAGUCAUUUGAUUGUAAAUUUUAUCAGAAAAUGCUUCUAACAAAAGGUAAAAAAUCGAGCGUUGCACUUAAUGCCCUCGCUCCACUUGCUCCUCGAGGCAAGUGAUGUAGGUGUGGUAGAGCCACUACUAGAUCUCAUGCUUCUCUAGCAUAGUGAGGUUCUUGUUACGUGACCGAGACGCUCUGGAAAGGUGCUCGUAGGAGAGGGGAUGCCGAGAAAGGGCCUAUCUACCAGUAUGAGUUUUGGAUAAGGAUGGGUCCUAUUAGGUGAUGGAGAGACCAGAGCAGGAGACUAUGAUGGUGACAGGUGGCCGUCGUGAAGGGUAAGCAGAGCUCGAGGAUCAGUACCUGGAGGAGGCGGUGGGGUGGGAUCCACAUGGAUUUAAAGGUGGACACAAUUCAUCUUUGAUCGACUGGAACAACUUGACUGCUAAUUUUAUUUUGUCGGAUUAGACGCACAAUGUUAGUCACGCCUACUUUGUUCGAUAGCUAAGCUAUUAUAGAUCGAGUCAUAUAUGUUUAUGAGUGCCAAUUGGUCUAUUUCAUGAGUUUUUCUUAUAUAUAAUAUAAAAAGAUUGAAACCUGAAUACAAAUUACAUCAUGAUGAUGAAAGUGCCAAGGCUAAAAAUUACCCUAAUUAAAUAGGUAGUGAUGUGACAAAACAAGUGUUGAAGAUGUAUGUGUAUGUGUCAUGUGUGAGGGUGUGUUUAGUUCACGCUAAAAUUGAAAUUGAAACAAUAUGACGAAAAUGUUGGAAGUUUGUGUGUAGAAAAGUUUUGAUGUGAUGGAAAAGUUGAAAGUUUGAAGAAAAAGUUGGGAACUAAAUCAAGGUUGAGUGACUUGCAAGAUAUGUUUACCUCGCUAGCACAACUUCCUCACACAUCUACACCUAACUGACGAACAAAAAGAUUUUACAAAAUUCCAUGCCACACAUGCAUAUGGCUGGAACCACACACUUACAGCUCAACCCAACUAAACAAUUCGAAGAUGGUGAUUUCUUUUUCUAUCACAUUAAAAGUUCGGACAAAUACUAGUGUGUUGUUUGGAAGUAUUGUAUCAUGGUCACACAUCAUAGUGUAAAGUAGACUUCUACUCCACAACGUAGAAUGAUCAUUCGAAAGAGAAAAGGGAAAUGAUUUGGUCAAUGAAGAUGACGUAGAGGCAAAUCUUGAGUCGUUUCUCCGAAGGUGCCACACAACUACACAAGACUAAUUAGUUAAUUAGGCAUCAAUGAAGAUGUCUUAAUCAUCUUCUCUAACAUGUAGUUACGUGUGCAUACGUACGAAGGUAUGAUGACACUUUCCUUCUUUUCUUAAAAAAAAUAAAAACGAGCCACGUAAGAGAUUGCGUGAUUUUAUAUGAUAUAGCAGGAAAAAAAAUCAUAAGACCAUAUCCCUGGUCUUUCAGAGUGGGCAGCCAAAUGGAAGAAAACAAAACAUGAUUAUUUGGGAAUAAAAACGUAACAAUGAUGGAGUUGUUCUAGAUUAAUUGGAUCGUACAAAACAAAAGAACAAAAAAAAACCCACCAAUCACUGGUGGAGAAACCAUCUUUGAUCGGUCGGCCAAAUUUCACAAUAGUCCCGGUUCUAAUAAAAACCGGGACUAAAAAGCAUCUUUAGACCCGGUUGGUGUUACCAACCGAGACUAAAGUUCAUUUUUAGUCCCGGUUCAAGAAGUUGAGGGGUUCAAGACAGAUCCCGAUUAUUUUUACUCUCGGUUGGUAUAAACAACCAGGACUAAAAACAGAUCUUUAGUCCCGGUUAUUUAUACCAAACAGGAGUAAAGAGUACCCCGAACCGCGCGCCAGAUAUUAUCCGCGCGCCACAAAAAUAAUUGUUUAUACCAAUUAUUUUUACUCCCGGUUGGUAUAAACAACCGGGACUAAAGAUAUCUUUAGUCCCGGUUGUUUAUACCAACCGGGAGUAAAGAGUACCCCGAACCGCGCGCCACUCAUUUAUUAUCCACGCACUCCUCUCGAUCUCCUCCCCUCUCAUUACUCCUUCUCCAUCCCUUCCUCUCCCCCUUCAUCCCCUUCCUCUCCCCUUUCCCCUCCCGUUCCUCCCCUUCCCCUCUUUGAGCGGCGGCCGAGCGGGAGUAGCGGCGCCCGGCGGGAGCGGCGGCGGCCGGCCGUCUGGGUGCGGCAGAAGGGCGGGCGGGCGCGGCAGCUGGCCGGGCGAGCUCGCGCGGAGGCCGCAAGGACGGUGGCCGGGAGGCCGGCAGCGCCCUCCUCUCUGCUACCGAUUUUUUUUGAAUUUUUGAUUCAUUGGAUUUGAUCUGUGAUGUAUGUGAUAUUGGAUCUAAUCUGGGAAUUGUGAUGUAUUUCUUUUAGGAUUUGUGAUGUAUUUUUUGUUUGAGAUUUUGUGAUGUGAUGUAUUGUGAUUUGUGAUGCAUUUCUUUCCAAUAUGUGAUGUAUUUCUUUCCAGAUCUGUGAUGCUACUUUGAUUUGGGGAUGAUUUGGGAAUAUGAUCGGGGAUAUUUAGGGAGCAGAUCGAUUUGAGAAAAAAAAAAUAACCGGGACUGCUCGUACCAACUGGGACUAAAGAUAGAUUUUUAGUCCCGGUUAUUUUACCCAGGACUAAAGAUGGGUAUCUUUAGUCCCGGAUUCGUAGUCCCGGUUGUAUAACCGGGACUAUAGGGGGGUUUUCAACCGGGAGUAAAGCCCCUUUCUUCAUCAGUGAAUAAUAUAUAAGCACCGUAGAAGUGUUGGUCCAUUGGAAUUUCUUUGAACUUUGAGGGAAUAAAUGAUCAGUUGCAAUGUGGAGCCACAGGUUCAUUGCAUGAAGGCAAUAUAUAGAUUCAUUGAUUCUGAUGUCGGCAUCAAUUUUUUUCUGUUUCUGCUACAUGUAACACUCAUGGAAGCAAGGCCAACCUUUACCAACAUUUGUCUCUGGCCAAGAAAUUGCCUCUUAGAUUCUCAAGUAUUUUUUUUUUAAAAAAAACUGAACAGUUUGAUAGGCAUGAGUGAUGAAGAAGGCAAAGAAAGUGACCUACAAGGCAACUGCAACCACUACAUAUAUAACUGAUAGUGACAUCUAUUUAAUUAUAUAGUAUACUUUUGUAAAUAGCUUUGAUUUUAUUUUUCCAAGCCAAUAUAUGUAACUAACUUAUUUCUAGAAACAGACAUUCAUGGAAUUCCAAGGUUUAUUUUUUGCAAGGCUGGAAUGUAUGCUCAUGGUUGUCUGCAUCGCAACAAUAUUCAUUUGGCAAUAAGGUUACAUUGUUACGAAUAACGGUUAUUAUGCAUGUUUAUUUUUGAAGAUAAAAUGCCUCUUCGAUUUGUAUGAAAAAUAUAGUAGUUUUAGAGGAUUUCAAUCCUAUGAAAAAGUUUCCUGUAAAAGCCUUAACAAAGGAUUGAAUCAUAUCCUAUCCUUUAAUAUUCUUAUAGAAUGGGUAAUUAUAGAUUGUAGAGAAAAGUUGGCAAGAGGUCCAACCUAUUGAAAAAAUUUCUUUGGAUACAUCUCUCUCAUCCGAUUCAUAUGUUUUUCCUGUGGUCCAAUCAAAUGGUCACUUAUGUGUUUUUUUACUAUGUUUUGUAAUUCUCUAUUUUACACUAGUAUUCAUGUUGGAAUUACAUGGUUUAGAGAAACGCUUGGGGUCUUCCGGCUAGCUCCACAAGGUGGUGGGCUAGACGAUCUGGGUUCGAAGUCUCACCCUUUCUAAUUAUUUGAUAUUAGGUUCUUUUCUAAUAUUCGUGUCUUUUAUAAUUACUUGGUUUCCCUUUUCUCGUGCAAUAUGUUUGAUACGGGACAAUUUCCAGUUGCCAACUAGUCCAUAUUCUCUGCUAGCCAGAGCCGUGCUGCAUCAAAAAUCUGAUCUGAUCAGAGAGAAUUUGGUUCAAAUUCAAGUUCAUUGCAGCCACUCUUAAUGCAUACCCAGAUUCCAUUCCAGUCAACAUUUAUUGCAUAAAAAGAUUCACCUAUCACUUUGCCAUAUAUGUAUGUAUGUGUGUGUAUAUAUAUAUAUAGGUAAAUUAUUGCUACAUGGAGUAUGGGCUCCAAGAUUCAAAUUGUAUAUACCCAAUUUGAAUGAGUAUGAAAUUUUUUUAAAUGUUUAUAUAUGAACAUUAACUUCUUUACUAACAAGUUCAAAUAAGUUUAAACUGAGUUUGAACAUUUUUUUGUUAGAUUUUGGUUCUAGGUAUAUAACACUCAAACAUAUAAUUCGUUAGGUAUGUAAUAAUGAAUUGUGAAAUAAAGUUGAGUUUGAGUUGUUUCGUUGUUAGGUAUAUGUAUGAAUUAAAUUCAUAUACCUAGGUAUAUACUCACAAUUUGAAAAUUUUUCAAAAUUUGAGAGAAUUUGUGUGUUUUAUACCUUGGAGCCCGGGCAACAUGGAGUCCCAUAUGGAUAUCAUAUAUAUAUAUAUGUAUAUAUAUAUAUAUGUAUAUAUAUAUAUAUAUAUAUAUAUAUAUAUAUAUUCUUGUCUAAUUACUUAUUUCAGAGCUCAGGAUACUAUUUUAGCCUAGGAAAUUAUUUUCCUAAGGAUUUGUUUGGUUAAUUCCUCCUCAUAGGAAUGGAAGUCUAUGCGGAGAGACGUGAAAUCAAACGUCCCUUCCCCUAAAAAUAAAUUCCUUCCUGUAGGAAUUUACUGAACAAGCCCUAAGGGAUGCCCAUGAAAGAAUUAUCCAUGAGUCAUAUCAAAUAACUCACAUUGUAUUAACUAUAUAACCAGGUUAAAUUAUUAUCUAGUGUAAAUGUUACUCCCUCCGUCCCGUCCCAAAAUAUAAGCAUUUUUAGCAUAGUGUGAAAUCAAACAUUUUUAACAUUAACUAUUAGUAGAAAAAAAAUUAAAAAGAACAAUAAUGUAAAAUUAAUGUUACUAGAUUUAUCAUUAAACAAACUAUCAUAAUAUACAACUCUUUUUUAUUUAAAACAUCUUACUUUCAUAGAUUUUGUUGGUCAAAAUAGUAUCUCAAAGACCAUGUCGAAGUCUAAAAUGCUUAUAUUUUGGGACAAAUGGAGUACUAAUUAAACAAGACCCACGAGACUAUGAUGCAUAUGCUAGCUAGUUGAUCAUAGGAACAAAUUAGCACACAUCUGUGAAAGAUAUGGGUACCGGGGUACUGAUACAUGGGUACCGGGGUACUGAUACAGCCUACAUAUCCAACUACAGAUAGGCCAUGGGGGCUACAUCCAUGUAAUAAAACAUAGAGUAGCACUCAGUUGCCAUGUUGUCUUAUGUUGCGAGGCAGGGUAUAGAGUCUCGGCUGAAUACUACUUUAUAUAGAUUAGGAAACAGAAGCCGUAUCUGGUUAGGUUUCUCUUCUCGCAAUCCUGCUUCCCAACCUAUAUAAGGUGAGCAUGAAGCCCCCUCAAGGGAACCAGAUUGACCAGACAAAAGAUCCAUGAGGACAACACAACCAAGAUCACCAUGAUCAAUACAAUAUAGCUGAUCCAAUCCACCAAACAAGAGUUUGAUGUUAUCUCUCAUCAAGGAGGCUUGAAACAUGUCUAAACUCUUGUCUACUUGCAUCCAUCCACUUUAGGUCUCAUAUGCUACCCCCUUUAUUAUCGUUGAUAAAUACAUCGAUAGCUGGUGCAGCAGGUAGGGGUGACGCUGAGUUUCCCGUCGAGAAGUGCGAUUGAAUCAAUCUUAGGAAUCGUUGGAUUCAUCUUCGCCCCAAGGCAAACCUUCGCUUUGGAAGUUUCGUCUUCUUUAACGAUGACUUUGGAAAUCACUUCCUCUCCGACUCGGAUUCAAACCAGUCUGGAAGGCUCAGACCACUUUGAUCUCAUUUGGUCUCCCAAACACCGCGAAGGCCUGUUCCAAGCUUGUUCUCUCCGACACAGGCUCAAUCUCGUCAGGGAGAUCAACCUUGGCGAGUUUGAUGAUUAAAUCUCCGAUGUCGCUGCGUUUUUUUCCCUUCCAAUUUAUCAUUGUUUAUUAGAUUGAUUUCUAAUCAUGGAUGAAUCUAUUGGUGUUUUUUUUAUUGUUCAUAUAUAAUUCCACGGCACUACUGAUGUGAGUGCUAGCGAUUGUCGACUCGUGGUGUCACUAUGUAGUCAACCGGCCAUGGGGUCUUCCCUGGCAUGCGUACUCUGUUUGACCUCGCUUUCACGGCUGCUCGACUCCGCCGCUACUGAUGGACAACCUCGUAUUCACCGCUGGCUUCCUUCACUACCACAGACCGCUAACCUCACACCUUCACGGUUGGCCUACUAAAUCACCAUUGAUGGGCGACCUCGUCUUCACCGCUGGCUGCCUCCACAGCCGUCAAUUGGUAACCUCACCUUCACGGUUGGCCUACUACGCCGCCAUUGACGGGUGACCUCAUCUUCACCAUUAGCCACCUCCUGCCGUCAACGGGUGAUAUCGCUUCCAUGGCUGACCAGCUUCGCUGUUGCUGAUAGACGACCUUGUUUUCACCGCCGGUUGUGUCCACUGUCGUCGACCGGUGACCUUGCCUUCACAGUUGUCCUAUUACCCCAAUGCUGAUGGGCAACCUCAUCUUCACCGCCGGUUGACUCUGUCGUCGCCGACUUGUGACCUCGCCUUCACGGCUGGCCAACUUUGCCGCUGCUGAUGGGCGACCUCAUCAUCAUCGCCUAUUGAUGCCUCGCCCCUACGCCGGUUGACUUCGCUACACACUGAUGGGCAACUUUGUCUUUACCAUUGGCCGCCUUCGCUACCUCCACUUUGCCGACCCUGGCAUCUCCUAGAAUUCCGACAUCCCUACAUGCGCCGCCAGACACGAUGCCGUACUAAUCUACUACAACAGGUGGUGCCCUAAUCUUUUAGCUUUACACUCAGACAUGGCCUUGAGGCUAUCGAGUUUGAAUCUAGGGAGGUUGGUUGGCAUUUUCAAUAUGCAUCUCCACUCAAGCGAUGGCUUGAUAAUAAGUUGUUGUUCUUGACUCUAUGUUUAGUUGUUUUUCAACUAACAAUUGAGUCGGAGGCUGAACAAAUACAAGAUUGAAAUUCGACGGGCGUUUUGUUGGGAUAAAGCUAUCAACUAACUAGUCAACAAGUGCUAUGUAAUCAACUUUUGCAAACUCUUCUUCUCGGUGUCCAAUUUUCUCAUCGACAACUUUGGCAAACUCUUCUUCUCCGACCUGGGUUUGAAUCAGUUAGAGGAAACAACAAUCAACCAGAUCCCAUUCGGUCUAUCGAACACUACAUAGUCUACUCUAAGUUUCUCAAGUGUCAAGUUUGAGAUCUAGUCUACAGGUCCAGGUCAAACUCGGCUCUGCUCUCUAUAGUUUGACUUAGUAUGGGUUUGAGCUUACCGAGUUCGGGCCUAGGGAGGUUGGAGUCAUCAACCAAUCAAUUUAGUUCGAUUACUAGGACGGCAACUACUCUCCUCCACGUGAAACAUCAUUAAUCGCUACAACACCAAGUUCUACUGCCACCGAUAUGAAGAAAGAUGCGAUGCAUCAAUCUUCGUAACCCGCGCGCUAGAAUCAAGAAAAUUACUCGAGCUUGGACAUCUUCUCAAUAGUUCAUUGGACUAUUGUCACUGAUGUCACCGCAGGCACCUUUCCCAUUGGUACAACCUUCAUCUCUGGCCAACUAUUGCCAACCAUGUUCUUUGCUUCGGGAUGAGUGACUUCGUCUUCACCACCGGCUGCCUGCUGCCACCAACUUGUGACCUCGCCUUCACGGUUGGCCUACUCCACGCCGCUUAUGGGAGACUUCGUCUCCACCACCAAUUGACUCUAUUGCCCCACUGACUGGUGGCUUUGCCUCCACGCCGGUUGACUCCAUCGCUCCACUAAUGGGUGACCUCGCCUUCGCCACACAAGGUCAACCUCAACCGUGACAGAAGGACAAGCGACAUGCUCUGGGGCUCACCAGCUCAAACAUGAGGAUCACACAUUCAAUCUUGACUUGUUCUAGAUACGUGCAAUAGUAAUUCAUACCCAUGAGCCUAUUUCCUAUGCUUAAGGUAUGGACCAGUCAUUACACCCCACGAGGGCCACCGACUGAGUACUUGUGCCAGUUGAGACUCAGAUACCACCUUUAUUUCACUAUGCCCCAUGAGAGAUAAAGAUAAACCAUUCGGAUCAGAAGACACUCAGAUGAGAUGCACUUGGUCCAUAUCACCGAAGAGAUAUGUCAUUCGAGAGCUGACGAAAGGAGCGAUACACGUGUCAUUUUAUCUUGAUUUUAUCGGGCAUGGUGGGCCUAGAGGCUAGUGUGUUCGUGACCCAAUAACUACCAUGCAUUGUGAAUUAAGCAUGUCCUACUAUUCAUUAGGUGGUGUUGUUCCAACAACCCACGUGCUAUUUACCGCUUUUUAUAAAACUCAGAUGUUGAUUGGAAAAGACCCGAUUAUAUAAUCAAUAUAUCACUCGAGUCAUGUUACUCUAGUAUUCACAUCGUAUAUACUGCAUCAAGGUUUAAGCCACUCGGCUAGCGGGGGUAUUACAUAGUCGGGAGCUACACCUUUUAGGUUCAUCUAUUCGAUGCACUUGUUUAUUCAUUUAUCGACGGAGCCCUCCACAGUCUCUUUGCAAGAUAUCAAAAAAGAGAACUCAAGAAAGAAGCACUUAAGAAGCCUUCAUAGCAAAUAUGCAGUACUCAGUAUUGGUCAUAAACCAUGGAAAAACUACAAUUCGACUGUGAAGGUCUCGGGGACAACCGUAGAAGAUAUGGGUACUAGGUACCCACACAGCCUGUAUAUCCGACUACAGAUAAGAAGUGAACUGCAUCCAUGUAAUAAGAUAUAGAAUAGGACUCAAUCGUCAUGCUACCUUAUGCCAUAAGGCAGGGUAUAGAAUCCCAUCUGAAUACUACCUUAUAUAGAUUAGGAAACUGAAGACUUGUCUGGCUAGGUUUUCCUCUUUGUAACCCUAGCCUCCAACUUAAAUAAGGUGGGCAGGGAGCCCCCUCAGGGGUUGACCAGACAAAAGAUCCAUGAGAUCAACACAACCAAGAUCACCAUGAUCAAUACAAUCCGAAAUAUCCAAUCCAUCAAACAUAAAUAAAGUAUUAUCUCUCAUUGAGGGGGUUAAUUUGAACGUGUCUAAACUCUCGUGUGCUACCCCUUUAUUCUCCACAACAUCGAUCUUUCUCCACAAGCAUAUAUAUCGGGUUAAACAUAUUCUCCAAAGAAGAAAAUAAAGCCAUAUAAUCUUAUAUAUAUAUAUAUAUCUUCAGGACAUAUUCUCUACACCAUAGUGAUAGACUAGUUUCCACACUAUAAAAGCACGGCAAAUAUCACCACCAUGAACUCAAAGAGCCAAUAGCGCCACCAACAAAUUAUUGACACUACAUUUGAGACAAAAAAAAACACUUAGACACAUAAUUAACCAUGUCUACCAAUGGGAGCAGCGUGAUGAUCAGCCCUGUGGUGCAAGGAAAGAUGCAGCAGGGCGUCAUGAACGGCAUGCAG
rnacentral:lncRNA from 1 species